rnacentral:lncRNA from 1 species
AAAAAAAAAAAAAAAAAAAAAAAAACGUUGAUAGAGUUCUAUCCGUUUUUAUCACGGAUAGUAUUAGUGAUAAAUUUUUUAUCAACAAUAAACUUAUAUCAGUUUUUAUCACUAACAGUAAUAAUGAUCAACAAUAGACUUCUAUUAGUUGCUAUCAUUGAUAAGCAUUGAUAGACUUUUACCUAUAUCUACCAAUGAUAAAUUUGUAUCAAUUUUUAUUAACGUCUAUCUGAAUUGUAAUAAAGGUAGAAAAUUUUGCUAAAAACUUAAAAAUAAUUUGCCUUUCUUUUUUCAUUUAAAAAGCCCCUUGAAAUUUUUACAUUUAAAUUAUUUUGUAAUUAACAUAUUUGAACAUGGGUGAAGUCAAAAGAAGAAGGUGAGGGUAUUAGUGCCAAGUCUAUGAUCAAAUAACAAAAAUUCAUCCCUAAAAUUAAGGGAGUCCUCAAAAACAAAGUUAAUAUCCAAAAGAUUUCUAUUACAGCUUUAAGAAGUGAUAUAUUAAAUAGGGUAUAGUAAUUUUAAUAAUUCUUCUCAUAAACCAUCUUUAAUGAAGAAAGGUUAGUAAAAGUUAAAAUUUCGAAAUUGAUGGCUAUGAGUUCCUUUGUAUUUGCAUAUGUUAUAUAUAUAUAUAUAUAGAUAGAUAUAUGAGUAAGCAAAUUAAUUAAGGUAUAGAGAAAUAGAUAUAUAUUAAUGGGAGGGAAGAAGGGUUGAAUAUAUUUGAGCUCAAUCAUAGGGUUGUGUGAACUUGUGUGUGUUUCACGUUUUAAAUAGCGUUCUAUGAUAGGCAUCCUAUGUAUCUAAUUCAUAAUUAUUUUGUUUUCUAACUUAGCAAAUGAAAUUUAAUUAAUAUAUAUAAAGUAUUAACUACUACUUCUAUUCUAUUCUAUUCUGCCUACUCUUUAUUCAUUUUUUUUCAAUUUUUAAGCAAUUUUUUAAAUUAAACUAAAACUAUAUAACUAUUCAACAAAAUAUGUAGUUUUUUUUUUUCACUUUUCUUUCCCUUAAUUUAGCUUAAUAUUUGAAUAUAGUUUCAAGAAUGUUGGAAAUUUUCUUAAAACAUUUUUUGUUUUUGGGAGGAAUAGGGUAAUGACUAAAGUUAGGGUGGUUUCAGACAAGAACUAUUUAAGAUUAUAAUGACCAUCUUUUGCUACAAUAAACAUUAUUUAAAGUUCAAAGUUAGGUAUGAUAAACACUAUCUCGCAAAAUCCUAAAUUUGCUUCCUUAUUUACUAUUCGUUAUAGUGUUUACUAUUUUCUUAUCAAACUAAAAUAGUUGGCACAUCAAACACAUACUAUAUUGUAAACUAAUUACACCCAAAACACAAAUUAUUAUAUUAUUCACCUAUAAUAAUAACUUAUUUCUUGGUCCCAAAUGUUCUCUUAAGCGUUGUGUAUGUCUAACCAGUGUAGUAAGAUCUCGUUUGAGAUUGUGUUUGGUAAUCAUUAAUAUCCCUAAUGUGGUAUAUUGAGAUAUUGUUUGUUAAUUAUUUUGUUACAAAAUAUAAUGAUUGAAUUCUUAACCAAAUUUUAAAAAUAAAAACAACUAAUAUUAGUUUUCAAAUUUCAACUUUGGUUUUAUAAGCUAUUAGUACAAUCAAUAGUUUGCACUUAAUUAAAUGCUUCCUAUUUUUCAUACAGUAAAAAAGAUUGUCACUUGACAAAUGUUUAUGGGUGUGGAGUGUCUAUUACUACACAAAUAUAGUUGUACCUAAUCUUUUUAAUGUAAAAAACACAAAAUGUAUAUGUUCAAUAUAAACAAAACUAUAGGAUUAAACAUAGCAUAUUUUAACAUCAAAGACAAUAAAAUAUUUUAUAAAUCAAAGGCAUAUAAGUGAUAAAUAAUUUGAUAUUAUUGAAGAUAAAAUAUAUAAUUCUAAAUAGCAUAAAGCUUCAAAGUUCUGAUCAUACCCAUUAUUUCAAUUUCAAUUUAAUCAAACCAUAUGAAAAUUAAUCCUUAAUUAAUUAAAGUAUGCCACCUCACUAAUACCAUAAUCUAACAACUAAUUAUCCUAACAUCAGCAUAUACAGUACUUUUUUUUUUCUUUAUUAAAUCUCAUGCAAAAUAUAAUACGUUUUUCCAAUAAACAAAUUAAUAGAAAUAGAUAAAGUAUGAAGAACCAAUUCGAUGGGAGGCAAUUUAAAUCAAUAUUAUUAAAUAAUUAGAUCUAAUCUAUUACGAUAAUCACCUUCAAAUUUGUUAAAUAUUUUGGUUCCUGUAUUUUAAAAUUGAUUAAUUUUUUUGUCUUUAAACUCUUAAAAUUAUUUCGUUUUAGUCUUUAGAAUGUUUAUUUGAGCUAAAAUAACAGGAGCUUAUGUCCUUCUCUUAUCUUAGUUUUAUUUUUAAUAAACUAAUUGUGUACUAGGAUUGUUACAAUGUUAGUGUGAUUUCAAUUAGUCAUUUAGAUUUAAAGUGAAAGAUUUAGUGAGUGGAUUUUACAUGCAAAAUAAUAUAGCAAAUACCAAAACAAUUGUUUUUUAAGUUCUAGAACAAAAUACAAAAUAGUUUUUUUUUUUUUUUUUUACAUUUUGAGACUAGCCAGAUGAAACAAACUCACAACAAAAUUGAUUGUUUGCGAGAUGUUAGCUACUGUACUAAGAUUCAAUAAACUUGAAAUUAGGUAAUUGAUCUAAACCUAUCAAAUAUAAGAGGAACCAACAAAAUUAAUAUUUUGAUAGUUUUUUUCUUCUACUUUUAAUAAAGAAAAUUUCAAACUUUUAACCUAUUGAAUAGGUUGAACUUAAAUAUUUCUGACAGUUGAUUGGGAAACCUUUAUCAUUUGAUAAAUAUAAAAGUUGUUAACUUUGAUUGAGAGUGAAAUUUUUUAAUUGUCACUGGGAUCUCAUUUUUUUAAAAAAUCUAAGAAAAAUGAACUAAAUGCCGUAAAGAAUUAAUUCUUAUAGGAUUAAAAUAACACAAAAUAUUCUUACUUAAUUUGUAACAUAUUUUUACACUUUUGAAAAUCAUAAUUUGAUCAUUAGAAUAUUCACCAUAUGCUCUGUAAUUAAAAAGAAUGAAAGAGAAUAUUCUCUAUUUUCCUAAUUUUUUUUAUUGUUAACCUUUGGAAUAGUGACUUAAUCAAAAUAAUUUUUACAUUAACGGUUAUGAACCAAGGAUUUAGAAGUGUGUCAUAGACCGUUCAACUUUAUUGGCCCAUAUGUACCUUCUAAACUCUCGAUCCAUCAUUACCUUAUACAACCAAAAAUACGAUUAUAAUUAAAUUCAAUAGUCAUUCAAAUUUCAUUCCACUCAUAAAAUUUUAUGUUUUUUCAUAUGGCUUUUCUAGAUGAUUUUUCCUUUGGUCAUCAACUACUUUCAUUUCAAUUAUUUAUUUAUUUUUCUUGAAUUUGUACAUUUUUUUUAUAAAAAAAUUGUUCCGUUUUGAGAUUACAAGACAAUAAAAGCAUUAAUAAUGUUGCUUACUUAAACCUUCUUAGAAUCAAUCUUAAUAAAACAAAAUUACUUAGAUAUAUAUUAGUUUUGAGUAGAUGAUUAUAACUUAAAUGAUUAGUUAGGUAGAUGCUAAAAUAACAUAAUUAAAAGUCACUAUAGAUUAUAGUUACUCAUCACACGGAUUUAUGUAAUUAAUUAUCUUUGUCCUUAUUAGUUUGCCUUGAUUUAAUAUAAAUUAAAUCAUCAUUAAAUGCUGUUGAUGAAUUAUAAAGUUGAUUUUAAAUUACAACUCCAAAAUUGAAAAAAGAUUUAUUUAUAAAUUUUGAAAGAAUUGAAGGAUGUUUUUUCCAAAUUAACAACGGAGGAAGGGUACUUUUAUGUUAAUUGAGUGAACAAAUGUAAACCCACAUAAUCAAUUAUUGGGAUCCUCCAACUCUUUUUCAUACUAAGAAAAUUAGCUCAUACCAUAAACAAAUAUUAGAUGAAUUAUGAAAUAUAUUUUUGUAAAAUAUGUUAAUAAAUUAAAGAAAGUGGAGAAGUAAACGAAGAGAAGGGGAAAUAAAUUAAAAAAGAAAAGAAGAAGCCUAAAGUAGAAAGAUUGAAAAGCUUAGAAUUAUUUUUAAAAAGAUUAAAAAAAAAAGUAGCAUAAACGUUGGUCCAUAUAUAUUGGAGGCAUGGAGUUGGGUGGGUUGGAGGACAAAUUUAUAAUAUUAUGAAAAUAAAAGUUGUAUAAUUAGUAAUACACAAUUAAUCAUAUGUGAAAAUAGGUUUAAAAUUGUAAUAAUUGAAUUUUGAGAAAGGAAGGAGGUAAUUAAAUAGAAUAAUAUGGUAGAAAUUGUUGAGAGGAUAUUUGGAAAAUUGUGAUGGGGACUGCUUUGAUAUUCCCGGGUAGGGGUUGUAGAGAUUUUGAGGCGUCCGAUUGAUCUCAUGGAAUGCGUGAAAAUAUGAAUAAAAUAAAUUUAUAAAAAAAAAAAAAAGGAGGGGGGGAGGGGGGUGGUGGAGGUGGCGGCAACUAGUGCGUGGGCCUCACUUAACAGCUGUUCCUCUUUUGUCAUCUACCCCUUCCUUCCUUCCUCCCCUUAGAUAGCGACGCGCGUCUAUGUGGUCCCCACCAUCCUCCCUUUUUUUCUUUUUUUUCUUUUUUAAAUCUUUAACAAAAGAAAUUAAAAAAGAAAAAAAAGAGGGAGAGAGUAGUCAAAAUCAGGGAGGUGGGAGCCACAUCAAACCUUGAGCUAUCGUUUUCUUUGUUUCAUCGCCUCUCUCUCUAAACAUUUUUCUCUUUUUCUUUUCUUUUUUUCCUUUUAAAAAAGAAAAACACUUUAAUGAAUGAAACUUCUAAAGUCAAUAUAUUUGGUUUUAGUUUAAUUAUGUUCUUCUUUAUUUUUGUAUAUUAAAUUCUAAACCAUAAUUUGAUCAAUAAACAGUGGGGGUAAGUUAUAUAUAAAGCUAAUUUGGUUUCAUUCAGUCUAAUCAAUUACCUUUUUCUAAUUAAAAUACAAUACCAUUUCAAUAUUUCUACAUUUUUAUUUUAAAUUUUUUCAGUAAAUUUUGUUAUAUUUUAUGAGUAGUUUCAACUUUUUUUUAUUAUUAUUAUUUUAUUAAAUUUUAAAACACUUGUAUUUCAUCUCUAAGUUCAAUAUAUAUUAAAAGUAUAAAAGUGUGAAAAGAAAAAGAGGAAUUGUUAAAUUAUAGAUUUUUCUUCAUUUUAAUUGUUAGAUUGGAAAUGAAUGAACUGUUCUGACAUUAAAAGAAUCAAAGGGAAGUUGUACGUAGCUUUGGUUCUAUCACCUCUGCUAUUUAGCAUCUAUUUUUGGAUUUUCUAUAACACAUGUUUUUUCCAAACACAUUUUCUACUUCGUACGGAUACACAAUCUUCAAUUACAAAUUAAUGAAAAAAAUACUAGAAUUUAAUCUCUAUAAUUCAAAAAUAUUAGAAUAAGAAUUAUACUUUAAUUGAUUAAAUUUGCAAUUUAACCGGUGUAAAGCUUCUCUAGAUAUUAGUUUAGUUUUGUGGAACCUAAGAUGUUUGAUAUUGAAUUUGUGUUUAAGAAUUGAAAUGGAAUGGUUUAUGACCUACUAAAAAGUAUAUUGAAUUUGUAAUCUGAGAACCAAAUAGUUUUGGGGGUAAAGGGUUUUAGAAGACAGGCAUUUCAUACUCUGCCCCUCAAGCCUCAAGUAUGUAAAAGGUGAUUAAGAAACAUGGAAAGUAAUAGUAAAUAAGUAAUGGGAUUUUAUGGGAAAAGGGAAAAGGGAAAAGGGAAAAGGAAGGGGACAAAAGAUCAACAAAAUUAUGAUGCUGCUGCUGUGUCUUGUGACGUAAACAACAGUCGAAUCAGCCAACAACAUUCUCAAUGUCCAUGACAGAAACUUGGGCCAGAAGGCCCAAAGCUCUUGUACAAAAACAAAAGCUCAACUUAGGGAAACACAUACAAUGUUCAACGUAUGAAGAACAAUGGAGGGAAAUUGUAUAUUAGCGGUAAAAAGAAAAAGGAACUGUACAAACAAUUUCGCCAUAUCGCCAAACAAAAAUAGAUUGCCAACCCAAAGGUAUGUGCUUCAACUUAGUGGAGACCUAAUCAUUAUGGAGGAAGAGACUAAAAUUUUGGUGGUCAAGGAAGGCAAUUCUUAAAUCGUUAGGGACAACAAAUCUCGAAAUAUCUCUACAACCGUAUGAUUUAAGAAGCACCGAUAAUUUUAAGAGGGUCAGUGUCCGAUACGCUAGCUGGCAUGUCAAUUUUUUUUAAAAAAAAGAAAAAAAUAGGACACUUCUAAGACAUGGAAUUUUUAGAUUUGAGAAGAAAACUCACUCAAACUAACAUUUUAAAAGUUCAUAUGCCCAGUCCAAAGAUAGACCAUCAAUCCCACAUUUUAGGUUUGUUACUGUUGUGGUCCAAACCGCCGCGAUAUCCCUCAUUUCUUCACGCCUCUAAAUGAUUACAUCCAAACCUUCACGUAUAAAUUUAGGAAUUAUAUGGUGUUUAACUUGUUUUGAUGCCUUCAAACACACUGUAUUUAUAUGCAGGAUAGAUAUUUAAUAUUUUAAUAAAAAUAAUGUAUGUCCAAUAUGCUCGUGUCGUCCUACUUUUUUUUAAAUCGAGUCGUUGUCCAGUUUGAGUAUAAACUAUUGUAACUUUGCUUUUGAUCUCCUCUCAAAAUGUUGUAAGCUAAGAAGAUAGUUAUCCUCACUAUGAUUACUGCAUUAUUGCAUUAUUGCAUUAUCUAAAUAACAUGGGAUUUAAUCUUAAAACACAAAUGAUUUGGGAGAAAGAGCUUGUGAGUACUUGAAACAAGGCUUAAGUGAGGAGCUAAAGAGCACUUUAUUCUGUAGUGAAAUGAGAGGUAGAGAGUACAUGGUUUUCCAAUUAAUGUUUAAGAGAACAGAGAAAACUCUGCAUUUCUUACAUAUGAAUCUCUAUGAGAAGAAAAGACUUUAUGAGCUUCUAAAGAAAUGGGGGGAAUGAGAUAUAUACUCCACUAUAUACAAAAUGGAAAACUGUAUCCAUACUCUCUUAAGGAAUUAGGUUAGUCAACAGGAUGUGGUUCCAUUGAGAAGACAACAAACCAUUUACAAGGGAAUGAAAAUAAAAUAAAAUAAACAAAAACAAAAAUGAAAAUGAUUUUCUAUCGAAUCUGCAAACCAAAAUUCACAUCACACUGCACUUUUCCUUUGAUUUCGUGUCAGUCCUUGAGGAAGAAGACGGCGGGGUUUUGCUACUAGUUCUAGACACCUGCAAAAUAAACUCUCUACUUAUUUGAAGUAAAUGGGGAGAUGGAAGUAUGGCGGUUUUUUAAUAGUUUUUAGUAGAGACCGAAAAGUUCGGCAAACUCAUGUGAAAGUACGGUGCAAAUUUGAAAUAUGCUUCUUUUUACUGAUAGAAAAUAAAAAUAAAAAGAAUUGGAAUAUCAGUUCGUUUAGAAAAUGCCUUAAUAGAAUUUUGGUUAGUUUACGGCUUAUGAAUUUAGUUUAGUCCUAAACUUUCAAACUUGUAUCUAACAGAUAAAAACUUCUAAGAGGUGUAUAAGUCCGUAGACUUUUUAAUUUUUCAAUAUAGAAAUGAACUUCAAUGAUAUCUAAUAGGUUUUAUAGUUUCAAAUUGGUGUAGAAGAAGUCCUUAAUCUAAUGGACAUUUUUUUAAAUAGUAAAUUCACAAACCAACUGGACACAAAAUUCAAUUUCGUAUUUACUAGGACUGUAGAUUUUAAACAGAUACUCUAAAAUUUAGGAACCUAUAUAGAUAUUGAUUAAAGUUUAAGACCUCAUACACACAAUUUCAAAUUUUCAACUAAAACUUAUAUAUAACCUAGACUUCUCUAUCGGAUGAGGAGAAAGUAUAAAAGAUGGAUGCAGAAAAUCUAUAGCAUGAGAAAGUAUAGAGCCAUAUGAAAACUCUACCUGAGGACCCACGACCAGCCUUGAACUGCCGCCUGAAGAUGGCUGCUGCACAUUUUGUCGCUGUGGUUGUUGUUCAAACUCUUGCUGUUGCAGGGCUAUUGCUAGUUGCAGGUCAGAACUGGGAUAAAAAUGAAAGCAGAAAAUUUAAGUAAUCAUUCAGCAGUCGGCUCUAGUCUUAACAUAUGCCUCAGAUUUCUAUAUUCAAAACUGACAAUGGAUCUGGCAUGUACUCUAAGUUUCAAGUGAAUUUUUAAGAGUAAGACACUAUGGUGCUUCCUUUCUUUUUCUCUUUCCUUUUUCCUCUCUUUGAAGGACAAUUGGGUAUUCUUAUAAACUCCACUUCCAGUUUUAUACAAACGAAACUUAAAUUUCCAGCUAACCAAUCUAUGUUACAGUGCGGUAAUAAAACCAUGCAUAACAAGGACUGGUCGGGGCAAAACCAUCGCUUUUUAAGUUCCCAGAGAUAAGGCCCACCCAAUGUUAAGAAACAUAAAGAUAAGAAAUAUGUACUGCAAGACUAUCGGUAGCCAUAGAAACAAAAUUUAAUAUUAAAAAAAUAAGCGUACUAUUCAUUUGCAUGUUUUUGUGAGUAAUAUACUAAAUAUAACAAGAUAGGAAGUUACUUCAAAUCCAUUCCGGCAUGUUUAGUAGCAUCAAUGCUUGCAAGAUAGUCCUGCAGCAUGUACAAAAUAGUCUCGGUAAAUUGCUAAAGAAAAAUAAAACAGGGCAUCAAAAUUGUUGAAAUAUUUAUAACACAAACCGCUGUGCUUGUCAUGGCAUUUUGUUCAUCCCAAGACUCAUUUGAAGGACUUUCUACUUUGAAUUCUUUGAAAUUACUCGUCAUAAAUAAAGUGUCUCCAUUUACCUGCAAAAUAUUUGAAGUUAGAAGUUGGAUAGAAUUAUUAACGAACUGAGUAAAAGCAAGGUUACAUUAAUACAAUUGCAACUUGCAAGGCCUAAUUUGGAUUUAAGAUAGCUAAGAGAAACGUCAAGGUGAACAUGUAAAAGAUGUUUCCAAAUCCAUUGAACCAUCAAUAUUCCUGUAAUGUCCGUGGACCAUUAUGGUCUUUUAAAAAGUUUAAUAUUAUUACUAUUUGUAACGAAGCAAUGCACCUGAAGGUAUCUAUGCCAUAUAGAAGAGUUAAUUAAGUAGAUUGUACCUCAUUUAGCUUUUCCCACACCAAAUCAGGUUGAUGAAUGUAACCUUGGUCUGUAGCUAAAAGAUAAAGCUGGCCAUCAAGCUGAAGAUGAGAUGAGACGAGUGUGUAAAAGUAUGGGGUCAGCCAAAUGUAAAAGGUGAAACCCAACAUUUUUCUUAGUAACUAUUAGCCAACAGCUCUGGAAGCCAACACACACACACAACAUAGAACAGUUUAAAUUCUUACUGACCUUGAACAUGGUGCUGAAGUGGUUAUUACGGAAAAAAACACAAAGCUCACGCUCCUUAAGACCAUCUUGUAAGCAGAAAAGGCUGCAAAAGCAACAACAAUAACUAUGGAGGAACUACACCAUACCAGCGUGACUAAACAAAAAUGUCCAGCAAAGAAAUUGAAAGUGGCAAGCAGGAACCGACCCAUAAAAUGUUAGCUGACUUGCAUUGUUCUUUAAAAAAUUCCUGAUCAGCUCCCCUGAUAACAAUUAAGAAUGGAUUUUACCUGAUGAGUUUAAGGGCAUAAAUAUAAUAUUGGCAUGUGGAAAAAUUAGUAACCCUUAUGGAAUUCACUUCUACCUUGUUUUGGACUAAUUUCAACCUUUGACUGUAUAUUACGGAAAUUUAUGGAGCUUCCACAUCCCUGUUCUGCAAGAACCACUUCACCUUCAUAUACAGGCUCUCGAUCUUCAAGAACUGUACUUCUUGGAUCCAAUAUACAUUCCUCACCUUCAUAUAUGGGCUCACUACCAACAGAUGAAGUCAAACCUUCAGGUGCCUCAAUACAUUGGAUUGUACCAUCUACUGAAUCUGUACAAUUAAUAGAUGGAGAUGGCCCAGAUACUUCGGUUGGGUCUUCCUUGUCAACUGGUCUAUGAUCAACUGUUUCACUAGCAGCUGGAAAAGGGUUAUUAUCAUUCAUUGGAGAAGUAUUCUCGUGACUCUCAUUUGCUAAUGCACCAUCUCUUCCAGAACUGGUGACAGUCUGAACCAAUGUUUCAUGAUUGUCCUUCUCCAACAUAUCAGGGAAAAUCAUAUGCCCUUCAGACUCCACAGCCUGAUCAAGGUGUUCCCCGGCAUCAGUCUUCAAUGGUGAAGAGCUUACUUGCUCUGUGGCAUUGGGAAAAGGUGAAACAUCUGCAUCACUCUUACUUACUGAGGUUUUGCCAGUAUCUGCAGUCAAUGAAUCUGACUGUUCAUUAAGAUUAUUGUCUGCAGCACAGAUGUCUUUUACUAUGGUCUUCUCUACAUCCUCUAUGACUGAAACCUUUCCAGGAGAUGGCUCCUCAUCCAGUUUAGUAGAUUUAGUGUUCCCCUCAGCACUGGGCACACCAUGAUUAUCUAUUAAGAUUGGUGUUUCAGAUUCAGACAAUCUCAAGGCUUUCAAUAACUCUGCCUCUUCUUCAAGAUCCCCUUUUCUCACUGGUUGCUCAUCAGAGAUUGAACGAGGUGAUUCAUCAAAAGAUCUAACUUUUGAAAGAUUUGGCGACGGAACUCCAAGUGUGGCUGUUGUUGCAGCAACAAAAUCAAUACAAUCAUCUUCAGGAUUGUUCUUACACUGCUCCUCCAUGUGUUGCGUUUCCAGAGCAACAAGCUCCUCCAUGAUAGCAUUGUAGGACUUGGAAUCAAUUGAACUAGCAGUCUCAUGAUCCUACACACAGAAGAAUAGGAUGAAACAUUGGCCAGGAGAGGUGUUAAAUGAAAAGGUCAAACCAAAUGGCAGCCUAAGGAAUACCAGAUAAUCCUACACACAGAAUAAAGGGUCGGUAUAAAUUUCCAAAAAUAAAAUAUUUGAGUUUAAAAGUCAUAACAAAUAUAUGUUUGUGCCAACUGCCAACAAGUUCUAAGGUUGUGGCAUAUCAAGAAUUAAUAGGCUAGUACGUAGACUUGGAAAACGCAACAUAGUUCUUUACUUCUUUAGGGGACAAGUCCAGAGGGUCCAAGUGACCAUGAGCCCUGAAGGCAACAUCACAGAUCAUCUCGAAUAAAGUCCAAGGUUUCCCCCAAUUUCUUUGUUAUCAGUCCAAGACAAUCACCCUGCACUUCCAUUUAACAGUCUCCCCUAAUUCUGUAACAACUCCAAUAUCCUAUGAACAAAACAGGAACUCCAAAAACAAUUAUGGCCACCAGAGUUUUGCUAGCAACAAAACAUUUCUCCAAGAAAUUUCAAAUACUUAAUACAAUAAUAAUAGUAAAAAGAAAAAAAAGAUCAAGGAAGUCUUGGGACAGAAUCACAAAUACACAAAUAUAUGCUGGAAGAAUCAAAAGAAUAAUUUGGACUUCAAAGAAAUUGAUAAAGGCACAAGUCUUUAUGGUAGCCAUCUCCUUUCCAGUUUUAUUUUUAUAAUUAUUCUUAUAACUAUUGAAGGUAGACAAAUUUUAGAUCCAAUAGGAAUACCCAAGGAAGUUCUUGAAGAGACGAAGAGCAUAGGGUUAAGAUGCAAAAUGCAUGGAUUUCAAAGCUUUGCAUUGAAAAAGUUCCAUAAUCAGUUAUAAUUGGGGCUUAACUGAUUAAAGUAUUUUGACAUAACAUAAUCUCUUAACGAACAAUUAAAGUAUUUUGACAUAACAUAGAUUCAAUUAAUCCAGGGCUACAUUCAUAAUCCUAAAUUCCUAUUUUCAAUUUCAACAAUGGUCGUUCUCGAAGUAGAGUUCUAGCUUAAGGUUGGAAAUCCUCUUUCACCUUCCUUGUUUCUUGGUUUUCAACAUUCUUGGUGCACUUGUUGAAAAUUGUGUUCACAGAGGCUUAAAUGAAGACUUUAAAACGAGGGAGGGCAACAAUCAAGGUUCAGUUCUUCAAUUUCCAAAUGACACUUUGUUAUUAAGCUGAUUUGAUGCGGAAGAUUUUAAUCAAAACACCGGAGGAAAAAGUUUUCUACUUUCUAGGCUCAAAAUUAACUGGCAAAUGUUUUUGAUUGGUUAUUAUGUUAAUGUUAAGGAUUCAUAGCAGCAGCCAAAGUCAUUUCAUUUUAGUUGUAAGAUUGAAUCUCUGAUUGAAUAAGAUAUGAAACUUCUCAAUAAAAUAGUGAAAAGAGACUAAUACUUAAAUGAUACAAACUCGUUGAAAAGUGAAUGCAGAAAAGAUGGAAAAAACAAAGAGGCAAAAUUAAAAAAAAAAAAAACUGAGCAAAGAUAAAAUAAUUCAAUUUUAAGUUUAUAUCAUGAAGAGAGAAGUCGCCAAAAGCUCUAGAGAGAGAACACCAAAGGGAAACUUUAUUACAUACUGCAUCUAAAUGAACAAGCCAAAUUGUAUACUUCUCUUCAAAAAUACACAAAGUCCUUUCGAUUCAUAUUUCAAUAGCAGCUUCUAGACUUCGUUUUCUAGAACCUGCUGAAGAUUGGUCUUUGACAACUGAAUUACUUCUAGAAAACUGUUGAAGUCCCUGACUUGGUCGGCCUCUUGGAGGUCACCCAAGAAAUGUUUGAUUUUGACAGGCCAAUCAGUUGACAAAAAUUGAAAAGAAGCUAGGCAAGUGGAGAAGGUUUGAACUUUCUAGAAGUGGAAGAUUCAUCUUAUGUACAUUGGUACGUUUUAAUCUCCCCUGCAAUUAUGUCCCUCUUUUUUGUUCCAUUCAAUAUUAGAUGAGGAAUAUGCAUUGGGAAGGGAGCAUUGAUGGCAGGAUAAAUCAUCUUGUUAGAUGGAGUUUAACCUCAAAAUAUCAGAUGAUGGAGGUUUGGGUAUCCGAGUAUUUAAAGAACACGAACUUAGUUUUGAUAGCCAAAUGGGGUUUGAGAUAUAUCAAUGAGCCUCAAACCUUUUGGAGAAAAGUCAUAGCUAAUAUACAUGAUUCUUUUUAGUUUAUGGAAUAGUAUUUUAGUCCUCUCAGCCUAUGGAAUAGUAUUUCAAAGGUCUGGAAAUCAGUGGACUUUUAUGCUCUAUUGACUUAAGAAACUGGUUCGAGAAUUCUGUUUGGCAUGAUAUUUGGGUCGGUGAUGUUCCUUUGAAGAGGACUUUUCACUGAUUGUUCAGCAUUUCUUAGUUUUCAAAUGGUUCAAUUUCUGUUUUCUGGAAUCUAAAUGUCUUUCCCGGAGCAUUAUUUUUAACAGUGGACUUGUUCACUACUUUGUCGAAAUCUAAAACCUUCUAUUUCUUGCUUUAUGAAGGGUAUUUCUUGUUGGUUCAAAUUGCUCGGCAUUUACAACUUGCAGAGGGUUCUCUCUUCAGAUGUCAAAAAGUAAUGUCCAUCAGGUUUUGUUAGGCAUUUCCUUGCCUUUGCAUUCUCAAAUCCUUGGUGCUCUCUUUCCAACUCUUUUAUUGGCUUGCCUGAAAUUUGUUUAAAAUGGAAUGCUUUCAUUUGCACUUCCUUUUCAAACUGAAUUUGUUUUCACUCCUUUUGAGUUUGUAUCUUUUACAUUUUAGGCUCUUUUCAUUUUGUCAAUGAAAAUCUUCAUUGCUUGUUAAAAAAGACACUGAUAAAGCAAGUCACAUGCCUACAACUCAAGAAUAGGGACAACAAAACCAACAUAGAGCAGAAGAAAUCAUAUAGUACUGUUAAUUAAAUUUAUAAUAGUAACUAGAAAGAAAGUAUUUACGAACCUGCGGAUCAACUAUCCAACCAUGAUAUAGAGGAAUAUCCAGCAAAUCAAAAAUCGCACAUUCUGGAGUGAAUUCAAAAUCGUCAAUUCUGAAAAUAGAACAUUAACUUAGUUCAGAAAAGGCAGACGAAAAUAAAAGGACUAGGUGAGGAUUUAAGCCUAUACUACUACCUCCUAAACUUAAUAUUUACAUCUAUCCCUGUUGCUAGACGUGGCAGCAGAUCAAUGGCAUCAGCAAUGUUCUGCUGUUGAUUCUCAACAAAACCAGCAUCUUUAUUCUGUUAACCAACAAGUGAAUAUCAAAGAACUGAACAAGCUGAAACCAGGGUGGGAGAAAAUUUUCAUAUAGCAUACAAAAGAAAACUAUUUACAUCGACAUUACUAUUCGAAUCAAUCAGUCGUUCAGCAACCAGAGAUAACAAUUUUUCCUGUGAUACUUCAGUUGCAUCCGGACCCAAAUUUAAGUUGUUCCGCAACAAGAGAACAUUACCUGCAACAGCCCCAACAUAAACAACCAAAUAUGAAUACAUGUACUCAUUUAAAUACAUUCAUUUACAUAUCCAUCUCAUUCAAAAAGAACUCUAAAUUCACAGCAUGUUUAGUCUUUAAAUCAUCUACUGAAUGAUGAUCGACUUUCUUGGAAUAGGUUAUAAAGGGAAACUUAAAAUAACUCCCAAAGCCCGAAAAAGGGAAAAGAAGAGCGAGAGUAAUCAAGGAACAGGAAAAGAGCGAGAGUAAUAAACCCUAAAAUGCCUAUUACUACUCAAAAUCUAAGUAAACCGGUCGAUGGAGUGAAUGGAAUUAAAAGCAAUCAUACAACAGACGAAUUGAACGCUCCAUCAUCACUAAUAAAAACAUAAUCACCAUAACUAUUCAGCAUUAGAGGAGACGGACUCAUACAUCACUAAAACAUACAGCGAUCAAGUAAAAAGAAGAAGAUAAAUCCAACUCCGAAUCUCCAAUUGGAAAUGCAGCUAAUCCAUCAAAUCCCAUCUGCCCAAACAUUUACCUACUUCACGUGAAUCAAACUGAAACUAAAAAACUCCAGCCAUCCGAAAACUUACACACAAAGCAACCAAAAAUGUCGGGCCGAGGAGAAAGAGAAAACAAUAAAGAAAUGAAACCCUAAGAAUCGGAAGACAAAGAUAAAUAGAGAGGGAGAUGAUUUACAUAUGGCUAGAAGAGGGCAAGGGCCAUUGUCGUUCUGGAGAACAAUAGGCGUAGGGCGACCAAGAAAUUGAAUGGGUUUGGUCUUGUAAACGCACUCUUUUUCCUUUUCCUUUUCCUUUUCCUUAUCUUUGAGUGGGUGUUGGUGGGGUUCUUGUGGUGGUUGAUUUAGAGAUUCUUCGGGGGAAGAAGAAGACGCCAUGGCCAAUAACUCAAAGAAUUGCAAUCCGGUUCGGACUCAGUGUGUGUGUUUUAUACUUUGGAAAGGAAAUGUGAAGAAGAAAGAAAUACAAAAAUUAUGAGAGAGAAAUUGUGAUUGUUAAUUGUAAUGGCCGUGUGGGACGGCAACCACCCGCCGGGCUUUCUUUUUCUCUUUUUUUUUUCUUUCCUUCUUAUUCUUAUUUACUAAUAAAUAAUAGCUGAUUUUAUAUUUCAUGGUAACGCAUUAAGUUUGGGUUAAGCACUUCUUAUUGCCUACUGAUAAUUUAAUUUUUGUCUUCUUUUUAUUUUCUGCAUUUCAAAUAUUUACGUUUUUUAACCUCAAUUUUUUAUUAAAUACUUCUUUUUAAUUUUGAGUUAAAUUAAUUACACAAAUUAUAAUUAAUUAAAUUUUCCUAUGUUUCCUCAUUUCUAAAAUUGAGUUUUUAUGGACUAAAUUGAAAUUAAGUUCAAAACUUACUAAUUAAAUGUAUAACAUUUUGAAACUUAUUUUUAUUAAAUAAAUUUUAUUGCAAACACUUUUCUCAAGAUUAAACCAAACACACUCAAUCCCUUGCAUCAUCGUAAAUGUAUAGUAAUAUUCAAUUUCUUAAUGAGUAAGUAUCAUUAUGAAUAUCAAUAUCGAUUCAUAUAUAUAUAUAUAUAUUUCUUGGAGUAGGUUGAAGAUUCUCAUUCAUGUCAUGUUACGUUAAUGCACCUUCCAUUUAGUUGGAUUAGGUAUAAAAGGAAGGUGAUUUUCAAGACUCGUGUGUCAACACAAAUUUCAAACAAUAAACUUUGAAAUUGGUAUCAAUGUUCAGUUUCACAAUAAAUAUUUCGUGUGUCAACAAGUUGUCGAUAAAUCAUCUCGUGUGUCAACAAGUUGUCGAUAUUAAUAUUUGGGAAUAGUUUAAAAAAAACAAACGAAGAUUCCUAGUAUAAAAUUAAUUAUCGAGAUUAACUUCAACUAUAAUUACUAGGAUAUUCUUUUGUAGAAGUUGAGUGUUUGACUUUUAUCUUUUUAAUUGUUGUACUUGAAAAAUACAAGAGAAUCGUCGCGGUCUAAUGAAACUAAGCAAAAGCUAUUCUUUUUUACCUUUGUGUUUUGGACUAUAUAUUUAGUUUAUGAUGUUUCAAAUUAAUCGUUUAGAUCACAUUUGAUAAUUAUUUAGUUUUGAGUUGAAAAAACCACGAGAUUGUAGAUAUAAAUUGUCAAAUUAUCACAAGGUCAAUAUAUGAAAAUAAGUUUACAAGGAUAGAAUCUACGUUACAUUGUUAUAUAUUACUUUGGGUAUAUUUAAUGGCUCAUGCAAAACAAUGAAGUCAACCAUCACUCCAACAAACUACGUCACCAAAUGAAAGAAGAAUAAUGGAAAAUCGUUGUAGCAACACAAACAAUAACGUUUGAUAAUUGUGCCUCAAAUUUAGUGUUAACUAUAAUAGAAGUGAUCAAAUUGAGUCACCGAUCAAAAUUUACAAGUUUAAUUUGAAACAAUUGUAACCAUAAUUUUAUAAUUAAGGUUGAAAGAAGGUAUUGAUGAAUAUAGUUAUAAAAGCUUAAAGUCAGAAUGUUUGGGGUAAUUUGAAAGAGAGAUUGGUUCCACAAACACAUGAGUUGGGUUAAGAAGAAUGGCCCAAUAAAAACUGAGCUUCAAAGCCCUGUCCUUAGGCACUUUUCUAAGUUGGCUCUAAACCUUUUCAAAAUUAUCUGAAUCCUACAAUCAAAUUACGAGAUUAAAUGGCCAUGGUUUAGCUUAUAAACAGUAUGGAAUGUUUUUAAAAAAUGAUAACAAAGUUUUGACGAAAAUAACUUAAAUAUAUUGCUAAAUACCUAACAAUUAAAGUGAUCAUAAUAUACUUUAUGCAAAUAGAAAAACAACUGUGUGAUUUUAUCUUUAUGAUUUUAAUCUAACUCCAAGCAUUUUCUUUCCAAAUCACGAUUAGAGUUAAUUAUUUAAGGUCGUUUAGAUUGAAUUAAGAAAAAAAUUGUUUGCCAACAAAACAUGAUUAUAAACAUUAAGGCUUUUAAAAGAUGUGUGUUAAAUGCGUCAAUAAAAUUUAAAAUCAAAUAUAUUAAAACCGGAGGUAAACAAAAUGUAUAACAAACAUUUAUAUGCAUAACAUUCAUUUAGUUUCUAUUUGGGUUUCCAUCCAUAUUUUUAACAUUUUGAUUAUUUAGAUUUUGAGAGGGAAUACUAAAAUUAAUAGUAAAAACGUGUAGUGUAGUUUUAAGGACAUAAUUAGAAUUAAAAAUUAGAAAAAAUUAAGAAGGUGUGUAUUGAAGUUUGAAGAAGUAUUUUGUUAAAUAUAUUCGAUAUCUAAGAAUUUAACCACCAACUUGCUUUAUUAAAGUCAUAAACUAUAAAGUGAAACCUUUUUAUUCACUUCAAAGGGAAUGCACAUUUAACUUUUUGGUACUUUUUCCAUCCCAUUUUCCCAAGUAUAGUAUACCAUUUGCAAGUUGAAACUAAUAGGGAUUUUCACUUCCUUUCUACCAUUUUUAAUGAGGGAAUAAUCAACCUAACAAACUUGAAAUUCUAUCAAAGAGAUUAAAUGUAGUAAUAAUUAAGAAGAAUGUUUGACUAAUUAUAAAUUACUUAAUUAAAUCAUUAUCAAUAUUCCUCGUGGUCAUAUCAUUUGCUACUAAAGAGUAUAUUGGUUGAUUUGAUUUUGGGUAAUAAUUUUAAAGACAACCUUGAUUUGAUUUUACCAAAUCAAUAAUAUAUUUUAACUAAAUUUGUUUUUUUUAUUCAAGUAUAAUUUGAGUCAUUAAUUCGUAUAGAAAAGAUUAUGUUUAUUUACAAUUAAUUUGUAUAUGUAGUAUAUAUAAAAGUUUGGAUGAGAAAAUUUUUUCUUCCUUUCUUUGUAAGUAACUUCUAUAACUAGGUAGAUGAGAAUGUUGUCAUUUUUUAUUUUUAUGCUAAUUAAAGAAAAAAUGAGAUGAUUUUAUGAAUUCAUUAGGUUAGUUGUAACUUAUGAAUAACUAAUACUUUAAUAAAAUCGAAACCUUUUCCAACUUCUAAUAGCGUAAGAAAACCAAACGUUGUAACUAAAGAACAAUUUUAUAGUUGAAGUCAAGAAGCCCAUCUUCUAAAUGGAAAAUAAUUAAUAAUUCAUUUAAUUAUUAGUUCUUACACAAAAUACAAUGAAUGAGCCUUCAGAAAUUCUUAAAUAUGGAGAGGUAUAAAACAUAUUUUUCUAAGUCACAACUUGCGCACAAUUUGGAUAGAAAUAUCUCAAUUCCAUUGCAUGAUCUUAGUCUUAGGUUGUUCAUUUUUUUCUCUUUUUUGGUUUUUUAUGUUUUUCUAGAUCUCUUCAAAAUCUUUGACAUUUUAUCAAUGUUUCAAGUUGAUACAUAAAACAUACACUUUAGAACAUCUAAAUUGGUCGUCGAGUGUUUGAUCUACCCACCUAGACGCUAGGCUGAUCAAAUCGAGAAGUUAUUGGGCUUGAUUCAAAAAAUCCAUAAACAUUGGUAAAAAUGAAAAUUAGAAAAAUAUAUCCUUAAUUGAUAGUAUGUGAUUUAUGAAGUUAAUGUCUUUUUUUUUUUUAAUAUCUCAUCAGUUGACAUCUCCAAGAAUAUCUAUAUGUACUUGUAUAAGAAAAAAAAAACUCUGGGUUUGUCAUCUUCUCUUAAUUUGUAUUUUUUUAUUAAUUCAUCAACUAUUUUCUAGUUUUUUAAUUUAGUAACCAACGUAGUAUAGUUAAUUUAUUUUUCUAACCAUCAUUAUAGCAUUCCAUUUUAAGAAUUAUUUGAGUUUAAUCUUAAACAACAAUUGAGAGAAAAAUUAACCAAUUAUUGUGUCUUAACAAAAAGAAAAAAAAAAAGUUGUUAUGAAGAAAAAAUCUAAACUAUACAAUAAAAUAAAAAUGAAACAUAAAUAUCAUGUGCAUAGUACUUGUUUUCAAUGUUAAUUCUUAUUGGUAAUAUUUGAAAACUCACCUUAGAAAAACAACACUACUUUUCAUCGGUAAAAUUAUUUUUUUUAUUAUUUGGUUUUUAGAGUUAUUAGAAUCCAAACUAAAAUUUGGAGAUUAAGGUUGUAUUUGAUAUUAAUUAACGUUUUGUUUUUUAAACGACAAUAUAUUGUAAACAACUCCAACUAUCCACCAUGGUCAAACAUCUCUCUUGAGAAUAAAUAGUAAAACGGAGGAGGAAAAUUUUCCUUACAAGAUCUUAAACAUGUAUUACGUUUAAAGUCUAGACAAAACCUUACAUAUGCCUCGUGAGAACGAGAGAACACUAAAUAGACUUUGUGGUUUUCUUAACUUUACUCCAAUAAUAAUAGGAUGCUUGAUUGACUAAGCCAAUAAACGAGAUAUAUAUACUAUAUUUUUCAAGAUCGAGAAGACGUGAAAGUAAUAAGACAAUGAGUAACAAAUUUGGCAAGAUUUCAUAAUUUUUAUAUUUCGAUACUUUCAAUUUAUGCUUAAUUCUCUCUAGUUUCUUUAUCAAAAUUAGGUAUAUAUUUAUUUUCAAGGCUCGACUUAGUUUUUAAAUAGAUUAGAAGAAGGUGUGUAUGAAAAGAUAUAGAAAUUGUUAGAUUGGAGUUUAUAAAAAUAAUUUAAAAGACAAAAAUUUAAAAGGCCUACAAAAAAUAUUUUUGUUAAUUGUAUUUUAAUUGCUAAAUUGCUAAAGUUAACUACAAUUUUUUUUCAUUGUUGGAUAAGUUUUAAAUAUUUUGGUCAACUGUAUUUUAAUCUUUUUUUUUUUUAUAUAUAUAAAAGAUACCUCACUACUAUAUAUUUUUACUACCAUACAUUGUUAUAAGAAUAACUUGGGAGUACACUACCAAAAAUGUAAUCAUACUUAUGUAGUUCUAUUAUACCAAUAAAAUUGGUUGAUCUAAUUUCAACUUAACCCUUAUCUUUUCCCAACAUAAUGCAAGAUUUAAGAUAAUUACACCUUAAUUUAAUUAUUAAACUUUUCUAGAUAUAAAAAUUUAAGCAAGUAAAAAAGAAAAGACACUUAAAUAGAUUUUCAUAACAUUUUUUUUAAUCAUGAUAUAUUAAUUAAUUAUAAAUUUACGUGACUUUAAAUUUGAUAUUGUCAACAUAUCGAUAGAAAAAUUUGUAGACGUUGCAGAGUUUACAACAAAAGGUUUAUAUCUAAAACAUAUGACUGUAGACCUUUCACCUAUCUCUAUAAAGAUGAUCAUAAUAGUAUAAUUACCACCUUAGUAUUAAAGCACCCCAUGCGCAUAGCUUUAAAACCGACCGUCGACAUAAAUUUUAGCCAUAAGCGUCGAAUAUAAACUAAAUUUAAAUAUAAGAAUGGGAAGGAAGACAGCAAAGUAGGUAAUAAGAAAUAGAGCAAGUUGUGUGUUUUUAAUUUUGAAAUAAUAUUGCAAAUUGUAAUAUUUUGUUAUCGAUAUUUUCACAUAGUAAUAAAAUUAAGAAAAAAAGAAAGGAAAAAACGCACCAAUCAAUAAGGAAGAGCCACGUGACAGAGUAAGACGGUGUUUCCCAGUGAAAGAGGUGGAGGGGUUUGAUUGGUUGAAGGUGUGAAGCGAAUCGUACGGAACAAUAAACCCAUAAAAAUUUUCAAUUAAAAAACGUACGGAGAAAACAUUUGUUUAAAACCUUCAAAUAAAAACAGCUUUUACAGUAUUCGACGAGUGCUCCAAAUUUAAGCUGCAACCCUGAAUUCCCGAAAUUACCCUUUUUCCCCCCGUUUACUAUACUACGCAACCCGUUUAACUGGCAACCGACAAGAAUGUUUGCUGUCCUCAGCGUCAAAUGCCUCCUUUGCCUCUCCAAGGGUCACCGGCCGCAGUGGUUGUCAGUCACUUUAACAACGUGUCAUUAACUCACCUAGUUGCACACUAACCCUCGUGCACCCAAAUGUGAGAGAAAUUUUCUUUUUCCUUUUCUUUUUCUCGUAAUUAGAUAAAUUUAAGGGAAAAAUAAUAAUAAUGGGUUUCUCAAGUGGUCGCAUUUAUUCUGUUUGGUUUCUUUUUUUGGGAGGUUCCUAUUUUCUUUCUUGAGAUUUCCCAAAAAAGAAAGAAAGAGAUCAGGUUCUUCAUCAAAUUUCAAUUUCUCUUUCCUUCUAAAAUUUCCUAUCUUCCCCAUAUCCUUUCUUAUUUAUACUCCAUUUCUAGGGUUCUUUCUUUCUAGUAGACUCUCCUCCAAAGAAAAGAAAAAAACCCCACCAAGAAAUUGAGUUCUCUUGCUUUACGUUUUUUUUUUCCCCCCUCAGGUUUCCUCCCCCCCCAUUUUAUCUCAAAACGAAAAUUUCAAGAUUUACUCAUAUAGGUAUGGGUUUUGAUCCACUUUUUAGUAAAUGGGUUUUGAAGAAAAGAAAAUUUUGAUUUGUGGGUUUUCAUUGUUUAUGAGAUUUAUGAUGUAAAAGUCUAAUCUUUUUUUUUUGUUUUUGAGAGAAGGGGUAAGGAGAGAUAUAUAGGUUUGAAGAGCCAAAAAAAUGGUGAGAGGAAAAACACAAAUGAAGAGGAUAGAGAAUGCUACAAGCAGGCAAGUUACUUUUUCAAAGAGAAGAAAUGGGUUACUGAAGAAGGCUUUUGAGCUUUCAGUUCUUUGUGAUGCUGAAGUUGCACUUAUCAUUUUCUCUCCAAGAGGCAAACUUUAUGAGUUUUCCAAUUGCAGGUAUACUAACAUUUUUUUUUUUUAAUUUUCCAAAAAAAAAAAAUCUCUCUAUAAAUCUCUCAAAUCACUGUCUUUUUGAGGUUACUAACGAAACUUCUGUAUAUGCUCAUUUUCUUUUGGAUAUUGUCUAUUUCCUUUGGUUUUAAUUCUUUCUUCUUUUAGCAAAAAUAAAAAAUCGUACUGUCCUUCCUUCUUAUUUCUCUAACCCCAACAGGAUUUGUGGGUAAUAGUUCAAAGUUGCUUUAAUCAUAUUCUAAAUCUUUUAUAAAAGAUAUUUUAGAGUACUCUUACUGAUUUAGGGCUCAUUUUGUUAGGUAGUUUCUGUUUCUUAGCUUGUUGAAUAAUGGAAGAUACCAUGUGUUUGACUGAGGUUGUUUUUGAACGUUGUAGAACAUAGCUUUUGUUAAAGAUAAUAUUUCAUGUUAAACUCAUCUUACUUUAGUUUAGUCUAAUAAUAGCUAGAUGUGUAUAUAUAUGAUUUAACAUACUAAGGUUAGUUAAAAUAAUAAUCAUAUGAAUUUAUUAGGCAGAAGAUGCUGUACCUACCCCAUACCUAUUGAACAAUUUCUUUAACUAAUUGAAAUCGCACUGUUGGUUUAUUAUUACCAAACCACAUUUUCAUUUUUGUUGAAUCUACUGUGUCCUUCAAAUGACUGACAAAACGCAAACCUUAGAGAACCCAAACUUUAUGUAUGGUUACCGUCGUUAUAUUUGUAAAAACUUCUAAGCCUUUUUCUUUGACUAAAAAUCAAGGCGUGACUUUGUGAAGACUUAACUAGAAGGUUUCCCAUUAUUAAGGACUGUUGAAUUUCAUUCAUAGGUUUAUUAUAUCUAGAGAGAAAUAGGCUGUUAUAGCUUGAAUCAUACCAUCACUAAUGCUAAAAAUAUAAUAAAUCCUAUAAAUUGAAAGUACUAUACUUAAAAGAAAUGACAUAUUUCUCUUUCUCCAAGGUAAAGCUUCAGCCUUUGUAGAUAAACAAAAAUUUCUUUUUAGUAAAGUUCUAAUUUUUUUUUUUUCUAGUUCCUAGUGUUGAGACAUGAGAGCAUCUAGUUUGAGUCAUGUCUCACUAAGUAGGUAGUAAUUUAAGGAAAUACUAGACUAUCCCAAAAUAGGAAGUUAUUAGCUUUAUUAGGGACAUGAUUUGGAAUAUUUAGCUUCAAAAUCCAAUGGGGGGGAAGGGGCAAAAGAAAAAAGAAGAAGAAAAAAAAAAAAGAUAAUCUUUUAUCGAUCUUUGUUAAAAUUAUUUCAUAUUAUUCCGAUAUUGGUUAAUUAUUCCCACGCAUGGCCUUGAAGGGCAUAUCCCAAUGUAUAUGAGAAAUCUUGGUCGUUCAUUUUGAAACUAACCCUUUGAUUAAAGUUUUAAACUUUGUAAUAAUCAAAAGCUUAAAGUUUAUAAUUAAGAGGAUUUAUAACAAGAACCAGAUACGUUCCAAGUUAUAAUGUUGGAGUUGAUUUUGUUUGUUUGUUUCUUGUUGUUUCUUCAGUAUGAACAAGACAAUUGAUCGCUAUCAAAACAGAACCAAAGAUUUGAUGUCAAGUAACAGCACAGCUAUUGAAGAUGUGCAGGUUGGUUCUCAAACAAUUUGUUGCUGCUUUUUGAGUAGAGAAAGUGUAAGAAGAAACAUAUAUCUGGUUUGGCUUUUCACACAAAUAUUCAAAAGAUAAUCUUGUUUGAUAACUAUUUGAGUUUCGGAACAUGUGUUUGUUCUCUCACAAUUAUUUAUUUUAGGAUGAUCUUUAUAUUCUUGGUUCAAUUCCAAAAUCAACUAAACAACUUUUAAAAAACUAAUUUUUUGAAUUUUCAAAACUUAACUUGAAUUUUAUAAGCGUUUAUUAAAGUAUAACAACCAAAAACUAGUCUUUUUUAUAAUUGUUUGAUUUUUCUAAUCUUAACUUGAAUUUUGAAAAUAACUGUAGAAUAUUCUACAUGUAAUGGUUAUUGGACAUUUCCUUCUCCUUUUUUUUCUUUUUCUGUCACUCCCAUCCUUCUUUUAAUUUCCUUCUUUCAAAAAGAAAAAAAAGAAGCUGAUACAAGAGAGGAGGCUGCUACAAUUUGGCUGAAACAGAAACUACAAAAAUAUACAUACUUUUGACUAUGUUAUACCCAAAAAUAUUGUUAGAGGUCUUUGUAGAUUUUUGGCUACAAAUCCAAAGAUUAUUAGCGAACGUUUUUUUUUUUUUAUCUGUCUCAUUCAAUAAUCUUUAAAAAAAAGUACAAAUUUGGAGUUCUUUUCUUGGCCCUGAAACGACAUGCUUCUUUAAGAACUAUUCAUGUUUUAUCUGUUUGAUAUAUUUAGCUAGGUUUGGAGGUAUAGUUUUAAUUCUUGAAUUUCUAUGAGUUUCCACUAAUUAGAAAGUUAAAUUUUAGUUCUUAUAUUUUAAAGCCAAUUUCUUCCUUUGGUCAUUUUAACUUAAAAUCUCAAAAUUUCCAUAUAUACUAAUAAUGUUUGUUCAGUUUCGUAUACAUCUUAUCUCUUCUACCUCAAAAACAUUAUUGUCAUAUUUUUGUCACAUUCCACACUAAUGUAUUUUCCUUUCUGCCAUAUGUUUAUAUGUGUGUUUGAGUAAUCUGAACUGAUGAGAAUUUGUUUGGGAUUGAAAGUUGGAGAAGGAAUACGACUCCUUUAGCAUGACUAAGAAGUUAGAGCACCUUGAAGUUUGUAAAAGGUUUGAGAUUAUUCUGAUGAAUACACAAAAAAAGAGACGUUUAUUUUCUUAUUUUUGUUAUAUAUUAAGGGCAUGGUCUGGCCUUCAAAAUCACUUUUUGUCAUGAUUAGAGAAUCACUUAAAACAUGCAUUUAAUGUUUCAAAAAUCAGUUAAUCGAAAUUGAUUUUUGAAUUAUUAAAAACAUGUUGGAUCAAAAUGAUUUUUGAACAUACAAAAAGUGGUUUUCACUAACUGUUUUAAACCAUGCCCUAAUUUAUAAACACAACACUCAGUAAUGUUGUGAAAUAGUACAGAAAACUAUUGGGAGAUGGGUUGGAUUUGUGUUCCAUUGAUGAGUUGCAGCAGCUUGAGAGGCAACUUGAAAGAAGCUUAAGCAAAAUUAGGUCAAGAAAGGUAAAUUUUGUUAUUAAAUACCUCAUAACAGCUGAAAAAAUCAUGAUAAUCUCUCUCUCCUUGAUUUUAAUUUAACUGCAGCUUAAUAAAAAAGAAUUGCCCUUUUUAGAUAUGUUUUUAUGUAUCAUUAACAUAUAAUAUUAUUUGUCAAAUUCUCAGUAUCAAAUGCUGAAGGAUGAAAUUAUGAAGCUGAAGGAAGAGGUAAGUAAUUAAUUUUGUUUAACUUACUGACCUUGUAUUAUUGAUGAUUAAAUCUUUUACUAAUAUUAGUUUGUUUGAUAAAGUUGAUUAAUUAAGAAACAAUAAGAAAAUAGUUCAAAAUGUUGUUUUUGUUAGUCGAGGGUGAUUGUCAGUUGCAAUUUAAUUAUAUUCUCUUUUGGUAUAUAGGAGAAAAUGUUGCUGGAAGAAAAUGCAGCACUGCAGAUUAAGGUAAUUCAAUAUAUGCUGUCUCUUCUUUUCUUUUCAUAAUGUCUCUAUUUCCCUUUUGUUAUUGAACUCCGAAAUGGUCAAUUAAACUCAAUCACAAUCUAAUUAGUAGAAUAAGUGGUUCUUUUCAAUUGACAAAAAGAAGAAAAACAAAAAACAUUUUGCCUUGAAAAACCAAGCACACAAUUAUAUUAUUUUCUAGUAAAACCUGUAACUGCUAUUUUUCUCUCUUCAACAAAUUUCAUCGUUAUUUUUUCCAAUAUAUGAAUUGGAAUUAGAAUCCUAAUCCGAUGGAUAACUAUUUCCUUUGACACUUAGGGAUGUAUUUAACAUCCAACAAAGUUCAAGAUAAAUCAAACAUAUAACUCUCAAAGUUUAGGGAUAUGGAAAGAUAAUCUUUGAAACUUGAACUUUUUUCUAUAUACAAGUAGAUAAAGUUGUUCCUCUAACUACAAAUCCAAAUCCACAUGAGUACUUAUAACAAAAAAAUACUUAAUUAGUUUUUUAAUAUGGGAAUUAUAUUUUUCAGGUUAUAAGUGAAUCAUCAAAAAAACAAGAAAGCAAUCAGAGAUCAGAAUCAUCAAACCAUGAAGAGAUAAUGGAUGUGGAAACUGAACUAUUCAUAGGACCACCAGAAAGAAGAAGCAAUAAUAACAAUAACAAUAAUAAUAAUGCCUUCCUAUAGAGACUUAACCAACGAAACACCCCUUGUUACCUUCCAAAAUUUCCCAAGAAAGUAAUAUUACCAAAGAAGAAAGAAAAAAAAAGGGUGAGUUUUGAUUUACAUGCAGCAUUUAUUUUUAACAGUAAAAUGUGAAACCCAACAUAACCCUAAAAAAAAACAAAAAAAGGUUUAUGCAUGAUAAAGUGUUUCACUAUAUAUACUUUUUAUGAGGAAAAGAAAAGUAUAUAUUUGAAACUUAAGUAAUUAAUUACCUGUAUAUUUAGGAACAACUGUGUAUCUUUGUUGGAUAUUGUCUUUUUCAGGUUUCUCAGGGCUUUUGCUUUUGAUUUAAUUGCUUAACAUGUUUGUGUUUCUCUUUUUAUGGGUUACUUUAUUUGAAAAGAAAUGUGGAAAUUUGGUGUCUAGAUUGUGAAAUUUGAAUGGGAAUAUUGUCCAUUUUUGAAGGCUACUAGAAUUAGUUUUAAAUCUAUUAUGGGAAAUGCACACACAUAUAUAUAGUUUUUUAUUUGCUAGAGAACAUAAAUAAAAAGGGGCUUCACAUGGGUCCCCAAGCUUAUUCCCAAAUUCAAUUGAAGUUGGGUGGUUUAUCUAGUUUUUUGAAAAUCGAGUUUAUAAAUAUUAUUUCUCUUGGUUGAUAUUUAUAUUGUUUUGUUGUCUAAUUUGUGGGAGGUGUGAUUUCAAGAACCAUGAGACUAAUUUUGAGAAAUAAAAGAAAUUUGUUUUUAAAAUUAACUAAAAUCUUAAAUGCUUGGUAGGGAAAGUCAAUAAUGAAGUUAUUGUAGGAACAUAAAACUUUUAAAACUACGAAUUAAAUGUAAGGUUUCCUUUAGUUUUAAAAAUUUGAGUGUAAACUAAUUGAAUUUUAAUUCAAAUUUCAAAUUUAAAAGAUAUUGGUAAAUAAUAAAUUAGAUAGUAGAUACGAGUGAUCUGAUUUUCAUAUUUUUGUUGGCUUUUAUAAUUUUGAGUUUUUCACUCUCCAUGAAUUCUUCAAAUUUGAGGUCAAAUCAUCUAAAAAUAGUGACUCCAUUAUUUGAAAAACUUCAGAAUAGUGUAGGGUUGCAAACAAUGAAAACCACACAUCAACUUAAUUAAGUGAUCCAGAUCAAUUGAUUUAAAGAAAUUGCAACAUGGUUGUCUAAAUCUUCUUAAUAUUUGCUAUUUAAGUUUAUGGUUGAAUUUAACUUCGUCCAUUUUCAUUCAAAUUGUUGUUUUUCUUUAUUACGUUAUAAACAAAUAAUUGAAAAAAUUAUCGAAUAAUAGAUAAAAAACUUCAAAUAGUGUCUAAUAAAUUUCCAAUCAUUUAAUUCAGCCUUUGAUAAGUAUUUCAACUUUGCAUUUUAUGAAAAAAAAAUAUGUUGCACCAAAUGGUAAGUUUAUUUCAUAUUUAUACUUAAUAUAGAUCCAUUAAAUUUUAAAUUUUAAUUUUUUUGUUUGUGUUAGGGAAUUGUAAUGAAUUGUUUGAAAUUCAAAAUUAAAAUUAAUAAGGAAAAAGUCAGGCUGGUUUUGGUGGAUAUUAUGGCCAAAAUGAAAAAGAGUAAUUUCCAAUUAGGCAGCUUGAGUUGUGUAUUUUGUUUGAUUAUCCAUUGUGAGUUCCCAAAUGGAAUAUUUAAAUUAAAGCACCCAAAAGUUUCAACCCCAAUUUGGGAAAUUAUCAUCAUCAUCAUCUUCUUCAUUCAUUCAUUCGUUUUUGGAAUCCAACACGUAACUUACCUAAAACAGGUUUUUUCAUCUCAAAAAUCUUUUUUUUCCCCCUAAUUCUAGUUGGAUUGAUCAUUGAUGACAGUGACCUCCCCUAAUUUAUUUAUUAAAUAUCUUCUUUAUACCAUCUUUAAUUUCUUCUACAACUAUAUAUUAUAUUUUUUCAUUUUAAAUGAGUGAAAACCUAGCUUUUAUAUAUAUGUAUAUAAAGCGACCUAACUAUAUGCUAAGAUUGGACACAUUAUUGGUUUAUUUGCCAACACAUACAGAACAUCCUUAACAUGAAUGUGUUUUUCUUUUUUAUCCCUUUUCUGUAUUAUUUUUUUUUUCUAAAAACUUAUAAUUUAUAGAUUGUUUUUUAAAAUAUAGCUUAUAAACACUUCUUACUUUUUAAUUUACUUUUUACCCAUUUUUUAUAAAAAUAAGAAUUUUAAAAACUAUGGUAUCUUUUAGUAUGGUAAUUUCCCUUUUUUCUUAAAAAUUGAAUCCAUUUUUAUAAUGGUUUUCAUAUUUAUAAACUACUUUUUUUUUUGUUUUGAAAUUUUGCUUUAUUUUUUAAAAUAUUUAUGAAAAUUUUGAUAAUAAAACAUUUAAGAUUUAGAAAACGAAUAAUGCUUAUGGUUUUAAUUUUUUUUAAAAAAGGCUUAAAAUUCUAAUUUAGAAUUGAGAAAAUUCAAAUUAAAUUCAUUUCAUUUUUCCAAUUAAUUUGAGAAGUAAAAUUGAUUAAAUACACAAACUUUAAGGUAAGAGUAAUAAUUGUCUCUUUCCAGCACAAUUAAUUCUCAUAUAUAGAAAAAAUUAUGAAACUAACGCAUCACUGUUUAGUCUUAAUAACAAAUAUGACCUUAGCAAAUCACCUUUAAUCAAAGGGUCCUAAUCAUCAGCAUGUAAAAUCUACCCUAAAAUAAUGCAUUUAAGUUUUCAUUUCAUAUUUUUGGAGCAUAAAUUUAGACAAAAAUAAUCUUUAGAGGGAACAUAUAUUAUAAGCAUUAUGUAUGAGGAAAAAAAAGGAAUUGUUAUAAGACGUAUUUGAUAUAUUAAGAACGAUAUUUUGAACCUCAACUUCAACUUAUGAUAUAUAAAAGAUGUCUUUUAUAUAUCAUAAGUUUGUAAAUUUACAAAGAUGAGUUUGUAAGUACAAUUAAUACAAAAUAGAUUUACAACUUCAAUCAAAGAUGAGUUUGUCGACAAAGAUGAGUUUGUAAAUUUUAUUUGUCAUUUCCAUAUCCAUAAACUUGAAAAUUUCGCAUUUAGGUCUCAAAACUCUUCUCCAAUUCUUAAAAUAUUAUAAAAAUUGAAAUAGAGUUUUUUCUUGCAAAAAAUUUAUCUUAAAGUACAAUUAAUUAUAACUAGAUAAAUACAUAUGGAAAAGCAUGUGUAUCAACUUCAAGAUUUUAGAAUUAGUUAUAAUUAAAAAAUUAGCGAUAUCAACGAUUGAUAUGUCAAACAUGAUCACAUAUUAGUAUCAAUACCGUAUUGAUUAUAUUGCUAUAUUUCAUUGAUAUCUACACCGACAUAGCACACCAAUAUUGAAGAGGUUUUGUUUGAUUAUGUACGUAUUUUGACACACUUCCAGCUUCGGCUCACUUGUUAAAAACUUUCAAUUUUGAAAAUUUAUAACGAAAGAGUUUAAAUCCCCAUGAAAUACUCAUGGUCCUUUUGAGUGAGCUCUCAUUUUUCAUUUUCUUAGCCCCACUUUGUUUUUUUGCUCUCAUUCCCUCACAUUUCCUUUCCUUUUUUUUUUUUUUUUCAAUUUGGUGUGUGGUAUGAAUGUGAUAUAUUUUGAAGUGUUUUCUAAUUUAGAACCGAAAAAUAUUACAUACAAAUUUAUACAAAAUAUUAUUUUAUUGUGUUUGUUUUGUUUCACCGUUAGAACUAUCAAAAGUUUCUAAAUAAAUUUAAGCUAAACUUUAGAAUUAAAUAGUUCAAAAAUGUCAAAUUAUAGUGAGUUUUGAAUAAAAAUAGUUAUUCUUUUAUUUUUAAAAAAACAUCUUUUAAUUAAUUAACUUUACAAAUUAUAUACAUGUCCUCUUUAUUUUUUGAAUAGAGGACACUCCAAUUUUCUCCUAUUUGUUCAAUUGUUACACCAAUGUUCUUGCAAAAAAAAAUAUAAAUCAAAACUACAGCUUCACUUACUCAAAAAAUUAAAAAGAAUUCUAAAAUAAAAAAUAAAAAAUCUCACCUAAAAACUUAUCCAAGAUGGAUUCAAUACUCAAAUACCAAAAAGAUAUGUUAGGUUAUUGACACACCUCUUUCGUUCUUCUAUUUAUUUAUUUUUGCCUUUUUGCUAUAAUCUAUAUUUAUGUAAUUUACCAUAAACAAUUUUCAUAUAAUAACAAAAGAAAAGCCAUCCUCAAACGAUAAACAAGUUAGACUAUUUUCAUAUACCCAUAAAAGAAGAAAAAUAUAUUAUAAGUCCUUUUUUUAUAUUAAAAAGAUAUACAGUUGAAAAGCUUAUUAGGGAUAUUUUCUUUCUUGAUUUUACUAUAGUACAAUUAUUAUUUGUUUGUUUUUAUAUAGUUGUCCCAUGUUUAGUAUUUAUAUUUCAUAAAUUUAUGGUACAUUUUGAUAACAUGAGCUGUAUAUAUAUUUUUAUUUUGUACGAUACAAUUAUUGGAGGUUGGAGCAUUCAAACUUUCUACCUCUCAAAUAAGAGAACAGGUUAAUCACGGUUGGACUAAGCUAAUUUUGACUUUAAGGUGUAUUAUUGUCUCAUUUCAAUUAUAUAUUUUAUAAAAGUGGGAUAUAUUUUAAAAUAUUAGAUGUGGGGGUUUGAAAAUAGAAAUGAAAUUUUAUUUUAAACUGCUUGUAUUUUUGGGUCAAAUAACAGAUUAAUGUAAAUAAAAUUCGAUAUGGAAGUUUGAAAGCAUUUAGAUAGAAUAGCAUGUAGUCUAAAAAUGUAUUUAGUGGCCGGUAGAGUAUACAAGUAUUUGUAGUGGGUAGCAUCCAAAGUCAAAAACAGAGACGGUGUCGUAUUAUUGAUCAACCACGUAAAAUCCCCCAAAGGAAAAAUAAUGGUUGCUUAUUACAACCAAACCUAAACGAAGUCUACUACUUGAAGCAACAGCGAAGAAAAAGCAAUUCCUUUCCUACACGCUUCUAAUUCCCAAAAAUUCUGGACUUCACUACUCAUCAGAUUAUACACAGCAUUUCCUUUUUCAUUCUUCCCCUUUUCUCUUUUUUCUUUUUUUCUUUUGUUUCCCAUAAGCCUCAUAUUUUGUUCCUCCCUAAGUUUCCUCUGUUUUUGAUCCUUUAAACCGAUCACAAACCCUCCCAAAUUUCUGGAGCUAAUUUGUUGGACAAGAUGAGGGUUUUGACUGGUAAUUCUUCUCCUCUUCUUGUUCCUUCUUCAAACCCUUAUCACGAUUCUUCUUCUCUCUUCCCCUGUAAACGCAAAUCCAAGAAGAAGAACCAUGGAAUGGUUCCUGUAAGUUUCUUUCUUUCUUUCUUUCUUUUUUUGGGUUUUGUUUUGGUUUUGAUUUUGAUUUUGACUCUGAUUUUAAUUUUUAUAGAUGGCGAGAUUGUUUGGGCCAGCCAUAUUUGAAGCUUCGAAGCUAAAGGUUCUGUUUUUAGGGGUGGAUGAGAAGAAACAUCCAGGCAAAUUUCCAAGGACUUAUACGCUCACACAUAGUGAUAUUACUUCUAAACUUACUCUUGCCAUUUCUCAAUCCAUUAACAAUUCUCAGGUAACUCUUCUUCUUCUUCUUCUUUUUAGUUUAAUGAAAACUCCUUUUCUAGUUUGUCAAAUAUUUGAAAAUUGAUAGUUUUGUUUUAGAUUAUAAUUAUGUGAAACGUGUUUUUUUAUUCUUGAAUAAUGCUUCUCAUAUCAGAUACUUAUUGAUUUUUUUCUUCUUUUCCUUUUUUAUUUAGCUUGAAGACACUUCUUCAAUAUUUUUUAAAAUAAAAUUUACCAAUAUUUAGAAAAAAAAAAGAAAACAAAGCUAUAGUUUUGAAAACUUAAAAAUAGUUUACAAAACUAUAUCUUCUCGGUAUUUUGAAUCUGAAUUCUAUUUUAAAAUUUGGUUAGAAAUUCAAGUUUUUUUAAGAAAAGUGACCGAAUAGAGUUUUGAAGUCCCAACAAUCCAACUAUAUGGGAACUUUAUUUUCUGGAAUGGGUGUUAAAUACAAUAAAAAUGUAAGUAUUGAUGAUGAUGGAUGAAUAUAUUAUUACGCAGUUACAAGGAUGGUAUAAUUGGCUUCAAAGGGAUGAAGUGGUAGGAGAAUGGAAGAAAGUUAAGGGAAAAAUGUCUCUUCAUGUUCAUUGUCAUAUCAGUGGUGGCCAUUUUCUUCUAGAUCUUUGUGCUAAUCUCAGAUACUUCAUCUUUCGCAAAGAACUCCCUGUGGUAAUUUCUCUUUCUCUUCAUCUAUUAUUUACUAUAAGAUGCACAAAAACUACAGGAUAAAGAAUAGACUCCAAUCAUUGAUCUAUGAGAAGUUAGAUAUAAAUUUUACACUAUCAGCAAAUUACUUGCAUUUGGAUCAUUUGAUGUCUGCUAUUUUUCAUUUACUUGUCCAAUAAAAAAAUUAUAAUACAUACCCCACUUCUGAAUAAUUUAUUAUAUAAUUGACAUUUGAUUCACACGAUAUAAAGGUGUUGAAUGCUUUCGUCCAUGGAGAUGUGGAUUUAUUCAACAAUUACCCUGAAUUACAAGAGGCUAUGGUUUGGGUUUAUUUCCACUCCAAAAUUCCAGAAUUCAACAAGGUAGAGUGUUGGGGCCCACUGAAGGAUCCAGCCCCACCUUCAACUGGGCUUGAUGGGUCCACUCAAAGCCAGCCCAUGUGGGAAUUGGGCUUGCUGGAGCGGCCCAAACCUUGUCAAGAAGAUUGCACUUGUUGCUUCCCAACCAUCCCUUCCAUUUCAUGGUCUCCCAAGAAUAAUGAGUUGGAGAGCACAUAGAUUCAUUUUAUUGACUGCCCUUAAAAUGUAAAUAGUUCAUCUUUAUUGUUACUAUAUAAUGACAAUUGAAUGUUUUCAACUUUCUAUUUAGUCCUUAUAUUUCAAUUCGUUAAUCUUUGUAGUAUCUAAGAUGUUAAAUUAUAUAUCGUGGAAAUUUUCUUCUUUCAAUAGUGUUUUUGAUGAAAUAUAAGGAAAUUUCUCGUUAUGUUUCGAUGAAAUCUUUUUUCUAGUUUUAAUUAUAUCAUGAAUUUGUAAUAACCGAGCUAAGAUUGUAGAAAAACAAGUUAGACAGUUGUAUGUUGCAGACUUGUGAAUUCCUGCAUGCUUUGGAGGGAUUGGUAAAAUUCUUUUAAAAAAGGGAAAAGAAAUGCUUAUAUGCAUAAGGAAGAAUUGACACAAUAUGCUACCAGUAUAAUUUAAUUGACUAAUGUAGUUUUGUGGUUCAAAUUAUUCUUUCUACUUUGCACUAAAAACAAAAGAUAUUGAUACGGAUAAUUACUUUUUAUUUGCACUGUAGGAAGGGGAAUUGAAAAAGUUCUAGAAGUAUACCAAUUGAAGUUGGUAUUAAAAAAAAAAAAUUGAAUCAUUGAGUAUAAUGAUUGAACUUUGAUGUUAUUGACUUGAUAUUGGUGUAGCUUGGUGGGAAAGCUUCCACCUUUUAAAGUUGAAGUGUUAUUGUUUAGAAAACAUUCAACUAUGUUCUAUAUUGUAAAUGAUUUUAGGAUAAUGACUCAUUAGUAGAUUUUAUUUAUGUUUAUGAGUUAAGAGCGUCAAAGUGGUUUUUAAUUCACAAUACCUUGUACCUACCGCGAUUACUUAAUACACAUUGUUAUUGUGUUUACAUGGAGUAAAUGAUAUAGUGAUUUCUUGAUACCAAAGUGUGAAUGUGUUUCUAAGAUGUAAAUGGAAUGGUUAUUUCAAUGGUGUAAAUGUAGCUAUGAGUACACAUGAUAUAAAUUACUUAUGAUUGUGCGUACUAAUCAUCAAAUUAAACUAUGUCAAUAUAUGACAGUAAGUUGGAGUUGGUUUGCUGAUCUAUAAUAGGUUUUAAAUUUAUUUUUGCACUUUUUCUAAGAAGUUAUUUUUAGUACUCUUUAGCUCAUGUUUUAUCUCUUCUUCCAUUAGGUUACUUUUGAGUUCAACCAAGUUUUCUUUACUAGUAUCUGCCACCAGUUAUGGAAUGUGUUUCAUAUCAAUUUUGUAUGUACAUUUAGGUAGACAUCAAAGUGUGUGUAUUCAAUGUUAAGGAUGCUAAAUUCAUGAAAAUAUAGAAUAAGUAAAGAUGGUAAAAAUUGUACAAAAAGGUGUAAAAAAAAACUUAAACCCAAGAAAAGGUCACGUAGAAAAAGAAAGAGAAUGGGCCAAAGUCCAUAUGAAGGCGAAACCUUAGGAAAAUGUCACCUACGGUAUCCAGUCCAAUGAAACUCCAAAAAACACAUGGAAUGGACUAGAAGUAAGUAAGUUAUCUGAGUACGUUAUACAACUAUAAUAUAUUCUCACUUUCAUCCUUUUCUUAAUUAAGCAUGUGAUUAGAGUAAAAAUGGCAUCCACAAGCACCAGUAAACAAUCCAGUUAUUCUUCUUAUAUUUGCAACUUUCUUACUCUCUCCAUACAAACAGAUUGACUGCUGCUGCCAAAUCCAAUUUGGGGAUCAACAAUUCUCAACUAAAACUACUGUAUAUAAAUUUAAUUUGAUGAAACUAAAAAAUAAAAGUCAAAUAAGAAAUUUAAAAAUGAGUUUCUUAUUUAACCGAAGAAAAGAAAGAAAAGGAAAAGGGAAGAGUAUGGUGUAUGGUAAAGAGUAGAGUAGGUGGUUUUGUUGUUGUUGUUGUUUAAAAUAAUGAUUUGUUAGGCAUCGGAAACCCCUUUAAAGGACGGCUACCGUAAUGCAAACAAAUUGAUCCUUUAAAUCUCAAACUUUAUUUGGUGGUUUGUCUCUUUCUUAUUAUAUUAUUGGACUUCUAAAGUUUGAGUCCAUAUCUAAUAAAUCUAUUUCUAUUCUUUAUUAUUUUACUUACACAAAUAUAUUAAUAUUCAACACUAUUAGAAAAUUAAUAAUAAUAAUAAUAAUAAUAAUAAUUUAUGUGGGACCCUUCAAAAAGGGAAUUAUUGAACGAAUUAUAUGUUUUUUUUUUUCAUAUCAAAUCUUGAACAAAAGUGCAUCAAUAAACAUGACAAGACGAUGGGACACAGAAGAGUUUAUUUAUUUAUUUUUUGGGAAUUGAAGUGAAACUUUAAAUAGAGAAAAAUGUUAUAAAGGAAACUUGAAAAUGCACAAAAAGUAUUUGGAGUUCAUAGUGGUUCGGUUAGCCCUUGUUGGUGUCAUUAAAAAGGAUUCUAAAGAAAGACAAUACACAAUAUAUAUAUAUAUAUAUAUAUAUAUACAUAAUAAUAAUAAAAUAAAUAAAUAAAUUGAUUAGUUGAAUCGAAAAAGAAAGAUGAUAGCUUGGAAAGGAGGUAUGGUAUUUCUUUUUUAUAUAUAUGUUUAUUUAUUCAAAGAUAGAAACAAGUAGAUAUGAUUUUUAUUUAGAAGAAUAUUUUUUAUUUGAUAGAGUUGGUUUUAGCAUCAAGGAGUAUGGUAUGUGUUAUAUAUUUCACAAUUAGCACGUGGAUAUGUCAAUUUUGUAAUUGCCAAUUUAAAAUUAUAAGGCAGUGAAUAAGACAUGAAUUAUCCUAAAAUUACUUGUUUGAUAUUCAACUUUUUAAGUUUAAACUAUAGAUUUUUUAUAUUUUAAUAUACACUAAGCAUUGCAAGUUCAAACAUCUAACGGUGUUGAACUAAAAACGAUAUAUAUAUAUAUAUAUAUAUAUAUAAUAUUAGGAUUUUUCUUCAACACAAAAUAUUUGAUAACAAACACGAAGUUAUGCUUAACCUUGCAGCAAAAUUUAUUUCAAAAAAAAAAAAAAAUCAAACUUUGGUAAAGAACAAGAGAAUAAAAGAAACUAAAAUCUUACUCAUCUAAAAAGCAAUGCAUUGCCACAUUUAACCAUUCACAUGGUGUGAUGUAACUUACAAACUUGAUUUUUCCAAAUCUUUUUUUUUUAUAAAAAAUCACAUGCAUUUCUAAAUUAUCAACAAAGAAAAAGAAAAAUCAAAAUUCUCUAUAUACACCAUCAAUUUAAAGCCAUAUAUGAAAAACCUAAUAGUUGGACAAAGAUUAAAAUAUUAAAAGAAAGUAUCCUAUGAUAACUAAUUUAUUGAAAUCAUCCACAUUUUUUCUCUCGAAGAAUUUAUCUAGAGACUUCAAAAUUUUCAUAUAAAUAUAUAAUAUAUAUAUAUAUAUAUUAAAUAGUGUUAUCAAUCCCAUCAAAAUUUUUCAGAUUUCAAACUAUAAUGGAAAAGAAUAAUACAUAUGUACAUGAAUUAUACCCCAAAUAUCUAUGAAUGAAUCAUAUGAAUAAAAAAUCUCUCCUCUCUUAAAUUUACAAGUCACGGAAGUAAUAAUCAAAAUAUUGGGUAAUUAUUUACCUUACUAUAUUUUUCUAUUGAAGUGGGGAAGAAGAAAAUAAUGGAGAUUUGAGAACAUCUCCUCCGUGUAAAGACUAUUUGAAAAUCCAUCACUUCCUUUUUUUUUUUUUUUUCAUCUACAGCUUUCUCAGAUCUCAUGUAGCUUUGCUUUGGCUAAUGCAGACCAGAUUUGGUUAAGUUCUUCAUAUUGAAUCUUUCUAAACCAUUGACAAAAAAUCUUUGUCAUUAUUCCUCAAAAAAGAUGGUGCAAGAAAGUUGAAGGGUAUGUGUUAAGAACAGGGGUUCUUCAAUGGUUAACGGAUGGUGGUUCGUCCCAGGAAGGAUGCCCCGAUUUCACUGUCCGUGUUCUGCAAUUUAUAGUUUAAACCCAUGUGUGAGUUUGAGUUGACAAUGAAAUCGAAAACAGAACAAGUCCUUUCUAUAAGGAUCCCAAGAACCAAAUGUCAGACAAACAUGUGUGUGUCAUACAGUUUCACAUCAUGUGCAAAGAUAUCAUUUAAAAUGAAGAAAAAUGUUCAAGACAGCUCAGUAGUAGCUAUUGAUUUUGUCUGACUAUAACUCAUCUUGAUCUGAUCCAGAAACUGAUGUCCACUGAAAAGACUACAUUCAAGGGACACAAGAAAUCACAUGUAUUUCACAUCAUACCAAAAAUAGAAAAAUUUAUUUACCUGUGAUUUAGGUGAAGGGAAGACAUUCCAAAAUCUUAGAGUUUCAUCACCAGCGCCUGUUACAAUGGUCUGCAAGGGAAAAUUAUACAUGAUAAAAAAAAAAAAAACAAGUAAAAAACAACAAAUUGGUAUCUCUUUUGUUUUCCACAAAUGGUAAAAAAAUGUUGAGAGAUCACGAUACAAACAAGUAAAAACGCUACCUGUCCAUCAGGAGAUAUGGCCAGAUAAAGAACUCUGAAAGUAUGGCCAGUCAAUGUCGCCAACUGUAAAAGAGGAGCAUAAAUUAAAUUUAGAUUGGGAAAUAGCAGAAUAUGAUCAUAGUCGAACAAGGGUUAAAAAGCCAACAAACCUUGGACAUGGUUGGAUAUCUCCAGACUAUUAUUUGGUUUUGGGAGAACCCAUGAGUACUAACAAGUUCAUUAACAUUCUUAGACCAUGCCAGAUUGCACACCUGCCACAUAAGACGAAGAUACGGUUUAUGUCAACUUUGACACUGAAGUAUGUAUGGCCACUGAAGAACUAUUCCAUUCCCCAGAUAACAAAUAUUCCAAGUAUGUUCUAAAAUGAUACAUUCAAACUUCAGGACCAAAAAGGUCAAUGGAGAUUGAGACAAGUCUUGAUAGCAGACAGUUGAACUACCAUCUCAAUGGUAUAUCAUUUUGAUGAAACCAAACAGCAUAUAUGCCAGGUUGGGAGCAUAGAAUUACAAGGGCAUCCAACCUACCAUUUUUUUACUCCAAAAAAGUUGUUCCAAAUCAAUUUUUAUAAAUAUUAACAAGAAGUCAAUGAUCCAUAUUAUUAAUUUAUGCCGGCAUUUGAUUUGCAUUUUAAACAGACAAUUCUUGAAUUACUAUAGGCGGAGGUUGGGUCUAAAUUAAAAGAUUCCUUCUAACCCAUGCUUGAAUCACACAACGUAAGAAAAGAAAUAUUACAGAAGCAAAGAGACAGAAAAUAAUUACCUGACUUCCAGUGUCCAUGCAGCUCAAGUGUGUAUUGGUAGUUGUGUUCCAAAAACGAAUACAUCGAUCGGCAGUUCCACCCCCUGAUGCGAGUAGUCCAUGAAGAUGAGGAGACCAUGCUAUAGCUUUAACAGCAGCUGUGUGCUCAUAAAAUUUAAGUACAGGUUGGGUUGAAUGUUGAUUCCAAACAAAUAACUGAAAGCAGAUAACAACAGAUAAAUAUUAGUCAUCAUGACAGAAGGAAAAACAAACUGCUACAGAGAUGGAAGAAAAGGUUAUAACGUACUCUAUUGUCAUUUCCUCCUGAUGCCAAUUCACGAUUAUCAUAUGACCAUUUCAAUCCACAAACCUACAGCAGAACAGUCGUACUAUGUUGCUAAGAAGUUGGUAAAAGAAAAGCAAGAGAAAUGCAAAAUGACAGAGGAUAAUGAGCCGAUGAAGAAACUAUUCAAGAAGUAAGAUCGCACAAUAUACUAGUGUCCUAAAAAUUCAGUGGGAGUUAUUACUUGGCAAUACUCAAAUGCUUUAAACAAAGGCGAUCCUAACAUUUGAUUUAUGGCCAGGAAAAAGUAACAUGUAUAUAAGCCUCACCUCUGAUUUAUGGCCAGAUAAUUUAGUCACAAAAUCAUCCUGAGCCCUAAUAUCUCUUUGAAGAAUACUUUUGUCCCUGCUACCAGACGAUAAAAGUGAUGAGCUCCAAGCUAAGGCUCCAAUUCGUAACCGAUGCCCCUCCAUGGUCCUAACCCUUUUACAGCGUGAUGCAUCCCAAAUCUAGAGAGAUGAUCAUUAGGGCACGGGUUAAUCAACACUGGAAAUAAUCAAAUCCAUCGGAAUCUCAGUUAUGCAAAUCUCAAGAAAAUAGACAUCCACAAGAGAUGAAGGAAAAAAAAAAUCCAAAUUGAAGUUUAUACGCGAGAACAUGCAUAGAUUUAAACAAAUCAUGACUAACCUGGACUUUCCCAUUGCUAGUGCCAACAGCAAGAUGAGUUCCACGCUGUGCCCAGCCCACUGAACAUACACUGUCAUCAAUUCCUAAAUCACACAACUUGGUGACCUGCAAAAAGAAUGAUCUUGCUGUAAUAAACGUCUCACAAGCUACAUAAAUUCAGACAUAUAAUGAAACAAUUCAUCAAUCUCGAGAUCGGUUGCCGAUUCAUACUAAUUCCAAAGAAUGGAAAAAGCAUCUUAUCACUGUAAUAAAAGUCAAUAACAGAUCGAUCAACCCACAAAGAUGAAACUCAAAAUCAAAAGGGCAGUCAGAGAAUUACCUUACUACUGCAAGCAUUCCAGAGAUAAACACAAUUACCCAACCCCACAGCCAGCACGUUAUGCGAAGACCAAUCCACAAGAUUGAGAUAAAAAUCAUCUUGCAAAGCAGGUGCAUCCAAGACCUAACAAUGCAGAUAACAGGAAAAAAAAAAAAAAAACACACACACACAAAAAAUUAGAGAAUCCAAAAAACAAAUCCAACCCAAAAUGGGUUAACAAAAAAUUCACCUUAUAAGGCGAUCGAGGAACCUUCCUGGGAGUCUUAACCGGACUGGGAUUAAGGCCGGGAGCAGCAGCAUCAAAGCCAAAAGGCGAAAGGGAAUGCAUUGACCUUCUCGUCUCGGUCUUAUAACGAAAAAUAUUAUGAUUGGGAAGGCACAUUGGGGAGCUUCUCUUCUCAGGAGUAGCAGGAGGGAUUACACCAGAAUCAGGACCAAACAAAGCAGUACGAAGAAGGGUAGCGUAAGCAGUAGAAGUAUCCUCACGACCAUCAGAGUGGGAAUUGGAAACAGGGGAGAUAUCAAAAAGGGCAAAAUUAGAACCAGAUCUACUGGGUAUGAAUCUAUCGGAGUAAAUAGCUCUAGAUGGGGACAAAUGGUGGUUGAUAUUGAUCAUACGGUCGAUUUGGCGAGAUGGGGUUAGGGUUUCAAGUGAGUGAGAAGCCCGAGACAUUGAAGAAGGUAAAUUGAGCUGAAUAGAAGAAGAAGAAGAAGAAGAAGAAGAAGAAGAGGGUGAAGAUGUUGAAGAAGAUAGAUGGGUCCGUUGAGGAAGAGCUUGAUCUUCCAUUGGAGAAUCAAUGGAAGAGAUCUGGAUGAUGAAAUUGAAGGGAAGAGAGAGAAAGAAAGGAGAAGGAUGAUAGAGAGAGAUAGAGAGAGAGAAGUGGAGAUAGUAAAAGGAGAAGAGGGGGGCUUGUAAUAGACGGAGACGGAGAGAAUUUUUGACAGCUUGGAUUGUAAUAAUAAUAAAAUAAAUAAAAUAGAAAUAUAAAUUAAUUAAUUAUAAAAAAAAAAAAAAAAAAGUUCCCGGCAAAUCUUAGGUAAAAGCUAAUGCUUUUUCCCGGGAAAUCUACUACUCUACUUCUACUACUACUACUACUACUACUCUUCCUUCUUUUCUUUUUGUUUUGUUUUGUUUUAUUGGGCCAUCUCUUUUUUCUUCUUCAAUUGGGCCUUCAUUAGGCCCAGCCCAACUCUACUAUAUCCCUAAUUCUUAUAGCUUCUUUAAUUACUAUUUAAUACUAAUAAUAAUAAUACACAUCCAUCUCUCAUUAUUAUAUUUACAUAAAAACUACCCUUAUGUGAUGUUAGGUGCUCUGUCCUUAUUUCUCUUCUUUUCGAUUUCUUUUUCUUUUUUCUUUUAAAUAAUUAUAACACAUUUCUCCCCUUCCUAAUUUCAUUUUAAUUUUGUUUUAUCAAUGCAUCAUCUUCCUAAACUUAACAUUCAAUCCCUCUUCUACUUGUUGUACUAAAAAACCAUUCAAAUUUUUAAUUGAAUCAUCAAAAACUAAAACUACACUUUAUUAGCAUGAGCCCAUUUAAUCAUUCUCUUUUCCCUUUUCUUUUUUAAAAAAAUACUUUUACAAAUUAUUUUAAAUGUAGUGUGCAUAUUAAUAAAAAAAAAUUGACAAACUAUUUACAUUACAUAGAAUAAAACUACAACAAAAAAAAUUAUUAUACAUAAUUUUUUUAAUUUUGUAUGAAGCGUAAAUAUUUUGUUAAAUUUUCUAUUUUUGAUAAUAUCUUAAUUAAAAAAUUAUACAAUAUUUAAGGAUCAAAUAUAUUUAUUAUUAAAAUUUUAGGACUAAAACAGAAGUACUUUCUUUUUUAAUAAUGAGGUUGAUGGCCGAAAAUUUUGUUUUUAUUGGUAUGUUUUUUUUUUAAAGAAAAUAAUAAUAAUAAGCAUCUGCUAUCGAUGUUACAUUGAAUCCAUUUAUAGAAAAUAUUUUGAAGUUAUUUAAACUAUGUAGUUUUCAGAAAAGGAAAUUAAAAUAUUGCCAACCAAUGCAUUUGUUUAUCUUUCUUCUUUUAAGAAAUAAAAAAUAAAACAUCAUAUUUAUACUCCACACAUUAGAGUUUGUCACUUAAAAUAAUUGUAUCUUAUAGAUUAGUACUAAACUUAUAGGUUAAUCAAUCUAAAUCAUUAUUAGUUGAGAUAAUUUUAUUUUUAAACUUGUGAAUAAAUACCUUUCAUAUGCGUAUUAAGACUUUAAAAAAUUUAAAGAUUGCAGAGAAAUAUCAAUUCAUAUUUAUAAACUUUGAUAAUUGCAUCAAUUUAAACAUUGAACUUUGAAGGUUAUAUCAAUUUAAACCAUAACUUUCAUAAAUGCAUUAAUUUAAACUCUUUGGUUUCAUAAGUAUAUUUAAGGAAAGCAUGAUAUAAAGUUCAAUUGAUGCAUUUAUAUAAUUCUAGGAUCUAAAUUGUACAUUUAUAAGUUUAAGUGUUUAAAUUGAUACAACUAUUAGAAUAUAAGAUUUAAAUGGAUACAAUUAAUAAGUUUAAAUUGAUACAAGAAAUUUGACAUUUUCUAAAGAAAGAAAGGUUGGAAACAAAUACAUCUUACAACAAAAGAAAUGUUGUAUAUUAAAGACUUUUCCAGGCUGUUUUUUUUUUCUUUUCCUUUCUUCUUCCUCAAUUUUUUAUUAGUAUUUUGGUAGAAUUUUAGAAAGAUAAUGUUUUAUAAAGUGAUUUUGAGUUAAUUUUAGAACAAGGUUUGAUAGAGUCACAUGCAUAGAUAAAGUCUAUGUCUGUAUUAGUGAUACAGAUGACCAGUAUCUACACACUAGUAAACAAUGAUAUUUUGCUACUUUUAUAAAUAUUUUAUUUUAUUUUUGUAUAUUUAAAAAUAGUUUAAUUUUAAAAUAAAAUAGUUAUUUAUAUUUAUUCAAAAUUUAGGAUUUAAAUGGAUAGAUUUUACUCAUCCUAAAUUGAUUUGCUCCCUAUUUAAUUAAAAAAGAGGAUUGAUUCUUUUUAAAUUUAUUUCCUUUUAAAGUAUAAGAAUGUGGGGGAGAUAUAUAAAGUCUUUUAAGUGAAUUUCCUUUUCAAUAUACUAAAAAACUUCACAUUUGUUUUUGUUCAACUUUAUGGAGGGAUGAGAUUUGAACUUAUAACAUUUGGCUUAAUUUAUAAAUUCAUAACCAUUUGAAUCAUAGUUAGGUUGGCAUACAGCUUCAAUUAAAGAAUUUGGAUAGAAGUACUAAAGCAUUUAACUAGUGAUCUAAGUUGGUAGCUAUACAUUUAUUUUAGUAAGAUCUCUUUUUUAAUCCUACAAUUCAUUUUAUCUCUAAAAUAUAUUUAAAAAUAAAUAAAAAACCCAACUAUGGUUUAUUUGAAAGAAAAAAAAAGGUUAUCAUGGUUCAUUUAGAUAUUUCUUAAUUUGGUUCUCAAUAUUUUUUUUUAGAUUCUCAAAUUACCUUUAAUGUACUAAAUAUUCCCAAUAAAGUAUUUUCAUAUAAAGUUGGUUAAAUAUUCUUUAAAAAAAAAGUUACAAGAACACUACAAUUUUAUUUCAUCAAUAUAUUUACAAUAUGGAUACAAACAUAAUGUACCUAAUUGACAAAUGGAUAUCGAACCAUUCCAUGAACAAAAUAUAAUCCCAAACAUAAAAAAUUGACGUCUUCUAAUAGGCAUAUCCAAGUAGUAUAUAUGAUCAUAUUUUAAAUAGGUUAGUAAAUAUAGAUAUCACAUGUAUUAUUUAUUUGGAAUCGAUUCAAAAAUUUGGAAUGUAUUAAAGGUAAAUUUGAGAAUUUAGAAAGACGUAGGAGGAAUAUCAAAAGCAAAAUUGAGAAUUUAAAAAAGAUGUAAGACUAAUUUUAAAGGUAAAUUUGAGAAUUUAAUUAAAAAGUUGUAGGACCAAACUGGAAUUAUGGAGGGAGUAUAAUUAGUGUUUUAUGUAGGGACAAAAAUAAUGCAAAUAAGCAGUAGAGUCCUCUUAUUAUUGGGCCUCGGCUGCAAGGUCAAGUUGCAACCCAAUCAAGGCCCAAAAUUACUACUCCAACCCAAAUCCAUAAAAGCUCCAACCUUCUCUCUUCCAAAAUUAUUUAAUUUAGUUAGUUCGCGACUCAUGAUUAAACAAUUCUUCAAACGUCAUAAUCUUACUCUUUUCUCGAAAUGCUCUUUAAGAUUUAAGAGUAUGUAUUAAUUUUCUCUCUCACUAUCAUGUUAUAAACUUUUUGAAAAUUAUGUACCUUAUCGUGAUAUAUAUGUUUAUGUUGAGAACACAAUAUAUUUAUAAACGUUUAGAUAAGAAAGAUACUAAAUCUCCAUCUCUUCUAAAUCCAUCGUUGUUAAUGGGAAGUUAGUUUUGCACUUUAGUCUAUAUUAUUCAACAUAUGUGAAUGAGAUCUCAAUUUACAUAGAAGUUUAAAGUUUUUCUAAACUUUUACAUAAUCAUCCUCAUAUCUUACCCUUCUAACAACUAAAUAAUUAUAAUAAUUAAAAGGUAUUAUUUUAGUAAGAAUUAAAAACAAACACUUUUUUUUUAAAAAAAAGUUCAAUAACAAGUAUUCAAAUAAUUUAAAAUUUAAAAUUAACAUUUAGUAGCAUAAUCUUCCAUGAAUAUCACAGCUACUGUACAAUAAAUUAAAGUUGACAAGGAAGGGUAGAAAAUAUUGUGAACAUAAUAUUUUUAAUCAUAAUUUAGAUGUACUUUUAUUAAAAUAAAAAUAAAAUGUUCAUAUAUAUAUAAUAUAUAUAUAUAUAUAUAUAUAUAUAUAGAUAGAUGAGUAUAUAUGAAAUGAUUUGUUAUGUAUAGUUAUAAGAUGCAGGUAAAUAUAUGGUUGAAUCAUUCAUGUGAACCUUUAAAAUUUAUGGGUAUCUUUAAAUAUAGCUAUAGAAAGUGUGACCACCUAUGGUUUUUAUUCCUCUUUUACAAAGUUAUUAUAUAUAUCCUUUUAUUAAGAUCUUGAGUGAGUCUAUACCAUUAUUAUUUUCAUUAAUUUCUGAUUUUCCUUUUCCUUUUCCUUUUCUAAUAUAUAUAGAUUUUGAAAAAAAGUUAAUAUUAAAAUAUCAGUAUGUAAUCUACCAUCUAAAAUUAUUGUAGAAAUCGGUUCAAAAUAUUUAUUUGAUGGGAACAACAUUCAUCAUAUUAGCAUUAAUGGUUUACUUUUUCUUUCCAAAAUAUUCUCACCACUAAGUUUCGAAUCGAACAUUUCUUCUUCUUUCUCAAAUUCCUCUUCUAUCACUUCUUUAAACGGCUUUAGUUUUGUUAUUUGAUUUCAACACUCGUAACAUUAGUUGACAUACAAUUCAAAGUGAACAAUAGCUAGCAAAGUGGAUUUUAUCAUUUAAUAUAUUAUAAAAAACAUACACUUUUUGGUAAAAUAAUUAAUAUUUUCAGAUUCCUUUUUAGUAGAAUGUCUAAAGUUAGCAUGCUGACUAUUAAUGACUAAUUACUAAUUAAGUGGUAGUGGUUUGAAUCCUUAUACAAUAAUCCUUUCCGAAAAGAGAUAGACGAUAUUUUAAGAUCUUAUCUUUUAUUUGUUUGAUGAGUUAUGGACAAAGAUAACUUAUAUAUCAUUUGGUGUGAUAAUGUCUAUUUUGACAUAAGACUACACGACUUUAUUUUUUGUUCUAUAUAUUCUAACUCGUUUGAUCAUAUAGUUGAAAUAAAAUGGUUAUAGUCUCACUUAAAUAGCAUUUUCUUCUCCGUAUAUUUACCCUCUAUAUGUGAGAUUUUUAGUCGCACUUUCAAAAAUAAAUAUUUCUUUGAACAAAUUGUCAAAGUGUCAUCAAAUGGCCACUAUAUCAAAAUUUCAACAAAUGCUACAAACAAGUGUUAGAAUGAAGAACAUGAAGAAAAGAAAAAGGAAUGAUAUAUAUAUAUAGGAAGUUGUUUUCCAUGUAAAACCUAACAAUAAUGAUACUUUUUAAUCUUUUUUAAAGCAAGGAGUAACAAUUUAAUUUUUGAAAGUUCUUAUUAUCAAUGUAUGUGGUUCUUAAAUUAUGAGGAAACUUUUGAGUGUGUUACAACAAAGUCUAUAUAUAACCAUAUAAUUUUGUAAUCAACCCUAAAAUAUAGAAAACUCGAUAAUAAGUUCUUAAACUAGGGUUGUCCAUCUCGUAUUAAGUUUCUUGUCUUUACAAAACAUUUCACUAAAUUUUAAACGAAUUGACAUAGAUUUUCUUGAGAUGUUAUUUUUCAUCUAGGUUUCAAAUUCAAGCACGAGUUAUUGCUAAUUUGCAAAUGAAAAUAUUAUGGUUAUGAGUUUGACGCAUCCUCAUUUCUCUUUAAAAUUAAAUCUAUGUUAUUUCUUCAAUUAAUUUUGGAAUCAAAUAAUAAGUUCUUUUUUCUUUGUUCUCUUUAAGAAAACUCAGUAAGAAAGGUAGGGAAUAUUAGAGCUAAAAGGAAUUGGGAUGAGAAAUAAAUGGCUCUCAACUACAUAGUCAUCACUCAUCAAAUUGGUAUAAUGGUAUUGGGUAGCUCUCUUAGCCCAAUUUGGAAGUUUCUUCGAUCCAUAUACACCAAGAUUUGCUUCCCUUUGAAUAUGCUGGAAACUAUGAACAAUGGCCCAUUGUCUCCAGUUGAAGCCCUCUUUCCAAACCAACCUAAUUUUAUGAUCAUAAUAAUAAAAGAAUUGUACAAAUCGUCUUUUACUAUAUCGAGUGUUACCAUUAAUCACUCAUGAAAUUUUUUUUAUCAACUUUGUUGUUAAUUUGUUUGCAAUUACAUUAUUGAAUUUUUAAUUAUCAAUUAGUCGAUCCCUUAAUUUGUUAUUUAUACCAACCUGUUAUAGUUUGUGAAUUAUAUAUAUGUCUUGUUAUUGUUCUUUUUUUUCUUUUUCCAUUAAAUGAACAAAUAUAUUAAUAUCAUAUAGAGUUGAUUUGCAACAAACUCACAAUUGUUAUAAGUUUGACGUUUACUAUAUUUUUUAAAGGUUGUUGUAGUUGUUUUCUCUUGAGAUGCUUGCCAUUUGAUAUACAUACAUGGUGUCUCUCAAAAUGUGUAGAUUAUGGCAUAGUAUCUUUUUUUUCUUAUUGAAAAUUUAUGUGUUUAUUCUUGAGGAUAUUUUUCUUCUCUGUGCUCCACAGAUUAUGACAUAGUUUGUUUCCUCUUCAUUUGUUGUGCAUAUUUAAGUGGUUGUGGUUGCUUUUGAAGAGUUAUAAUGUCAUUGCCUUUGUAUAUGUUUGUAGUAAAUCUAGAAGUGUGUCAAUCCCGGUGGUUGUGAAGCAAAAAUAAAAAGCAUUAUAGUAUCAAGGUGUUUCUCUAAAUCUUCCUGAAAUCUUUAUUGCUUGCCCUUAUAAUUACUAGCGGUAAUUAAUUAAUGUUUAGAAAUGUAAAUGUAAGGAACCAUGCAAUUUAGCUGGAGUAAUUGAUCAAAUUAAAAGUCUAUAGUUAUAAUUGUAAAAAAAGGUAUCGAACCCGUAACAAAAUUUAGAAAUGAUUUGUGUGUUUUUUCAAUAAAAAAAAAGAAAAAGAAAAAGUUAGAACAAUAGUUUAACCAACACCUUCUCAUAAACAUAAUAAUUUGGACAAAUAUCAAUUUACUCUCAAUUGAGAUUAUAUCAAAUGAAACCUUUAACGUUAAAAAUGAACUAAGUAUUCGAAAAUAAGAGGUCUUGAGUUCGCGCACCAAAUAUUUAAAAAGUAAAUUGUUAUUGUUUGUUUAGGCAAAAGAGUUAGAAAAGUGGAAGAAAGAGCAGUGAAAAUUAAGGUAAUAAAUAAAGGUGUUUAACCAAAUUAAUUAAAAAGCAGAGAGAGAGUUCAAUUGGGAGACAUGUUACUUACUCAUAAAAAGAAAGCAUUGGAAAUAUAAGAAAAGAUUAGAGCAAAUUACAUUACAAUUCCCAUGCCUUUUUUAUUUUUAUAUAAAUAUGCAUUACUUGAUUAAAAGGGUUAGGAAGAAGCAUCAUUAUGAUUUUCCACACUCCUAAAUCAUUCCAAUUUCCCUACCUUUUCCACCCCAUUUGACUCUAUAUCCUUCAAUUCUCUAUACUUUAUCUUUUUCUCUUUUAUUUUUCUUCUAUGGUAGCAAAAUUUAUAAUAAUAAUAAUAAAAAAAGACUUUCUAAAAUGCUUAAAGUACAAGAAUUUAUCAUUGUUUUUAGAUUAACUAUCCCAUUUCAAAUCCCAACCAUCUGAAAAUGAACUUAAGACUACAACCCUUUUUUAGCAAUGCCUUAUGUUUCUUUUCCUAGAUAUUAAAAUUCACCUUUGUUUACUCAGUUUGAAUUACUUCAACUCACAAAAUUUGCCUCUAUUUAGUCACGUCAAUCUAUUUAAUGUUUAAACAAUUUUCUUAAAUCUAAAACUUAAAUUAUGUUUGUUUUAAAUUUAUUAUUGAUCGAGUUGAAAUUGUCAAACAAAUAAUUUGAAAAACUCAAAUGGAGAUAAAAUCAAUAUUUAUAUGGUUCACUCAAAUUGAGAUAAAACUUUAAGAUUACAAUCAUACAUAAUUAAAUAUGUUAAGUAUAGAUUUUCGUACUUAGUCAUUUAAGGUGACAUAUAAUAAAUUUAAGACAUUCCAACCGUACAAUUUACCAUACCAUAUCAAACCAAUUACUUAAUUCAAGUUUGAUAAUUGCAUAAGUGGUAUGUAUUUUGUGGUAUAUAGUAGGACUAAUAUAAGAAUAGAGGUGAAAGAAAUAAGAAUUUAAUUGUUGAAGAUACAUGGAUAAUGUUUAAACUAAACUUGUUUUAAAAUAGAAAUUGAAGUUUUAUAUCUCACCCAAAGAAAGGUGAAAGAUUUUAAUCUAUAUUGUUGAAUUAUUAAGUUAUACUUAAAUAGGUCAUAAAGUUAAUGAAGUGGGAAAAAAACAUAAUUAAAAGUUUAAUAAGCAUAAUUAUUAUAGAAAGUUGGGAGAUUAAAAAUUUAAAACUCAACAAUAAAAUAGUACAAACAAAGGCAACUUUUCUUUUCCCUUUCCUUUUCCCUUUCCUUUUCCUUACAACUCACUCUCAUAACUCAUAACCCUAAACCCAAUUUCUUCUAAAUUUUUCCUCUUUCCACAAUUCCAUCUUACAAAACAAGAACACUUUAACAAAAGCAGAGCAACAAAAAAGCUGCUUCAUUCAUUCCUCUUCUUUUCAUACAAUUCUCAAGAAAAAAAACCACUGAUAUUUUACCAAAAACAACACCUUCCUUCAAACCCAUUUUCCAAAUGGGUUUCUUCUUCCUUUUCAUUCUCACCAUUUCUUCACUGACCUCAUCCAUGGCGUUCCACAAUCUCCAAUCGCCGCAUCUCCUCGAUCUUUAUAUCAGAGAUUACACAUUGAAAUCCCUUGACAACACAGUCAAAACAGGGACACUUCACAGUGUUCCGUUACCGGAGAAUUUCUCCGGCAUUGAUGUUGCCACGGCGAGGUUCCGAUGCGGAAGUUUACGGAGGUAUGGUGCAUCGGUGAAAGAAUUUCAUGUGGGUGUUGGUGUUUCUCUGAACCCAUGUGCUGAGAGAAUUGUAAUCAUCCGGCAAAAUUUGGGAUCUAAUUGGUCUUCGAUUUACUUUAACAACUACCGUUUAACUGGGUAUCAAUUAGUUUCUUCAAUUUUGGGGAUUUUGGCUUACAACUCUGGAAAUAAUGGUUCGAGUUCCUCCCCUGUUCCAUUUGAGGUUGGAAUUUCCGCCGGCGAAAAACCCAUUACUAUAGAUUUCAGAAACUCGACGAGAAUGGGUAAAAAUUCGAGAACGAGGCCGAUUUGUGCGAGUUUCGAGAGGGAUGGGAGAGUUACAUUGGCGAAGGAGAUUUCGCCGUCGAUUUGCUCUGUUCUGAGACAGGGGCAUUUUGGGUUAGUGGUGGAGGAGCCAGAGCCGGUGGAGUUGAGGAAGAAGGAACGGCCUUGGAAGGUGGCUAUCGGAAGCGCGAUCGGGGCGGCGAUCGGAGCGUUUCUUUUGGGGUUGUUGUUGGUGGCGAUGUUUGUGAGAGUGAAGAAGAGAACGAGAAUGGAGGAGCUGGAAAUCAGGGCUUAUGAAGAGGAAGCUCUGCAGGUUUCGAUGGUCGGACAUGUAAGAGCUCCGACGGCGCCGGGGACGAGGACUAUGCCGUCGAUUGAACAUGAGUAUUUGCCGCCGUCUCGUCGACGGUGAGAAUUUGAGAAUGUAAUGUUUGUUCAGAUUUAGAGCUAUAGUUUUAUUCUUUUUUUUUCUUUUCUUUUGUAAGAUUAGUGAUUGAAACUGUCAACAAAAAGAAUUUUAUUGUACAUUUGAUAUUGGUUUGCGAUGAUAAACACAACAAACUUUCAAUUGAUUGGUUUAUAAAUUUAUGUUGAUAUUUUGUUCUUUUUUCUCUUGAGUUCCACGGGGAUAUCAAACACCGAUAACAAUUUGUUAGAUGCUAUAUUAAAUUCGUUUUCAUGUUUGUUAAGUAAAAUCAAAUCAUCUUCAUCCAUCAUUGAAGUAUUUGAGUCUAUUAGUGUGAUUUAAGAUGGUAUUUGGACGUUUCUAACAUCUAUAUUUAUUAAAUAAUUACUUUCACUCUUAAUAUCCGUUAAUUAGUUUAAAAGAAUUAUAAUUAUCGUUAAUUGCACUCACGAACGCAUGACUCUCCCACAUUGUCAGUUUUAUGUUUUAAUAUUAAAUUUGGAAUGUUUAUAUAUUAAAUAAUGUUUUAUUUUAACUAAAUUCUUGAUUUAGGUAGAUUUGAUGUAUCCCACCCUAUAACCUAAGGUUACAAAAACCUAACUUACUUUUUUUUAUAGCAAAAAUGCAACAAAGUGGGAUCACUCUCUCAACCAUAUUUCAUAAAAGAAUGUAAUUAUUAUUUCUUCUUUUCUUUUCUUUUUAGUGCAAUUUUUAAAUUCACAUAUUUACCUUACAAAAAAAUCACGUGAAAAUUGUUGGCUUUUAUUUAUCGCUACAAAUUUAGUGAAUGUUAUUGGAGCAUCAGUGAAACGUCAAAAUAUUUUUUAACAUUUUUUAGUAUCUUUAUUAUAUAGUGUUUGGUGUUCUCUAUAUUGAAUUUGUAGAUCUGCCACAAGUUGCACUAAACAUAAUUUUUAGAUAUGAUAAGUAAGUGUAUAACAACAUUUUUUUUAAAACAACUAUAAAUGUAACAAAGUAUACGAGUAAACAGAGUCCCAUGAACAAUAUAAUUUAUCGUUAAUAAACUUUAAAAGCGGUAAUGAAAGCAUUAAAUUAAAAGGUGUAUGUGGAGAAGAAAUGUAGAGAAUAGGGCGACAAAAAGAGAGGAGAGAAAGGAAUGUGUGUGAUUAGUUGUCGCAUCGGUCAUCUAAUUGAGAGAUGAAAAUUGGGAAAGGGUUCGGCGUUUUGGUUUCCCAUUCAUACUUCAGUUCUAUCAUUCUAUCAUCUAUCUAUCUAUCUAUUUUCUAAAGAAUCUUAAAGUUAAAGACACUUUUUGUCGGUACAAAACAAAGGCUUUCAUUCAAAAUUAUUCAACGUUGCGUUUCCUUCCACCUCUUCCAAAAAUCAUUUCAAGCGUGCCAACCAACCACACCCUCUCUCUCUUCUCUUUCAAAAGAAUCUACCAUAAAUUAAAUCUUAGGGGUGUGUGAUUUUUUUUUUUUUUUAAUUUUAAGGUCGGUAUUUAGAUUCAAUUCUUAUAAUAAAGGUUCACAUUAAAUUUAAUUUUAUUAAUUUCAUAUUAGUUUAUAACUUGUUUGGUAAAUUUGAUAUAGAAAAAACUCACUUUGGACCUUGUAGUUUUUAUAUAUGAUAAUCUAGAAGAAACAUCGUUAUAAAACUUUGAGCACGAUGAAACUUAUAUUUUUAAUUUUUUUUAAUAAAAAUAGACAGGUAUAUUUAACUCUAAAUUUACAUAAAACAAAGUCAACGAAGAAGUAAGAAAGAAAAGUGAUAGAAGUGGUUGUUGUUGUGUUAGAAUUAGGUUACUAUUUUUGUAAUGCUAAUUGAAUAAAAUUACAACUAACAUUGAAACAAAGUAUUUUAUUAAUCUAUAUAUAAUACAGGCCAUGGCCAUGGCCAUGGCCAUGUCCAUGUACUUUGCUAGCUAUUGUUCUUCAUAUAUAUCUAUAUCUAUAUCUAUAUAUAUAUUUCCUACCAAGAGUCAAAUUUUCUCUAGCUUUCUUAUGUAGUAAUAUGUGUCUAUUUGUGGUUAUUUGUGCUAUUAUAAUCUUUUAACUUACCAAUAUGUAAUAAAUAUAGUAAUACUUUACUUUGAAACUUAAAAAAAUGAAUAUUCCUCUUCUCUCUUCUUCUUAUAUUAUUUAUUAUUAGUUUUAAUUUGUUGACAUAAUGUUCCAAAAAAAAGAAAUAAUCAAAUAGAAAGUACAUCAAAUUAUUGUAUUAUUGUAUCGAGUACUUACCUACUCACUCAUACUUACUUACCAUACAAGUAGCUUUUUAUUUUCCUAUAUUUUACUUGAUGAAUAUGAAAUAGAAUAUAAAAAAUAGUAAACACAACUAAUUGUAGGUUAUAAGAAUGGAUGAUUUAAAUUACUGUAUAAUUGGAAUUCAAAUAUAGGGUGAACUAUAAUAGCAAACGUAGUUUUAAAAUUUUUCGAUUAAUACAUAUACUCUUGCAUUAGUUUGAUUUGUGGGGUUGACUAACUAUUAUUAAAAUGGAUUUGAUCUUUUAAGUUUUUGCCUCCUUUAAUUACAUUUGAUAAAAUGACCAACUAAAGUCUUGGAUGCAUGCACAAUCUUGUUCACUAAUCAAUUUAAUCUUGAUUGAAACAAACCACAAACUCAUACAAUUUUUAUCUUUAAAAGUGAGCAAUAUAUAUUAUGUAAUUAAGAAAAUAUAUAUAGAGAGACAUGUCAAUACCUAACAGAGGAUUACACAGUACAUCUCAAUAACAAGAGAUUAAAAACUAAUAUUAAUUAGUAUAAUAAAACAACUUUAGGCCUCUUUCACCCUUUUCAUAUGACCAAAUCCUGAUAAUAUACUUCAUCAAAACAAACAAUAAUCAAUAGCUCGUUUUCAAACAAAAAAAGGAAAAAAAGAAAGAAAGAAAAAAGAAGAAAGAAAAACCAAAGAUGGUCUAGAAGAAAAUGAUGGAUGAUCCUCUUCAAGUUCCAAGAAAUUUAAAGUAUAAAACUCAACGGAAGUUGAACUUAGAAUUGUAAGUCAACCCAACUUGCCAAUUUGAAGGAAGAACAUUCCAUAGAGUAAGUGUUUCUCUAGUUGUGUAAGAAGUGAUUCUGAAUGAAAGUGAUUGGCCACCCAAUGAAGAAAAAGCUUGAUAUGAAGCUCCCCAGUUAUGGCUCAUCGUUAUCCAUCCUGUUUUGCUUCCUUUCACUGCCAUUGAAUAUACAUCUCCUCCUCCUCCUACAUUCAUCACAUAAACCAAUAACCAAUAUCCAUUUCCUUGCAAGCUGAAACGAAUUCCUCCUUUUUUCGCACAUGGAACCCUACAUUAUACAAUAGCAUUCACGUUUAAUUAAUAUCGUACUAGUUGUUUCCUAAUAUCCAUUGAACGUGGAUUUAAGAGUUUAAAUAAAAUAGGCAGUUGCAAGUAUAGCAAUCAGAUGCAAAGAAUUAGUAGAGAUGGAACUCAAUGCAAAAUAAAUUAAAGUUAUAGCAUAUUGGUCAUUAAUAAAUUAUCGCUUUUGAACAAGGGUGAGAUGAAGGCGCUAUGGGGUAUGUGUCAACCUCGCUAGUUGUGAUUUUCAUAUGUGUUCUUAUCCCACAACCUUUAAUUUAUUUGUUUCUUUUUCUAAAUAUAGUUAUAGCAAAAUCUAAAUUAUUCAAUCCUAGAGAUAGACAAUUCGUUAACAUAAAAAUUUAUUAGUCAUAGACUAUAUUACUAAUGAGAGUCUAUCAAUAAGAUAGUGUAUCAAUAAAUAAUAAAACUUAUUAUUAAUAGAUUUUGUUAUAUUUGUAAUUAUUUAAAAAUGUUACUUUACAACUUGUUAGCUCAAAAAUUGCAAUUACCCAAAUGAAAAUGCUUUUAAUUCAAGUAGGCCUAAAUUAUUAUAAUCCUUUCUCCUAAUACAUUUGAAGUCGGGAGCUGACCAAACUUUCAAACGUUGCCUUAUUUUUGUUUUGUUUAUAAUUUUAGUUGAAGAACCUAUCUGAGACAAAAUUUUAAACUUCUAUCGUCUAUGUCAUGGAUAUAAUAUCUUAAUCUAGUUGCUAGUUAUCUCACAAGAAUUUAUGUAACUAGACCCAUUCAGCCAAAAAUUUUAAAAAUAAGGUUUAGGGUAUAUGUAAUAUCUUUCUAAAAUUAAACAACAAAACGAAUCAAAUUCAACUCACCUGCGGUACUGAACAGGGACAAUUCCAGCCUUCCACCAAGCGAUCUUCAUGAAGGCAGGCUUAGCCAUGUCGAAGUGAACUCUUGGUGGGUUGCACCACCCACCAGCGUUGGAGUCCUGCGACCAGUUUGGCGGGCACAGGUUAGUCGCUGUCACGGUGGUGAAUGGCACAUUUGCGUAGCACGCCUUCGACUGCACGCAUUUGAUUUGAAAGCAAGUCCCGCAAGCGUAGCCGUUGUUGAAUAGCGUCGAGCUUAAAGCCACAGUAUCAGUCCCAUACCCGUUCGUAAACAAGUUUCCAUACCCACAAGCUCCACCUGAAAAAAAAGAAAAACAAAACGGUCAUAUUUUGUUCAUUAAUUUACGUUUUAAAAAUGACAUUUCUGAGCUUUUUAACAAAAUUUGUUGAGUCUAGCUAUUAUCGCGUUACCCAUAGUCUCGGAGGCAGUUUCGUCGCCAUAAAAGGUGGCAUGAGCAAGUUUCCAUGGGCUCGGUUGGAACACAGCGAGGGUUGAUCUCAUGAAGAUGGCCAAAACCAAUGCCACCAUGAAGAGAUUGAAGCUUAAAGAAGAAGAAGAAGCCAUUGUUGCCAAAUUAUUAUGAGGCCUAGUUUCUUGCUCAUUGACUUAAGAACUCGCAGGGCCUUAUAUAUUCUAAACCACCACCAAAUAAUAAUGGAACGAACUUCCCCUUCGUGACCCUCACGAAGAUUUCCUGUCUACUUUAUCAAGUCAAUUCAUAAAUAUGUAAAAUAAUUUAAGAGGGAAUAACAUAAAUUAAACCCUUUUUUAAAUUAGCGAUGUGUUUUUGGUUGGUAAAGCAUGUAGAUUUCUGAUCAAUUUUAAGGCUGAUUUUUGCAUUUCCUUUUUAAUCAAAGAAGUGAGAGAAACUGUGUUGGAUUGAGAUACGUGGGAGAUAGAGAAUGGAGCAUGAAUUGUGAGACUAAGGAAAUUAUAAUAAUCGGAAUAGAAUUUGAAUCAUUAUUAUAAUCUCAAUAUAGUGUGGAUAAUAGCGUCAAAUUUUGGGUUCAACGUGCUUGCAGGUUUCAUCUACUCAUAAAAGUCUGCCACCCACUUAGCCUAAUCUUUUCGUUUCAUUUUAUUUUUAGUUUAGUCAAUUCUAAUUUUACAACUUAAACUUAAUUGGAUGGAUUGAAGGCUACCAUGGUUAAAUUAAUGAUAUCAGUUUUAGUUACUAAUUUCACCAUCAGUACUUCUUUCUCAUGCAUACAGGUUCUUUUCUACACCAAUUUAAUAUUUAUGAGUAAUUUAGAUCAAAUGUCUUACUUUUAUCAUAAAAUUUAGUCACUUUGACGACUUGCUAUUAUUAUUUGUAUGUGUGGCACAACAAGGCUAACUUUUUUACAACCUAAAUUAUUAGACCAAAUUUUAUUUUGUGAUAUUUUUUAACAUAUAAAAAAACAACUAUACUUUUAGUCUUUUGGUUUCUAGAUGACUCAUUUACCUCCUAAAAGUUUUAAUUUGGCCAAUUUAAGUCGUCAAUUCUAAUAAAUGAGUUUCAAAAAUGGAAUAAAUAUUAUGUAUUUUCUUUUUAUUAUUUCAAACAUUUUGAAAUAAAAAUAUUAUUUCUCUCUCCUCUUUCUGUCUAAUCCUCAUUCCUCCCUCUUCUCUCCAUUUAUUGUCCUUUCCUCAGUAUCUUUUGUUGUUGCAAAAAUUCAUAUUAAGAAAAAAAAAACAAUUCAUCUUUGACAUAACAACGAGGAUAAAUUUAUAAAUCAAACAAUAUAACUUUCCUAACAAAAAAAUGUCACUCACAUUGAUAGUUUUAAGGUCACAUAGAAGUCACAUAUUUAUAAUUUAUUUUUAGUAAAACGACGGUGUGGAUAAAAAUCGAAUCACUUAAUUGUAAGAAUGUAGGAUCGUGUUAAUUACUAAUAAUUUAAACUCACUUGAUGAAUCGAUUGCAUAGAUAAGUUUUUUUUAAAAAAAUUAUAUUUCGAAAUUUCCAAUUCAUCCCUAAAAUUAAUUUUGAGGCUUAUUCCUAAUCAUUCAAACACUUUUUUGAAACUUUGUUCUUAAUUAAAGAAAUCUAACAAACAAUCUAUAAGUUUUUCAUGUGCUAGGAUACGACACUUCUCACAAAUAUUUAGAUUAUGGUUGCCCUAGCAAAAUUUAUAUCUUCAAGACAUUUGAUUUUUUUUAUUUGAUUUUUUUAAUGAAUACUACAAGGACUGUUAGGAUUUUUCUCCUUAUAAGCAAAAACUUCGUAUUCAUACCAACCAUCUACCAUACGAUGAAGCAAAUAGACGAGCAACUUAUAGUAAAGCUCAGACACAUCAAAGGUUGGAUAGCAGCCAUUAUUGUUUACAAGAGGUUCAUUCAAUGUUGGGGACGAACCUCUCAUUUAGUUUGGUCGAAUUGCAGCUAAGGAUUUCGAGCCCUUCACCAGCUAAAGCUUGAAAAAAAAAUGGAAAGAGGGAGCCUAUGUUUUGUGACUGUGUCUAAAACAACUUAAAUUCCUAUUGUCCCAGAAAUGUUUAGAUGUUGGUUUACCUCCUAAGGGAACCCCCAAGUAAUUUAUAGGCAUAUGUUGAACUUUGAUGCCCCAGCGGAUAGUAACCGUUUCGGCUCUGUUUAGAUCAAUGUUGAUAGGGGAUAUAGUGGAUUUAUUCAGAUUGAUGUUGAGACGAGUAGCAACUUCAAAGGCGUGUAGGACAUAUCUGAGGUUAGAAAAAUAUUUAUCGUUGUCUUCAAUAAAGAGUAAUAUGUCGUCUGCAAAAAGUAAGUGGGUAAGAUUGAAAUUCUCUCCGAUCUUGACCCCUUUGAUUUUGUUUUGUUUCUCCAUAUUUGUAAGGAGUUUGCUGAGAUAAUCCAUGGCUAGAACAAAUAUGAAAGGUGAGAUUGGGUCGCCUUGUCUAAGACCUCUGCUGGGAACAAUUUUGCCUCUUGGUCUCCCAUUGAUGAGGAUGGAAUACUGAACACUGGAGAUACAAGCUUUUACCCAUUUUCUUCAAGUUGCAGGGUAGUUUUAUUUUGUCAAAAGCUUUACCCAUUUUCUUCAAGUUGCAGGGUAGUUUUAUUUUGUCAAAAGCUUUCUCUAAAUCGAGCUUAAUAAUGAAUCCUUUACUCUUUUUACUUCUCCAAUAGUCCACAGCUUCAUUGGAAAUAAGAAUGGCAUUUGUGAUUUGUCUGCCUUUUACAAAAGUCAUUUGCUGUUCAAAGACCGUUUCUGGCAGAGUUGUUUUGAAUCUUUCCGCUAUCACCUUAGCAAUCAGUUUGUAAAGAGUUGUUGUUAGACUGAUGGGUCUAUAGUUAGAUUCUUUUUCACAUUUGUUCUUCUUUGCAAUGAGAGCUAUGUAGGUUUUCCUGACAGCUUUGUUGAUGAUGCCAUUGGUUUGGAAAUCUUUGAAAAUGUCCACUAUUCUUUUUUCAUGAAUUUCCAAGCAUAUUUCAAAAUUUCCAUGGUAUAUACGUCGGGCCCAGGGGCUUUGUUUUCAUCAAUGGAGUUUAGAGCAUUCCAGAUUUCCAAACCAACAGCAUCAUCAACAAAGCUGUCAAUGAAACCUACGUAUUAUGCAGGAUAUUUUGGAUCUUCUAUUAUAUUAUUUCAAUUGGUCCGCCAAGCUUUAUUAAAUUCUGCCAUUUUUUUUUUAAAUUUACAAUUAAUGGGCUACGGAGUAAAUUUUCAUAUUUUGUUUCGCUAUGACUACAAAAGAAUUUAAGUUUUUUUUUUUUUCUUUUUUUUUCUUUUUCUGUAAUUGUGUUUGAUAAUGAUAUCUUCGAUGUUACCAUACAUUUAUUAUUUUAUGGCUGGAAUUGCUUGAAGGUGGAGGUGGAGAGACAAACCCAAGAGAGAAAACAACACAGAGGGUUCUUACUCGGAUCAACCGUGAAGAGUGAGAGAGAGUCCUUGGGUUUGCAUUAAUUAGGAUAGCAAUCUGUCAUUUAGGAAUUAUUUUAAAAUUGACCGUUACAUUAAUUACCAUAGUUUGUGUUUCAAUUGUAGUGUAAUUGGGUGAGGUUCUAAUUUGUUGAUAAACUCUUCCAUUUAUACAAUUAAUUUUUGUUUUUUAUAUUUUUCCAAACUAAACUUCCUAUUUUUGCUAUUUAUCUGGUUUCCUAAAAAAUAAAUCAUAAUUACUAGGCCCAUAAUCCACAUAUUUGUUUGCAAAAAGGAGCAAAAGAAGAAAAAAAACAUGAAGCCCAUCCUAAUAUAUAUAUAACGAUGUAAAAUGUCAUGAAUAUCCAUCAUAAUUACUACUGCACUUGGAUAAUAAUGAUGCAUUAUUUGACUGAUACACAUCAUUGAUAAAUUUGUCAAUCUGCCCUUGUUUAUACAACUAACAAACUUGAUACACAUGACUGUUUAAUUCAUUGCUGAUAAAUUUGACACUGUUGCACUAUUUAAAUAGUUGGUACGCAUCUGAUUGAUUAUAUUAUUAUUGAUAAACUUGAUAAUGAUACAACCAUCUAAAGUACUCUAGUAUAUAAAUACGAUAGUAUAUAAAUGCACCUGAUUAAUAUACUAUUUCUAAACUUGAUGGUGAUGAUAUAUCAGUGCAAUUCGCACAUCAAGGCAAUCAACUCGAUAAUUUUAUCUAAUCUAAAGGAUAAUAUUCCAAAUUGGCUAACUUAUGCUGAAGCACAGAGACAUCAAUGGUUGGAUAACAGCCAUCAUCAUUUAGAAGAGGUUGGCAUUCAAUGGUGUGAAUGAACCUCUCAUUCAGUCUGUUUGAAAUGCAGUUGAGGAUUUCAAGGCCUUCAGAAACUAAAGCUUGAACAAAGAUGGAAAGAGGGAGCCUUUGUUUUGUGGCAGUGUCUAAAACAACUUGAAUUCCUAUUCCAUCUUUUGCCCUCACCACUGCUGAGGCCCUUUCUGAGGAAUUAAGCGUUUCUGUCGUACCGGCUAUGGCGACCGUAGUUUGGCUGGCGAGUUCUCUUAGCGUACCUCUUUUAUCUUUCAGUUGUUGGAUCCUUCUUUGCAUAUGUUGAAUGUAACUAACUGUCUCUUGCAUGUGGUCUGAUAUUGAUCGUUUUCCCUGUGGGAAUGAAAUCGUUAACUAUCGGGUUAAGUUUGUGGAAGAAGAUGGAUGUAUGUCAUAAAAAAUUAAAAAAGACAUGUUAGUAUUUUCUUUUUCGUUUGUUUUCUCAAGUUACAACUAUAUAGUAAAAUUUAGAUGAAACGUUUUUAGAAAUAUAGAUUUUAAUACCAAUUAGAAACCUUAUGUUGAAAUGAUGGUAUUUCCAAAUCUAUUUAACACUUUUCAAAACUAGUUAGUGUUUUUUAUAUAAAAAAAUAUACGACAUGACUCAGGAGGUACAUCGGAACACCUUCACUAGGUGGAACGUGGAAACCUUUGUAGCAUCAUUAUCAUUUAGCAAAAUAGAGUUGAUCGGAUGUUUUUAGUUUUUCUCUCACAAUUUCCUUUUUUUUUAAUACUUUCUUAAUUAAAUUCUUUACCAAAAUAUUGUUGAUUUCUCUCGCAUUCGCAUUCACAUUCACAUUCACAUUGGUAGAGCCUCAUUUCUUUUUACUUUCUUAAUUAAAUUCUUUUUAUCUAGUCUAAACUUUUUUAAUUUAAUCUUUCUAGUUUAACUUUUUUAAUUAAAUUAAAAUGUGAUUUAAAAUAUAUACAAUCUAUAGCAAAAUUUUAUUCCUUCAUAUGCUAGUGUGAUAUAAAACUAUCAUACACAAAAUCCAAAAUUUUACUACAUCUUAUUAAUAUUUUAAUUUAUUUUUCUAAUUUUAAAAAUGGAUCAUUCUUAAUUUUGGUUAAUUUUUUAAUUUAAUUAAAAUGUUAUUUAUUUUAGAAAUUUUCAAAAAUAGCAAAAUUUUCAAAAUUUACAACGUAAAACAAAUUUUAUCACGGAUAGUUAUUGAUAUGCUCUAAUGAUAGAAGACUAUAAUUGAUAGAAUUCAAAAUUUUGCUAUAACUUGUAAAUAUAUUAAUUUAUUUUGUUAUUUUUAAAACUGAUCUAUUAAUUUUUUUUAAUUUUAAUUAAAUUGUGAAAAAGAAAUAGUUUUAAUCAAAUAAUUAAUGAAGGUUAAAAUGUGCUAAAUUAAGAAUUUGAUUUAAAAAAUAUCAUGGUGGUUCUUUUAAAUGAGAAUUGUUUUUAACUAAUUCUUAUUUUAACUAAAUUGAAUCUUCUUUCACAUUUUAUAUAAGAAAAGUAUUAAUUUAUUUUUCUCCUCUAAAAAACGUACCAUUAUUCACGUUAUUGUAUAAAAAAUUGAUUUAAUUCUAUUGUUACUGUAACUUAUUUAAAACGUGGUUUUUUUUUUAAUUCUCAUAUUAACCAAAUUUCUUCCAUUUUUUUUGUUUUCCAAUUUAUUUUUAAUUUAAAACUGUAAUUUAUUUUUAAGUUAAUGUUUCAAUUUAUUUUGAGGUUUGUUACUUGAUAGGAUAGAUUUAUAACGAUCAAUCAUUAAUAAAAAAAUUUAUCACUUGAGCACUCAAUUUUAUGGUAGUAGUUCGUUAUGUUUAUAUCAAUGAUAUUCUCUGUAUAUAUAGAUAUUUACCAUCGUAAACCAUUCGUUUUGUAUUUAAAUAUUGAAUGAAGAUGGUUAAAUUAUUGUAGUAAAUAUUAUACUUUAUAUUUAAUUAUUUUAUAAUCAUAAACUAAUACUAAAAAUCUCCUACCUUCAAUUAAUACAAAUGGAUUACAAUACACAUGCUAACUUGUUAAAAUAGUCAUAAAGUAUUUUAGUAUUUUGUUUUUAUAAUAUUGAUCCGUUAACGUCCUCAUUAUAAAUAUUUUCAUGGAUAUUAAGGUAUGGAUAUUUCUGGGGUGGACGUCGAGAACAAGGUGAAUCAAUGAAAUUACUGGUACCUUAAGGUAUUCAAGAGGGAGAAGCGAGCGAAGUGUGGUGUAAAGAGAAGACAUUUCUUGUCUUCUUUGGCGCUCCACAUCUCUAUGUAUUAUCUUCUUCUUCUUUUGUUCGUCAUGGUUCUCAUCGCCGCCAUCAUCAUUGCAAGUGUUUGGCAGUGGCUUUUUCCGGCGGCCAUUUUUUGGCUUUUGAGAAACACGGUUACCGUAGUUGUCCAAGGGCGGAGAGAUGACUGAGGAGGAUGGAAGAGAGGGCAGAGGGACCAGAUCUUCUCCCACGUCAAAAGAAAAAGGGGACUCAGCAUUGAACAUUUCCAUUUCACCCGUAAUGAGAGAGGAAAGAGAGUAUUGGAGGGUUUGUGAAAUCUACCCAAAAAAAAACCCUAUUUUUAUAGUUAAUGAAUUUUCAUGGAGGGGUGGAUUAUAUUAAAAAAUAUAUAUAUAUAUAUUAUAUUAAAAACCCUAUUUUUUAAUCUCUUACAUUCUUAAAGUGGACCAUAUGUUCAAAUUGGGGACCAAAAUAUAUAUAUUUAUCAAUUUCGAGAAUGGUGAACAAAGACUCAAUCAUUUAUAUGCUAAAUAUUAACCGUGUACUAUUUGUCAGAUGAUAAAAUAUUUAAAGAUUACUAUUGUUGUUGACCUAUUAUAUACAAAUAUCUCUCAUUAUUUGGUAUCAACAAUCAAAUUAUAAAUACUCUUUUAACAUUUUUGUAAAAUAUUGGAUCCACGUCCAAAGUAACUGUAUGGAUCACUUUGAACUAUAUACAUAGGAAGUGGAUUUUAAUUUGGAAAAGUGAAAAUAGGAAGGAAAUGAGGAAGAUUUAGGGAUAUAUAGUGUAGUUCAAAGUCUUAUAUAUUUUGAGAGGCAUUGGCUUGUAGCAUAUAAGGUAAGUGGAGUAUUAGUUAAGUUAAGUAACUCAUCUCAUUAUCAUUUUUAAACUUUAUACCCUAAAUCCUAAAUAAUAUUUGAAUAAUUGAGUGAAUCCAACAAGAUAGGUACAAUAAUUUAAAUAUCUUUUGUUUUAUUUCAGUCUUAAAAGGUGGUUUCAAAACUAUUUUGGUAGAAUCAUGUUAUUUUUUCUUUCUUUUUUUUUUUCUUUCCUUUUGGACGGAAAACAAUCAAAAGAAGUCAGUGGGCCCAUCAAUUUAUAUGACAGUGGCUCAUUCAAUUUAUAUUAUCAUUAUUAUUGUUUUGUUAUUAUCAUCAUAAUCCUUCUUCUUCUUAUUAUCUUUAUUAUACUUAUUAUAUAUUAAAAUUUUAAAAUAAAACAAAACUAUGUAAAAAUUAUUUUCAUAAAAUUAUAAAAAUAUUUUAUUUUUUAAUCUUUAAUCACACACACAUAUAUAUAUACUCACCCUACCCACAAUUAGUUGGAUAUUGAUUUAUAUUCUAUCUCAAAUUAUCCUCCCAUCUCCUAUUAUUUUUUUUAAUAUCAAAUUAUUUUUAAUUUUUAUGCAUUGAAAAUUAUUAAAUAUUUUUGUAACAAAAUUAAACAUUCAAAAAUUGGAUCUAUACAAUAUCAAAAAUUACAAAGUUAAGAAAAAAAUCAUCAAAAUAUAAAAAAAAGAGUUAAACAUAUUCAAAAUGGAAUUAAACAAUAAAAUUACCAUUUACCUGCCUACUUAAAUAUUUCAUUCCACUAAUUUUUUCAUAAUAAAAUAAUAAUAAUAUUUUAUGACUUGUGAGAUCCAUCCACUCCACAAAAUGCAAAAAAAAAAAAAAAAAAAAACCACCAUUUUACCUAAAUAGUUUUGAAAACGGCCAUUGUUUCCGAUUAUUCGUAGUUUUGUGGUUGAGAGAUAAAUUUGACCUAAAAGAUUAUUUGAGAGGAAAGCAUCUAUUUUAAAAUUUUUAGGUCAGACUUCAGAGGAGUUAGCAAAUUACAAAAAUAGAAAUUGGUUGUUAGCAACAAGAUUAGUCGAAUUUGUCUACCCUCCUCCAUGCAGGGGUCACUCUAAAAUUACAUUAAAUAUCGCACCAAUAACCCCUCUCCAUGACAUUUGAAUAGGCCGUACCACAAGCUUUAAACAUGAAAGCAACUUUUCCAGACACAUGGCCAUGGAAGAAUCGAGUUAAGAGGCAAAACAAGAAAUACAAGCCAAUUUCUGAUCAUUUCAAGAUAAGAUUGAAAAUCAACCACACACUACUGAGUUUCGUGGGGCCUCAUCAUUUGGCUAACAAUUUCAAUUUUAAUAUAUGAAAGAUGAAUGUUCAAUUUUAAUUACCCUACUUAUCAAAUCAACAAUAAAAUUUCACCUAAAAAUCAACUAGCAAUACAAUAUGUAAUUCAUCUUUUAUUUUAAAGUAGAAAGCGUUUUUCUAGCCUUUGUUUGGGUUGUGUUUUUCAACUCUUCUCCCGCUCUUUAUUAAUAAUAUAACUCUAUUUCCACAAUCUUUUUAAUGAAUCCAUCACCACCAUAUCAAGGAUGAUAUGAAUCCUAGAAAUUAAAAUCACUAGAACUAAAAAGGAAUUUGUUUAGAUCAAUUCCGUUUACAUUUUUACAUUGUCUUAAAAAGAGCGAGAUCCGCAACUUAGUCUGUUACUAACAUACUUCUUCUAUUUGUAGGUUUUCUCACUACGAAGCAUUGUUUUUCUUUCUUUCUAAAAAUGCAAAUAUGUAGGUUAGUAGGGGAACAAAAAGUGAUAUUAUUACUUUUCAAAUGAUACAUACUUUAUAUAAUUUAGAAAAAAAUAUCAAUAAACACAUAUUUACAUAGAUUAAAAAAUAACUCAACACUUGUUUCUAAAUAAUAAAUCAUAAUGAUAAAGUAUAAACUAUGGCACAUUUUCUCAACCAAAUGAUAUAAAGUAAGAGAUUUUAUUUUAAGAUUGAUGGGUAAUGAGCGAAAUAAAACAUCCACUGAAACCACCACCACGUGGUUGUAUAUAUAUAUAUAUAUAUAUAAAGUUGGAGGUACACGAAAACGUAUAUCUCUAGAAAGUUGGAAAAUUCAAAAUAGAGAAAAAAGUUUGGUAGGCAACUUUUGUGAUAGCUGUGAUGUCUUCAAUACACAUCCACCAACAUCAUUUGAAAUUUUCUAGAAAAACCAUUGUCUUACAUUUUUAAUUAUCCUUCAGCUAUGUUGUCCUUUACCAUUAAAACAAGAAGUCCCUUAGCUUGCAAAUAUAUAUAUUUAAUUCUUUUCCAACUAUAAUAAUCAUAUUUUAUUACACUAAACUGAUUUAAAAGUCUCGAACAACCUACUCUAAACAAUAUUUCAAAACUCUCAAUUUGCUAUAGUUUUUACUAUUUAAUAUCAAUCAUUCUUUUAUUAUUUGUUACUAGGGGUGAAACCGAGUUGAGUUAGGUUGGAUUGGGUGACAUUCUCAACCCAACCCAUAUUUCCGAGUUAUUUGGGUUUGCAAUCUGAAUAAUCCAAAUUUUGUUUCUAACCCAACCCGUAAAAUAUGGGUUGGGUUGGAUUGUCUGGUUGUAUAUAUAAAUUUUUUAAAAAAACAUUUUUCCCGUUUUUUAAUUUCUAAUGAUUAUAAAAGUUUGAAAUUGUUACAUUUAAAUUUCAAAUAUACAUAAUUCAAACUUUCAUACAAUAAAUUCAAGUUUUAUAUAUCUUUAAUUAAAAUAAUAUUUAUUUAUUUAUAUAAUUUAGGUUGGGUUGAACUGAAUUUUUCAACCCUCCAACCCGAGACCCAACCUAACCCGAAAAAAUCAAAUUUUUUUAACCCAACCCAACCCUUAUAAUAUGGGUUGGAUAGUUCGGGUUAUUCGGGUUCAACCCAUAUUUGUAUAUCCCUAUUUGCUACAGUGUUGUUUAUAGUCUGUACAUGAAACAUAUACUAUUAUAAUUCAAACUAAAAUAAUUUACACCUUAAAUACAAACUAUAAUAACCUAGAAUUAUAAUAAUUCACUACUGGCACUCAAACACUUUCUUACACUUUCUUAAAGUUAAAAAUGAUUAUGAAACGUAAAUUUAAUCAUCCAAAAUUAGUUUAAAGGUUAAUUUUAAACUUUUAAGUCCCUUUUUGAUUGAAAUGUUUUUAAACGUACCAAAAUGAAUCAAACUAUUUACAAAUAUAAUAAGAUUUCACUAUCAUUUAGUCAAAAAUAUAUAUAAUGAUAGACAUUGAUAUAUAUCCAAUAAUCUCUAUAACUAUCUAGUGAUCAUAACAGACACUAAUUAUAAAUGUCUAUUAGUGUUUAACUGUAUAUCACUAGUAAAUAGUGACAUCUUGUUAUAACUAUAAAUAUUUUCAAAAGUUGAAAUCGUUCAUUUUUUUAUCACUUGAUCAUAGUUGAUGUAAUUAGACAUUAUUCUCACCCGUUUUAGCUCACUCCCUUUCAUCCUUAAUUAUCUCCAAACUCUCUACCCUUUAGUAAGUCAACCUACGAAAACAACUAAAUAGAAUUAUAAAAUCGUUGAAUGUGUAAUGAUUAAUUAUGGGAAGUUAAUAUAUAAGUUAGCAAUAAUAGAUUACAUUUUGAUCUUUUUCCUCCAAAUUAAAACAUCAGAGAAUAUUUGGAAUACAAUUAUUUGAGAAAAUGGUGUUUUCAACAUAUAUUUUAAAAGCCUAAGAAUCACAAAUGUGUUGGUCCUCCAUGGUGUCAAGUGGCUUUCUACGUCCCUCUCCUUGUUUAAAAAGGAUAUGUCUCUCUCUCUCUCUCUCUCUCUCUCUCUAAACAUUUCCAUUCAACCAAACUUCUUAGAAGCAAUUAAUGCAAUAUUAAUACCCUGCAUACAUUAACUAAUUUAACAUCUCUCUCUCAUAAUAACAUCUCUAUUAUUGUUUUCUUUAUAUAUAUAUAAAUGUCUCUUCAUAUAUUAAAUAUAGAGAAAGACCAUUAUAUCAAUAAAAAUAUUAUGAUUUAUACAUAGAUUUAAAAGUAUGAAAAAUGUGAAAAAGAUUGAGAAGAGACAACUUGAAAUUUGUGAAUCAAUGGAUAUGACAUAUGUGCUGAUGAUAAACGAAAAAACAUUAUCUCCCAGCUUUUACACCAAAAUUAAUUAAAAUAAAAUUUGUUACCUAUCAUAAAUAUUUGGUAAAAUUUGCUAUUAUUUAAAAUUUAUCUUUUUCAAAUUUCAAACUUGAGAAAAGAAAAAAUAAUUGUGAUAUUGACUAACUUUUUACUUGUUUAAAAUAUAUUUUUCAUAAAAAGAAAAUACUUUCAAUAAAUAAAAGAACCUCGAUAAUUCCAACUCAAUCUUGAAUCUCAAUCACUCAGGAUUCACGAAAAUGACAUUGAUCUAUGCUGACAUUCAUGGAGACCCAUCUAGGUAACAAAUGAACCAUACCAUUACAAAAUUGGAAAAUGAAAAAACACCCUUUAAUGGACAUAUUCCCCGAUACACCAUAAAUCUUAAAAUUCCUUCUAUAUGAGAGUUUAACCUAAAAUUUUGUGAGAUCAAUUAAAAUGAAACUUGCUUCUCAAGAGUAAAAAAAAUCUCUUAAACUAGGUAAAAGCAUGAUUCGCACCCACAUCAAAAUAGUUUGCAAUAUAUUUUGUUUAAUGUUUUGCAUGUACCCAAUGAUCAACUGAACUAUUUAUUUAUUUAUUUAUGAUGCAUUUUAAAAAGAGUUACUUGUAGAAAUGGAAAAAAUAAGUUAUAAUAAUUAAGUCAUAGCAUACCCACUUUAUUAUUUGCGAAAAUGACAAAAACAAAUACUAGCUCACACAUCAAAAGGUAAAAUGUCACAUAUGUCAUCGUUACUAAUAUACAUUUGAUAUACUUUAUACACAUCUGAUACACCUAAUACCCCUGAUACAUUUGAUUUAUACACUUGAUGUCGUUGAUACUCUUUUAUACACCUGAUACCUUUUGAUACACACCUAAAACAACUUGAUACACAAUAUAAUAUCCCUCGUUACACAUGAUUCUUCUUGAUACACCACUAAUAAAAUUGUUAUGCUUCAUUGGUACACUCAACAAAUUUGAUACGUUUGAUGUACAUGAUAUGUCUGAUACAUCCGAUGCACUGCAGACACACUUAGUAUUAUUCACUUAUACAUUUGACUGAUUAAAUACACUUGUAAACUUGAUUCAUAUACUUGAUAAUGAUUCACUUUACUGAUAUGCUUUAACAAUAUAUUAUUGAUAUAUUUUAUAAUGAUACACUGAAUUACAUCAUUCAUAUACUUAAUAAUACUUAAAUAAAUUGCAUAAAAUUUGAAAAAAAAUGAAAAGUCACGUAGUAAGUAUAUUAACCAACUAAUAUAUAUAAUAUAAGUAUAUCACAACACUGAUAUACAAAAGUGAGACAAAGUAAAACCAAAAUAAAAUCAAUGUAAAAAAAUAAAACAAAAUCAAUUGGAAUCAGAUUCAACUCAAAAUACACAUCGAAUAGUUAAAGUAAAAAAAAAUCACAAAUGAAAUUAAAUUACUUCGAUCAACAAUCAUUAUACAUAAAUAAUAAAUAAAGUAUUUCAUGUUGCAAUUAUUGUACUAUUGAUAUUCUUAAAUCAAGAUUAAGACAUAAAUAAUAAAUUAUUUUUCUAAUAUAAAAAUAAACAAAUAAUUAGGACCUUAAAAAAUUGAAGAAUAAAUAAAUAAUGAGUAGAGCAUCGAAAAUAUGAAGAUAAAUAAGUUAUUGAAAAGUAGUUUAGGAAUAAUAACAAAUUUAAGAUGGAGAAUAUUUUUAUAAGUGAAAAUUUUGUCAUAUUUACAAAAUUCUAAAACAAUAUGCUAUAUUUGCUAUAUUAAAUUCUCACAAUGCUACUCUAUCAGUUUUCCUUUUUAAAAAUAAUAAAAUAAGUUAAAAUAUUUUCCUUUUAAUUUAAUUUAUUUAUUACUUAACCAAAAUUAUAUAUCUUUUUAUGAUUUUGUGUUUAAAAUAUGUUAUUAAAAAAUAUAUUAAACAAAACAAAAUAAUAAUAAUAAUCAAAAGAAGUGAAAGAUUACCCUAAUAAUAAUAACAACAAAUUUGCAAUCGAAAAUUACUCGUUAAGUUUUUAAUUUGUAAUCGAACCAAUUAUUGUUUUUUUUCUUUUGCCAUAAACAUGAUUUUUUUUAUAUUCAAUUACCAAUAUGCAUUUGUGGCUACAAGUGUUAUUAUUAUUUUUUUAGUAACUUCAACUUCUCUCCAUUUUUAUUUGUUUAAUAUAUUUUUAAUAACAUAUUUUUGUUAAUAUAUGAGUUUUUUAAAAAAUAUUGAAAAUUGAAAAAAAAAUGUACCAUUUUGAUUAAGAAAUAAUUAAAUUAAAUUAGAAAAAUGAAUUUAAUAAGGAAAGUUGAAGAUUGUGAUAUUUAAAUAUAAAUAAAGAAAAAAUAAAAAAAUAAAAAAUAAAUUAAUUUAAUAAAAAAAUAUAUUUUAGAAUUUGAACGUUUAAUAUAUAUAUUAUUAUAUAUGGAUAUAUAUAUAAAUAAGGAGAAAAAGUGAAAUGUGUGGGACUCACAUAAUAAAUAAUUAAAAAAUAAAAAAUGUGGGAUCCAGUGUACUAUAUAUAUAAAAAUAAGAAAAAUAGAAUAGGUGGGAUCCACUUCAUGGAAGUGUACGCGUGUACACACCUCAAAUCACCUAUUUUUAAAAAUAGUUGUGCGACAACUUAUUUUUGAAAUAUGUUUCAAAUUUUACAUCAUUUUUAAAAAAGAUCCUUGAUUUAAAUAGCAAACUAUUAAGAAUAUUUUUAAAUUGAACAUAAUGUGUUAUUGAAUAUAUGUAGUGGAAAAUAAUAUUAAAAAACUAAAAAACAAAAAUCAAAUUGUCGUGAACUAGGGUUUAAGUUAUUAAAUAAAUAAAAAUGAAUUUCUUAUAAAUAAAACUAGAAAAUUAUUUCAGAUUACAAAACUAUUAAAAUAAUUUAAAAAAUAUAGUAAAUUCGAGUAUUUAUCAAUUUCUAUAUUAUUAAUAGAUGGCACCUCUAAAUUAGAAUUAUCAUACAUCUUUUAUUCACACAUCAACAAUAAAUGUGAGGAAGUAUUUAUGAUAAUUGAAUAGGAAAAUAUUGAAUGGAUGGUGACUGAUUGUUGUCCGGAGCAUUCCAUAGGGUUUAGGAAACAUAAUGAGGGGCAGAUGAAGGAAGCAUUGAAUAAUGUGCCAUAUCCUAUCCCUACACCCAUUGACUAUUUGAACUUUCCAUUAUGAUUCUAUUUAAUAAACACUGCACCUGUAUCCAUACUGGGCUUCUUCAUUAAGUAAUAUGGUGAAGAAACUCCAUAAUACUUUCAAACGAUGCUAUUUCAAACUACUCUAGCUUUUUCACUAAAGAAAAACUAGUUCUCAACCCCUUUAUUACUUUUUCUUUACUUAUGAUAUCAACUGAAAGAAACAUGUUUUUUUAAUAAGAGGAUUUCAGGUUUAGAAAAUAAAAAGCUCACAAUUCUUUACAAGAUUCUCAGGUUACCCUUACAAUUAUACGUGCGUCUGUUAAAUUUCACGGUUUUUAUUUUUUGCUUCAGUCAUAACAAUGAGUUGAGUUGGUGGUAAUUUGGAGUUUUUGUAUAACAAAACUAGCUAAGAUUUUCAUUCGUAAGAUAAACCUAUUUCGUGAUGGAGUAAUACUUAGGUGUAGUUUUUGUUCUCCUUCCUUACCUAAAAAUAGAAAAUUAACAAUUUUCUAAAAAAUGGUCCUUUGACAGUUUUUAAUCAGAUGCAAACUGCACUCAAAUGUUCGGUUGGGAACUUUAAAAUAAAAUUUUUAAAUUCUCUUCAUACACUUUGAAAUUUUAUAUUUUUAAAGUGUGCAGUUGUUAAAUUGGACGAAUAAGAUUCGUAAAUUUGAAACAAAGACAUCUAAAGAAAUUAGUUCAAUAAUGAAAUUAAAAUUGAUAGAGAAAGAGAGAAAAAGUGAUCAAUAGUUUACUGAAGAUAAUAAGUAGUUGAUAACUUUCUCCCACAAAAGUAGAAUUUUAAUCAGAAAUAUUCAUAGUACGAACAUUAACAAAAAAAAAAUCUACUACAAGACUACCUAUUAUUCAAGAUUCUUGCCAGGAAAAUGGUUUCACCAUAAAUCUAACAGAUCAAACUAGCGAGAACAAUAACGACGAUGAUUAUAUAUUAAUCCAAAGGACAAUACUCCAAAUUUGCCAACAUAUAUUGAAGGUCAGAAAUGUCGAUUAAAGGAGAAUUGGUAUCGGUAAAGACAGCUGGUUGAGAUUCAAUGGUGUGAAGGAACCUGUCAUUUAGUUUGUUGGAGCUGCAACUAAGGAUUUCAAAGCCUUGAUCAAUUAAAGCUUCAAGAAUGUUUGAAAGAGUGAGUCUAUGUUGAGUGGGAGUGUCUAAAAUAACUUGAAUUCCUCCUGAUCCAUCUCUUGCUCUCACCACAACUUUGUCUCUUUUUGUGGAUUGUAAUGUUUCUGUUUCUACCAUGCCAGGAUUUUGGUUAUUGGAUUGUAAUUUUUUCAACUCAUCUCUUUUAUCACAUAGUUCUUGGAUCUUGCUUUGCAUGUACCGAAUGUACUUAACUGUCUCGUGCAUGUGAUCGCAUAUCGACCGUUUUCCCUACAUAUUAUUGGAAAGUUUAUUAGAUAAAUAGAAGUUUCAUUUCAAAAUCAUUCAUUUAGCUAGUGUGAAAAAUAGUUCAUGUAUCCACUAAAAAUUGAGUGAGAUAUGUGUCCAUCUUCUGCAACUCCAAAUAGUAAUAUAUGUGGCAAACUAUAAGAAAAACCUUUUUAUCAUCCAUGAGCAUUCACUAUAGAUUUUGGGAACAUGUUAUUCUAAUUUUUUUUUAUUAUUAUUUAAACCAUUUCAAUAAAUAUUAAAUUUAGAAGUAUUAAAUUUUUUUAAAAAAAUUAAAGAAAUAAUAUUGAACAUUUUAGAGUAUAGAAACUAAAAUUUAAUAAUUUUCUAAGUAUAUGAACCAACUUAAUGUAUUAACCUAUAAACAAACUUUUCUCUCCUUUUUUUCUUUUCAAUUUUUUUUUGUAAGAAAAUUUAUCAAUAAAGUUAGAUUUUUUUUUAAAUAUAACAAAAUCAACUAAAAUGUCAAUAAAUAUAUAUAAAAAAUCACAAAUAGAUAGUAAAAAAAUAUCACUUUUAUUAGAAUUUGAAGUUUUAUUAUACUUAUAAAUAUUUUUAGCAAUUUUAAGGGUUAAAUUCAAUAUUUAGUGAAUUAAAGUGAGAGACAUGAGAUUAUCUUUAUCUUAUUCUUACCUUGAGGUAUUCAAUAGGGAGAAGUGAGCGAAGAGUGGAAUAAAGAGAAGACAUUUCUUGUCUUCUUUGGCGCUCCACAUCUCUAUGCAUUAUCUUCUUCUUUUUGUGUUCAUUGGAGUUGUUCUCAUCGUCUUUAUCAUCUGAAGUAUUGGCCGGUACUGGCUUUUUCCGGCGACUAUUUUUUAAUGUUGGAGAGACAGUUGAGUUAUUAUUGUUCUCCAAGAUGGAGGGGAACUGAGGAACAAAACAAUUAUCUAUGCAAGAAAGAGAAGGAAGAGGCAAUAGUUCAUCACCAAGGUCGUCAAAUAAAAAUGGUGACUCAACAUUAUUCAAAUCCAUACCUUUAUGAAACCAAAGGCCCCUUGGCCAAUUCCCAAAAAGAUCAGAGAGUUAAGGUAGAAGAGGAGAUGGAGACACAAAUUGAUGUCUUGAGUUUCCUAGAAAAGCAAAAUGUUGGAAGGGUUGUGAAAAAUCUUGUACAAAAUACCCUCUUAUAUAGCCACCAGUUUUCAUGGGGUCAAGCAUUUAAUUUAUGGCUAAAUAAUGAGUGUAGGUAUUGUAUUGAUGUAUUUUCAUCUUAAAUCUAAUUGAAUAUUUACUUCUUACGCAACACAUACCUAAAUUUAUUUAUUUUUGUUGAAUCUCAAAUUUUGUAGGUGAAACAUUCAUUUCGUAUUUUAUGUGUGACGAUGUUGUUAUUUUUAAUUUCAUCAAAGUGAACGACUUAGCUAAAUGUUACAAUUUAAUUAAAAAGUAAAUGUUGUUUUUGUAUAUGGUCGAGGAUUUUACGUUAAAAAAGAAAUUGCAUCAAAUGACAAAAUUAAAAAAAAAAUAAAAAAAGCAACCCACAACACUUAUUUUUUUUUAUAUAGUCUAGGAUAUAUAUUUACUUUUUUUUAUUGUCAAUUGAUUGGAUAAUAACUUAUAAAUGGAUCAGACAAUCAAAUUUGCAUAUACUCUUUCAAAAUUUUUGUUAAUCCCAAAAUCUAAGCAAAGAAAAAUAAUGCACUUAGAUCUUUUACGUGAGAGAACAUACAAAACAAAUAAAAAGAGCUGCAAAGCCAAAGGUAGAUAUGAAGAAUUCUAGAACGAAAAGGAAGUCAUCAGUCCUCGAGUUCUAUUACAAUAAUUUAUUUAUACAGAGAAAAACGCUAGAUUUUACCAUUUUUUCCCUCAAGGACUAAUAUGAAAUGAAUCAUUCGUACCUAACUGAUUAAAGAUUAUAUUUGAUUGAAUGGAUCCAUGAUUAACUAACAUUUGGAGUUAUUUGAUCUUAAAACUACGUCUUUAAUCUUUAGGUUCAUUUUUCCUUGUAUUUUCUUAGUUUUUAAAUACUUUCUUAGGUAUAAAUUCAUCAUAACAAAAAUAAUAAUAAGUCAAGUGUUAUAUUAAAAUGAGUUAAAUGGGAUAAUCACUUUUUUUCUAAAAUAGUUCAUGAAUAUAAUAAAUUCUCGUUGAACUCACGAGUCACAAAUCACUUAUAAUAGUAAGAUCUGAGUUAGAUAUUAAACAUAUAAAUUAACCUAAAAGAUUUAUAAGAAAAUGAUUUAAAAGUUUUUUUUGAGCGUUUCAACUCUUUAAAAAAUCGUAAGAACUAAAUGGACAAGAUUAUUAUAAAAUUUAAAAAAUCUAAUUAUAUAGAAUUUAUGUAUGUUUAAAUUUGUAUGCAUGUGUUAUAAACAUAGGUAGACUAUGAUAGUUUGAGGUCUUAGAGUAUAAUCUAAAGUCCUUAAAUGCAAUUUAGAUAAUACAUAUAGUACACUCCAAAUCAAGAUUUUCACUUACCUUGAACUUCCAAUACUAAAUGAGAAAAUUAGUUUGACCAAUUUAAGUUUGUGUUAGAUGAUUUAAUCAAGUAUAAGAUUUAAAUAUGUAAUUGUCUUUAAAACUUUGAAAGUUUAAUUAUAUAGACAUUUAACUUUUAUAGAUAAAAUGACAUCUUAAAUUUUGUAAUUGCUGUCAUGGUGGUAAAAUUUUCAAGUUUUUUUUAGGGGUCUUUCACAUUAAUUUGUUUUUUUUUUUUUUUACAAAUCACGGAGGAAAAGGAAUAUCUUCACGAAUAUGUUGCAAUAUAAAUAGUAUUGCUUCUCAAAAACACACAAAAUGACUAACCCUAAAAAAGAAACAACGUUGCAUUAUUUAUACAAUAUAUAGUGUUGCUUGAAGAUAAUCUCUAAAUGAAAAGAAUCUUAUGUAAACUGCGGUUUAGAAAAUACGUAGUAAAUUAAAUGUGAUGCUUGACACAAGGUAGAAAAUGAUAGCAAUCACCAAAAAUAUUUAUUUAUUCUUCAUAACUAUAUUCAUAAUAAAGGUAACAGUUUAUGUAUAAUCUAAACAUAUUAUAAACUUUAGUUUUUUCAAUCUAACAUUUAACAAACCUAUAAACCAAACAACUUUUAUACUAGAGACUAUUUUCCAAUUUAUGGACUAAAAGUGUUAUUAUUUUCAAUUUUGAAAUCAAAUUCACAUCAGCUCUCAAUAAUUUAAAUGAACAUUAUAAUAUUUUGUCAAUAAAAUAAUUGUAAAGUUCUCAAGAUUUAGUAAUAUUGUUCAUCUACAUUAAAAAGCAAUAUAAAAAGGAGUCUAAAUCAUAAUUUGUAGGACAAGAAAGUUAAAAAGUUAAACUCCAUAUUGAAUAAUGAAAAUCUUUAGAUGACAUUGACAAUUAGUCACAUAAAUGAAUAAAAUUCUUCCUUACACACUCAAUUAGUUGGAAUUUCAAAAUAAAUUAAAGCACAAUAAAUUUGAUGACAUGGUUGGAUUCUUAUUAGAUGAGCUGCCAGCUCAGUUAUUAGGACAUGGACUUGAUAUCUUUUUUCUCAUAAAAAAAAUAUUAUAUUUUUUUGUUUUAUUUCAUUGAUACCAAUCUUGUCCACAUUGAUACACCAUAUUUAUAUAUUUAAUAUUAAGAGCACAUGUAUGUUGUGGGUGUAAUGGCGGAAAAUAUGGUAUUAAUUUACAAGCAACCAAAUCUACAGAUCUCUCCCGAGUCUCAUAUAUAUAUGUGUGUGUAUUUAUUUUAUAAAAGAAUUAUAGAAAAAUUCAAAGACAUAUAUUCAAAUCAAAGAAAUGUAUGUAUUAAAUUAGUUAGAACAUUGAUAAGUGAUAUUCCAUGGGCACAUUAUUGAUGUUAGAGAAAUUAAGUUUAGGGUUUAGCAUUAUGACUUUCAACAUUCUCAAAAUUUGUUUGAAAAUACAUUGCAAUCCUCUUUGGUUUAGGAAUUAUGAAUUUUUAGUUAUUUUUAUUACAUAAAUUCUUAUACAAUUAAUUGAUAGAGAAGGAGAGAAAAGAUAGAGGUGAUUGGUGCUCAGACGUGUGGUGGUCGACGAAAGGUAAAUGGUAGAGAGAGAUAGAACAGUGGUCAGCGACAAAUGAUGUAUAUGAUUGAAAAGCAUCUUCACUAGGGGUUCGAAUUCCAACAAGUUUUGUAUAUGCCUCUCUCUCUAAUAUCUCUUCUAUUUUGUUCUAUCUUAUAUAUGGAAAGGCUUGUCUAAUUGUCAUUUAAAAGCGUUAAGAAAAUGACUAAUUUCUAAAUUCAAGAAUUAAAUACAUAUUUCAUUAAAAAAAAUUAAAAAUAAGUUAGAAAUUUCAUAAAGUUAUAUAUUAAUAUAUAUAAAAUCAAGCCGAUUAUUUCGAGAUAUGUGCAUGUUGGUUUAAAGAUUUAUAGAUAAAAUUUAUACAUACAUACAUAUGUUAUUGCAUGCAUUUAUGUACCAAAUACUUAAUUUAUUUGCUGUCGUUGGUUGGGUCCAACCCACUUUCCAUUUUGAGACAUUAAUUUUUGAAAUCAGUCAAUAAUUUACAAUUCUUCUAGACCAUUGUUUCUUUAUCAAUUUUGUUUGUGUUUGAGAGGUGAAUCUUACUCUAAUUUUUAUUUUAUUACAAAAUUUCAACCAAUACUUUGUAAUCAAUUAUUUGUUUCAACUUAUUAGGCGUUUCUUUUUUCCUUGACCUCAUCAUUACAUAAUAUUAAAUAACUCAAAUAUCUUUGCCUUUCAAUUUACGUAUACUUUCUUAUGUUCGACAACAUACGUAGAUCCUUUUAGUUUGUUUCUAACUCUCACUCAUAUGUAUCUUACAAAAUUUGAGUUUUUAUUAUUGAGCUAUCGAAAAGUAAGAUACAAUUAAUUGAUAUAGACAAUAACUUCUAUUUUUAUUAUUUGAAUUUAUGCUUUCUUGUCUUUAUAAUCUCUUUCAAUUUAGUUUUUAAACUUUUGAGUUUAUAUUUUAUUCAUUUGGUGUUAAUUUUUACUGGUUUAUUUUUAAUAGGUAAACUAGUUUUUUUAAUGAUUAUUUAGUACUAACCAUCUCCAUAUCUAUUUAAAUUAUUAAAAUAAGAUAAAAUAUAUUGACAUCAGAAUUAUUUAAAUUGACAAAAAAGGAAAUUAAAGCUUAAACACUAAAGGGAAAAUAAAUCAAAAUUUGAGAUUAGUAAAUAAUAAAAAAAAUUGGAAGUGAAGAACAACAAACUAAUAAUAUAUGUAACUAAAAGAAUAUUAAGAAAUGGGAGUGAGUAGAAUUAGAAAAUGAAAAAACACCAAUAAUUGACUCAGGUCUGCAUCCAAACUAUUUGAAUGAAUAUAUUCAUAUGAUUAGAGCAUUGUUUACCAAAUAUAUGUAGAGAGAAUACCCAAAUUGAAUUAGGAGAUGGAGAUAUAUAUAUAUACUUACUUAUACAAUCAGCUCAAGCCCUUUCAUGAAAUCACAUCCAAAAUCUUGACAUUUUAACAAAUUCUAAGUGUCAUGCGGCACACGAUACUAAAGUAUGAGCGAAGUAACGCAUGGUUCAACUAUCACUAAUCAUAAAAAUUAAAUCACUAGUAGAAGAAUGUAAAUGAUAGAUCAUAUUGCUAAUAAGAGUCUAUAUAAUUCUUAAAAGUGUACUAAUUACUAUUAUUAUAAUGGUGACGUUUUAAAAUUUAAUCAACAAAUGUUUAACUCAGUUAACAUCCAUAGAAAUUAAAAGAUUAGAUUGGAAUCUCUUAUUUUGAAUUUAUACUUCUAAUCAAUUUUUCUUUUCUAUAAAACUACUCUGAUAAAAAAAAUUCUAACCAAAAAUAAAAAAACAUUUAAUUUAAAUUGAUAUUGAGUUGAUUAUCCCUCGAGUAAUUGGACAGUUAACUUAAAAAGUACUAAAUAAACAAUAAUAAUAAUAAAAGAAUUUAAUUUUCUGACUGUAUAAGAUCAGUACUAUAAUAUUUGAGAACUAAUUGAGAAAGACAAAAUAAAUCACAUGACAUUUUCUUUUUUGUUUUUUUAAUAAUUAAACCAAAACUUUAUUAAGUAGAGAAAGGAAUAAAUAAAUAAAAAGUCACGAGACGAAACCAAUUGUCAUAAUGAGUACAUGCAUUUUGGAAAAGAUAGAUCACAGCAAAACUUGGGAGACAAAAAUUAGACAACCGAGUGAUGGUUUGAGUAUUAAGUUCUAAAUUAACAACAAGUCACCAUUUCAACUAUCAAUUGUUUUUUUUUUACUUUAGCACAUUGUAAGAUAAAAUCAAUUCUUUUGAGUACUCAUGAUUGUCUUCUUAUCUAAGAAAUGUAAAAAUUUAGUUAUAUCUUCAAUGCAAUGCAACACAACACAACAUCACUUCUAAUGUUGUAAUAAUUUCAUUUUAGACUUUAGUCAUAAUUCAUUCAAGGUCAGGAUCAAUCUUAAAUACAUAUACAAAAUUGAUGUGUUAAUACCUAGAAAGGGUAGUAAUAAUUCAAAUCUUACAUCCCAUUUGUUUUUGUUUUGGUUCUCUCUCAAUUAAUGCAUACAUUUACUCUUUUGUUUGAUUACUUUAUCAUUUUUAAUUUUGUAAAAUAAUGUUUAAAACACAACAUCCAAAUUUCAAAGUGGAGUUUAAAUUCGAUUCAAGAGAUCAGUGUUCGUUAAAAUCAAUUUUUAUUAUUAAAUUAAUUAUCGAUAUUAAUAUUGUUCGUUAAAACACACUUUUAAAGUACACACAGUCAAAUUCAACUUCCUACCUGUUAGAAUGGGAAGGAAUGACAUGUUAAUUUUUAAUUAUUGAGAAGUGAUGUCAAUAUUUUAAAAUCCAUUGUAUAUACUCCAUUCGUCUAAUUAUCAAGCUACAUUACUAAAUAAAAUGCACUAUACACGAAAUGAGCUCUUGACGGCUAGGAAGAAAUAUUUGGAAGAAAUAACAUGUCAAGCGAUAAUCUUCCAAAGCAUAUAUUUGUGACUCGUUGAUCAGUAGAUAAUAUUAAGUACCUCUGAAAUCAAUAAAGAAAGUAAAACAAUAAAUUAUCAAUACAUGAUAUAGAUUUACGUGAUUUUCUAGGAAAAUAGUAUUGUUAAAGAGAAUAAUUCAUAAUACAUAAUAAAGAUGUCUUUAGAGUUAACGAAGAGUUUAUUUAGCAUACUCACACAAUCUCUUAUGAUAAAAAAAAUGUAAAUAAUAUGUCACAUAUCAUAUUCAAAGCAUUUAAACACGUCAAACAAAUAAGAUAUAUCUCCUAAGUGUACUUGGUACUGCGGAGAGAUAUCUACUUGCACAUAUUCCCCGAUCAUCUCCCGUAGGACGGGUUGAGAGAUCAAAGACAUGAGCUAUGUGCUAGAAGUUCUCUAGGUCACAUAUCUUAUUUUGUUAAGCUUUCUCCUCGGUGGUUUGACGUGACAAAAAGAGAAUAUUGAAAGGAAGUUUUUCAAAAAGAAUAUUCUCUUUUGACUCUGGGAUUUUAUUUUGUUUCCUUUACUAUGAUUCUUUCCUUAUCCGUGAAGAUUCAGUGUUGGGUUGGGCCUUCUAUGUAUGGUUGUUUUGUGCUCCUUGCAAUGUACGUUAGAAAAGUGAGAAGUAGGUUUUGUUGUUGCAACUGUCUUCUGACGAAAGACAGUGAAUAGUCUUGGUCGAAGCUCUGCCAAUCAAGAUAUUUUUGUUGGACCAACAGUUUUUAAGUUAUCUUUUGAUAAUGUGAUUAGUUGCUGGUUUUCUUUGAUGUUAGAGGGUAAAUCUUCCUUAGUAAACACUAGUUACGUUUUGAUGGAGGACGAUUUUCAGGGGGAGACUCUUUUGAUUAACACCGUAAUCUAAUGAUGAGUGGGUUGCAUGAUUAAGGGGAGGAUUUUCUUUAAGCAUAAUCUAACUUUAAAAUUGUAGUGAUAAACUAAAUUGUAUCAUUAACACUGAGUGAAAGAGUGAGUGUGAAUCUCUACUAAAACCAUAAUAGGUGAUUAUGAUUUGUUAUUAUCAAAGUAAUAAGAUCUCUGAUCACUGGUCAAGGAUCCUCAGAUGUAGAUGUUGUGUCAUUGAAUUGGAUUAACAAUGUUGCGUGUUUCUAGUGUCUUUAUAACUUAAUGUUCUCAUUGUUCUUUCCUCUGUUGUCAAUUGUCAUCACUUAUGUUUGCUUAGUAUCAUUAUUUCUCUGUUAUUUUUUCACUACGGUCCAUAGAUAUCUAUGCAAUUUUUUGUGUGGAUAUCUUUUGUUGGAUCCUUGGGAGAUAGAUUGUUUUAUAUCGAAUGUUUGAUAUGCAUUUAGUCAUUUUGGUGACAGUACGGACUAAAAGUAGUUAGGUAUGCAAUUAGAACUUCGAUUACAGUUACUUUUGCAAUUGUCAUUUUAGUUUGAGAAAAGCAGACUAACAGAAACAAAUUAGUGUGGUAAGUUCGAGUUUUAAAUAUAUUUGAUGAAUUAAUUUUAAACUGAUAAAAUUUAGAUAUAAUUAGAUAUAUAAUGAUCAAACUAGAAAUUUCUUUAAAGAAUACUUUAAUUAUGUUUUUUCAAAAUCCUCAAUUGAAAAUUGUUACAGAAAAAAGAAGAAGAAGAAGAAGAAUUGUUUCAAAUAACUGGUGUGUGUCUAUGUAUAUUUCAAAAUAAUAAACUAUUAUUGGAUCUAUCACACAUUAACACAUUUAAUAGAGUUCACAAUACCUUACGGUGGAAAACAAAACUUUGUCAUUUUUUAAAAAUAUUUUGACUCAUUUUUUCAUAUUUGGAGCAACAAAAAUAUAAUAAAUCAAAUCAUUAUAUUUCUGUUUUUAAUCUAUAUACCAAAUUUUAGUUUAAAAUAGAAAUAACUUCAUUAUGAAAUUGAAUUAUUGUUGUUAUAAUAAGCAGAUCAUAUAAUGGGGGGAAAUGAUAUUUGAUGAAAAUACAAUAGUAAGAAAUGUGUUAAACCUACCAAAAAAGGAUUAUAAGUAAACUAAUUACCCUUAUAUACCAUCAACUUCUAAUUGGAUUCGGUUCUCCCAAUACUUUUAAUACCUUCUCCUUAAGAAAGAACAACAAGAGUAACAAUUUAAUUAUUGGAGAUCCAUGUCGAUCAAAAUGAAAUAAUUGACUCCAAAUUUUCUAAAUUUCGUUGUUAGUUUUUUAAAAAGAAAAAUAAUUUAAAAUGUUAUCAAGUUUAAACAACUAUUACCACAAAAUAAGGGGAAAAUAUAAUAUUAAAUAACAUAUAAAAUAUAAAAUAUAAGAAAAUAGUAAAGAAGCAAUGAUGAAUGUUAUGAAAGGAAGAAAAAAAAUUAAUAAAUAAAAAUGCUAAUUAUAAAAAAGUAAAUACAAAUAUAUAAAGAAUAAAGCUUAAGUAUAAAUUAUCCUAUGGAAACAAAAAAAAAAAAAGGAGAGAGAGAUAAAGAUAAAUAACCAUAUCUGAAAGAUUAUGUAUAAAUAAAUGAAAGAGAGACUCACAACACAAUAAAAAAAUAAAUGUUAGAGAAAGGAAAUAAAUGCUAGAGAAAGGAUGAUAGGGUAAAUAAGGCGAACAAAUAACUAAAUAAAGAAAAAAAGAAUGAAAUUCAAAACACUCAACUCUUUUAUUGUUCGAAAGAUAGAUCAUUGGAACGAAAGUCUUACCAAAACUGUUAAAUAAGUUAAGUUUUUUUUGUGUGUUAAAUUCUUAGCAUUGUAAAAGAGUUUUUGAACAAAAAUAAAGAUUUAGGGUUUUGUUGAAAGAGAAAACAAAGUGGAAAAUGUAGAUUUUUUUUUUUUUUUUUAAGAAGAGAUGAAAGCUAAGAGAAGUAGUGUGUCUAUGAAGCAUAGAUAUUUGGAUGAAGAAGAGGGAAUUAUUUAUAGCCAAAAUCAUCUUAUCUUAGUAAAUAUAAAAGCUUGGAUGAGGAGCAAUUUUUUUUUCCAUUUUUGACCUUCUUUUAGAAAGUAGCUUAUGUAAUUAGGUAGAUGACAAUGUCUUUUCUCUCUCCUAUUUUAAUUUUGUUAAUUGAUGAAAAAAUGAGAUGAUUUUAUGAAUUAAUUAGGCUAAUUGUAAUUUAUGAAUAACUAAUAGAUUAAGAAAACCAAAAGUUUUUCCAACUUCUAAUAGCUCACAAAAAUCGAAAGUCUUACCAACUUUAAUAGCUAAAUUAGAAAAACUGAAAGUAUUUUCAACUUCUAAAACGUAAAUAUAAUGAAUAGUUUAUUUACCUUAUCAACUAAUUAUGCUCAUCGUAACUAAUGAACAAUUUUAUAGGUAAGAAAAUCAAAAGGUCCAUCUUCUAAAUAAAAAGAAUUAAUAAUACAUUUAAAUAUUAAUUCACACACAAAAUACAAUGAAUAUGAUCCUUUAAGAAUUCUUAGAUAUGAAUGGCUAUAAAACCUCAUUUUCUACAUCCAGUUUGCACACAAUUUGGACUAGCCUUUCAAAUAAGAAGAAUUUCUUCUGUUAAAAAAACGGUAACCCGACCAAUCCGACUUACCCAACCCACUUCUGAAGGAAUAUCUUAGUUUCAUGGCAUGUUUUCAAUCCUAAGUUGUUUAUUUCCUUUUUAAUUUUUAAUUUUUUGGUUUUUUACUUGUACAUAUAUAAGAAGAAAGCUUUGGGUUUGCAUUUUCUUAAUUUGUGUUUUUUUUAAUUGACUUAUCAGCUCUCUUCUCUAAAAGUUUCUAGAAUUUGGUGGUUAAUCAAAACCAUUUAAAAGAGUUACCACUUUUAGUAAUUAUUCACCUACCUUAUUUUGGAAUAGUUAAAUAACAUUUAUUUUUUUUAGAAAAGGUGGUUAAUCACAUCAUUAAAAACUAACUAAAUUAAGAUAAAAAUUAACUUAUCGACAAAUUAAAUUAAUUUUAAAUAAGACUAGAAAAAAUAGGUGGCUACAAUAACACCAACAAUAAUAACAAGAAGAAGAAUAACAACAAUAAUAAGUACAACUACUAUUAGUACAACAACAAGAAUAAUAACAAAAAUAACCACAACAACAAAAAGAAUAAUAACAACAAAAAGAAUAAUAGUAAGAAAAUAAUAAUAAGAAGAAGAACAGAAACAAUACUAAUAUAAUAGAAUAACAAAAUAAUAAUAAUAAUAACAACAAGUACAAUAAUAAUAACAAUAAGAAUAAGAAUAACUUGUUAGAUAUUUUGAAGAUGUCUGCAAGAUAAAAAAUUAGUAUAUCUAUAAAUUUUCUAAAAUAGAGGUAGAAGCAUCACUUAAAUCACAUAAUACAAAAACUAUAAGAUUCAACAUUUAAAGUUUUGAAAAUUGCAAGAUACAUGUGAUAUAAAAAGAAACAAAAAAACAAAGAAAAGUGUUAAAUAUGUGUUAAACAACCUUAAAUUAUUUAUAGAAUUAAUUUUGAGUUAAAUAAUUAAGGUUUAAACAUUUCAAUAAAAAAUAUUAAAAAUUAAAAAGAUUAUUUAUAAUAAUAAUAAUAAUAAUAAAAUAUAAAUAUUUUUCUAAAUAGCGAGAAAGUUUUUUCAAAAGUGACAUGAUUAUUAAAAAUAAGAAGACAACUCGAGAUGAAAGAAGUUAGCUAGAGAAAGGUGAGAGAAAAGAAAGGAAAAGAAAGUUUUUUUUUUAAGGGAAGAAGAAGAACUAAUAACUCUUGCUCCUUAUCAAAUUCAUGCAUGACUAGGUUAGCAUGUCAAUCUAGUUUGAUGUUUCCCUGUAUAGUAAUUUUAAAAACUUAGAGUUGAAUCAAUUGAAUGUCAAUUAAACACAAAAAAAAAAAAAAAUUAGAGAUUUUAUAUAAUGGAACUUAAUGAUAAUGGUAAAUUAAAUUUAAUAUUGCAUUCCGGUUAAAACAAUUAGAAUUAAUUAAUCACGAUAGUUCGAACUAAAUUGUUUACAUGAACAUUGUAUGUAAUUAAGUAAUGAUAAUUGAAUAAAUUACUACUUUUAAAAAUUGAGGGGAGAAAUUAACCUAAACUAGAUUCUUUUGUCAAAUUUUCUUUAUUUUAUUUUUCUUUUUACAAUUUAUUCUCUUGCUACAAUUUCUAUGCAAAACCCUCCUUAGGUUAUCUUAUGUUUGAAAAUUAAUUUGUAUAAGAAUCAAUUUGCUCUGUGCGAUCAACUUGGACUUGUCACUAAAACUAGUUAUUGAUGUGUGAUUCAGUAUAUUAUUUGGUGUAAGUUUGGGCGACAAAACCCGCUAGUCAAAUGUCUCAUUCUCUAUUAAGUUUACGUGUUUUUUGGGUCAUCUUUAAUUAUCGACCUCAAUAACAAAUGGUUUUAGUGGGAAAGAAAGAGUCACAUUAUUGUCAUAUAAAACAUAGUGCUGUUUUUCUUUCUCCAUACUAAACGGGAAAAGGUGAAAUACCUUUUUUGAAUUUUUGUCUAACAUAAGCCGUUUAAAAGUAGCUCACAAUUGUCAAAUCUAAUUAAAGUAAAACCAUGUAAUUGGUUGAAUAAAUCAAACAUGAAGUAAGAAAAAAACAAUAAUAUAAAUAACAAAUAUAUAGAAACACUACUGGUAUUACUCUAAUUUAAUCUAAUGGAAAAUAUUCCAAGUUAGUCAAUUUAUUCUGUAGUUCCGACAUAUCAAUUGUUUCAACAUCGACAGCAGCUUCAGAUUCAAUAGUGUGGAGGAACCUGUCGUUCUUCCUAGUAGAAUGACAACUAAUGAUUUGAAGAUUUUGAGUAAUUAGAAAUUUGAUAAGAUUGGAAAGUGGAAGCCUAUGGUGUGUAGCUGUGUCUAGAAGAAUUUGAACUCCUCCACAUGAUCUUGGCAUCACUAGCACACUAUCCCUUUUUGAGGAGUUUAAUGUUUCGAUUGUGGUAAUGUUCCUGGAAUCCUCACCAUCUUCAAUAUUCUUUUUAAGCUCAUCUCUCUUGUUUCUCAGCAUUUGAAUCUUGGUUUGCAUGUGUUGUAUGUAUUUCACUGUCUCAUGCAUGUGAUCACAUAUCGAUCGCUUUCCCUGUAAUUUUUCACAUACAAAUAUUAUAACCAUUUUUAUUUAAUUUUUCUUUUAAGUUCUCUUGUGAAAUGCAAUAGGCCAAAUAAUGGGGGAUUUUGAAAUUCUAUAUUAUCAUGAUAGUUUUUGUUUUUCUCGAACUCUCUCAAAAUCUUUCUUUUUCAUCUACUUUCAAAGUAUAUAUAUAUAUAUAUAUAUAUAUAAUAAAAUAACAUUUGAUGAGGCACCGAUGAGUUUUACCUUGAGAUAUUCCACCGGGAGAAGUGAGCGAAGAGCGGCGUAAAGAGUGGACAUUUCUUGCCUUCUUUGGCGUUCAACAUCUCUGUGGAUAAUCUUCUUCUUUUUAUGUUCGUUUGGGUUCGGGUUCUCGUCCUCAAUAUCGGCCGAAGUGUUCGGGGACUUCCGCCGACGACCUUUUUUUGGCUUUUCGGAGAUAUUUCUGUUGGUGUUGUUGAUGGAAGCGAUCAAUGGAGGGUGAUCAGCAACAGAAAGGUGUAUAGGGGAAAGAGAAGGGAGUGGAAAUAACUCAUCUACUUGAUCAAAAGGGAAUGGAGAUUGUAUACAAUCCAAGUCCAUAGAGUUUUUUUUUUUUCUUUUAAUAUCAAAUGGGUUUAAGAGAGGAAGAGAGGAAGAGAGGAGGAGAAUGGUGAGGAAGUUUUUGGAAAUGGCACAAUGUUUUGGAAAUCUAAAUACCCCUUUAUUUAUAGCACCAAAUUGGGGAUCCAAGUGGGUCAAAAAUAGCUUAAAGAUAAUGUUUUUUUUUAAUCAAAUAAAUUUUGUUCUUUUUUCUUCAUAUAUAUAUGAAAGAUACUUUUGACAGACCAAUGAAUUGAUUAAUUUGAUAUAUAAUCAUGAGAUUCCUUUUGCUUGGUACUUUGUGCUGCUUUUUUUUCAUUUUGUUAGGAGAUUGGAUCUUCCGUCUGCAUGCGAUUGUUGUAUUAAAAACAAUGAUGUAAGUUUUAUUGUUAUUGGUUUUGUAAUGUUUUGAUUAAUAUAAUUACUUUAUAUACUUUGAAAAUGAAAUCAUUUAAAUUUGAUUUGGAUCCAAUUUAUUUUUCUUACACAAAUUUUUCAGUUACAAUUAUACCAUAAAAUUGUACGUUCAACAAAUUUCUUUAAUAAUGCAAGUAUAACAAUGUCAGUUAUCAUUGAAUUAAUCUUACUUUUGAAAAAAGUGGAGAAAAGAUAGAAAAACAAUAAUCACAUAUAUAUUAUGCAGGGUACUCGAAUAAAAAUGAGAGUAUUGUAUUUUUUUAUUCAAUUGCAAUGAAAUCUUUUAUGAUUUCAUUUUUGUUGGGAUCUUCCUUACUAAAAGUAUAACAUACGACACAUAUGUUAUUAUCUCACUAUCAUCUAUUGAUUUUGAAAUAAAAUUUUAUAUACAGUCUUAUAUGGUAUCAAAGUGAAAGUUAGAAGCCUAAACGAAACCUUAUCUUAUUAAAAAAAUAAAAAUUGAAAUAUCAUCAAAGUAAAAAAAGUAUAACAAUAAAAACUUAUCUUACCGAUAUUGUAAGUUAUAUAUAUAGACUUAAGACUAUUUAUUUUGUUGUCAAUUUAAUUUAGAGAUGGACCAUGAACGUGAAGAUAGUCGAACUUAAUAUAAAUUAUAUUAGUGAUUAUAACAAACAAAGACAAAAAGUAAAGUUGGUGAAGUAAUAGUGUCCAACCAUAAAUCAUAAUUUAACUAUUCAAUUUUGUCAUUAAUAGUCCCUACCAACACUAAAUCAAGAAUUUCUCGUUAGUCACAAUAUAUUUUGUAAAAUUUUAAUCACACAUUGGACUUCUAAGCUAUCAAAAUUUCAUAGUUUAAUUAAUUAGUGCACUUGUAAUAAUUACUUUCCUUCUAAAAAACAACCUCUUUUUAAUUUAGACAUAUUUGAUAAUAUAGUAAAAUCUGUCACUAAUAAAAUAAAAUAUUCAUACAAAUGUGGUAAUGAUAAAAUUAACAUCUAACACGAUCAUAGAUCUUAUUAUAUAUAUUUGUACGUAUUUUUUUAAAAGAUUUUUCUAUAUAUUUUAUUAUUAUUUUAAAAAUGGUUAUCGAUUAUAAUUAUAAAAUUUAAAUUAAUGAGUAACGUGUAUUACACGCGUCUAUAAUCAAAUGAUUUAGCAUAAGAAAAGAAAAUAAUUAUAUUAGGGUCAAAAUUACUUCCAUAUAUGAAAAAACAAGUGAUAGUAUUUGGCCUUUAAAUUAUAAGUCACUUUAAGCAGAAAUGAUUUUCAAGUGAUUUUUUUUUUUGUCAGUGAUUGAUUGGUAAAAUAAUUUUUGAAUGAAAUAUUAUUUCAAAGGAGAAUGAUUAAGCUACACCUACCAUAAAUUUAUAUGCCUCUCAUUUUCUUUGCAUUAAGUAAAAAUUAAUUCUUCAAAAAUUCCACAUUAUCACAAAUUAUCACUCAAUUUUUAUUCUAUUUUAGAUUAAAAUUAUUUUACUUUCUUCCCUUUUUAUAAUUAAAUUAACUUGUUUUACCAAAGCUUUAAAUCUCUCUUUAUUUGUAUAAUCAUUUUUUUAAUUCUCUUUAUGUUUUUUGUUUUUUUCGAGCACCAUUUUAAAACUUCUGUUCCCAAACUAGUUCUUUUAAAUAUGUUAUUCUAAAAUCAAUUUCUUUUUAAAAAAAUACUCUAUUUAAAAUCAUAUUUAAAAAUGUUCAAAAUUUAAGGAUGGAUCAACUAAAACAAGUCUAGUUGAAUCAUAAUUAGCAUGAUCUCCUUAGAGAUCAGAGGUUGAAUCCUCUAAAAAAAGAAAAAGAACAUGGAUCAAACAACAAAAUCAUUUAUAAUUAAAAACCAUGAAAGAAGCCAUUAGAAUGGAAAUCUCUUUUAAAUAUAAAUGAUUUAAAAUUUAAAAAAAACUUUCCACGGAAGUAAUUAUAAUGAAAAUCUCAUCUGGAAAAGCUCUUUUACUAAUUAUUUUUUAAUUUGGUGUAUUUUUAGUUGCUAAAAAUUAUUAAUAGGAUGAUAAGAUCCUAUAACUUAGGUUUCAUUCUUUCGUGAUAAAUAUCACCAUUUUGAGAUGAGAGAACUCUCAAUUUUCUAUAACCUCAGCCGAAAUUUAGGUUGACAAUCUUCAAUAGAUAUUUGUAUAUAUACACGCGUGUAUGACAAAAACAAACAUAUAUAUAUAAUGACCUUUAAAGUAAACGAAUUUGUUGAACUAUCUUAAACAUGUUAUUUGAUUUUCUUAACGAUCGAAAGUGUCUAGUUAUUUGUAUUAUUUUCGUUAUUUAUGAUCGUUGUCUAUUCAUGUCAUUGAAUCUCUAAUAUAUAUGAUAGUAUAAUUUCUUCAUAGGGAUAAAUUGUUCUUUCUAAUUAUAGACACAACUAACACGCUAUCUAAUGAAGCACGUCAAUCUUUGUAUCAUCGAUUUUUGAACCAAAUAAAAGUAAAAUAGAUCUCGAACCAUCCAUUUAUAGAAACUUUCUCCACUAAAAAUCUAAGAUAGCUUACCAACUGAGUACAUGUGCAGUUGGGAAUGUACAAAUCAAUCACGAUUGUAUUAAUAUAAUGAAAUUAAAGGUCAAAAAGAAACGUAGAGCCACGAGAUGCGGAUCUCAAUCACCGUAUUUUUUUGCUUUAAACAAUCUCAUAAAUUAUUAAUCCAACAAGAAGACAGACACCAAUCAUGCCCAAUAUUUCUUCUUUCCCUUCUCAAGAUGGAAACCCAUGCCCAGUUUUUUUUUGAAGAUAUUACAAAACAAGAAAAGCUCAAUAAAUUAUUGGUUUAGCUUUUAUUUUAAAAUGUUAAAUUACAGAUUAAUUAUAAAUUUUUGUUCUAGAAUACAACGCUUUACCACUAGAAUUCAAUCCGAAUGAUUUUAUAUUUAGUUUCAGACACUUUCUAGGGAAUGUAAUUUAGUUGACGUAGAAGGAUAGAUCUAAUGACUAUGCUUCGAAUAACUUUUAAUUGUGUUAAUACGUUUAGGAUUAGUUGAUGAUCUUUAGGACUCAUUUGUAAUUUGAAUAACAUUUCAAGUGUAUUAUAUUCAACUUCUAUCUAACAAAGUUAUGCUUAAAUAGAAAUGAAUUUUUUAAAAUUUCAUUUUUCAAGUCAAUCAAUGGCCCCUAAUUCAAAGUUUUAAAAUUGGAAUUUUCUCUUUAAAAAUCUGUUGUGUAAUAUAUAUAUUUGAUUGCAUUUCUUUUUUUGAGAGGUGGAUAUUUUAAAGAGAAAUAGUUAUAGGUUUUCUUACUUUUUGGUCAAUAACUUUGAUGAUUUGAGAAUUUUAAUUUAGCUUACAACUUACAAGAAAAAAAACUAAUGAUUAAUAUGAAAAUCGAGAAAGAAAAAAAGGAAGGUAUGAAAAAUGAGUAUAGGAGAUACAUUGUGAGUAUAGGAGAUGAAAAAUGAUGUAUACACUUCAAAACAUACUUAUACUCUCAAUGUAUGGAUGAUGUAUAUGAAAACUUUUGGAGCCCAUUUUGCCACACACAGGUCAGGGUGGGUUUGACGUUUGGGUCACUCUGCAUGCACAUGUGUGUGCUAGAGAUUUGUUCUGUUAUGUAUUGGGAGAUUACUCAGGGUAUGGUAUGACCAAAGAUAUUGUAUACUUGGAGAUUAUUGCUAGGUCUAUAGUAUGACUAUAGAUUGUUCUAUUAUAAAUAUUUUAAGACUGCUGGAUGCAUGACUAAAGAUUACUCUAUUAUUCCUUUAAAGGGUUAGGACUAUUCUUUCAAAAUUUCAAGAAAAACUCCGCUCAAAAUUUUUAACUUUAUAGGUUGUUUUCAAAUAUAGAAAAAUUCACUAGAAAUAAAUCUUAAUAAAUUAUUAUAUGUAUCAUUUGAUUUGAUAGACACAAAUAAUAGUUUAUUUUGGUCUAUGGUGAUUUUAUCAUCGAUUAUAAUGCUAUAUUUGUAAAUAUUUUUUAAAAUUAUAUCAUUUAAAACAAUCAUGGUAUCUCUUAUUUGGAAAAUUUGUGCUUUACCACAUAUUUUGAAAAUCUUACCAUUUUUAGAGUUUCAAAAUCUAGUUUGAAUCUCUAUUUAAAACAAUCAUGGUAUCUCUUAUUUGGAAAACUUGUGCUUUACCACAUAUUUUGAAAAUCUUACCAUUUUUAGAGUUUCAAAAUCUAGUUUGAAUCUCUAGGUCGGGCAGGGUGUGAUAGGACCAACGGUAGAUCUUAAGCAUCACUGACCACAAGUGUCACAGUUUCUGCUGCAUGAUUAGCCACCAUCGACUGUGAUCGGAUGGACCUCGGCAAGCUGAAUGAGGUAAAACCUUGGGUCUCUGACUCCAUGAUAUUUUAUUGAAAUAUAUUACGUGUGCACAAAGAGUUUUAGAAUAGUGUACACAUGCAAAAAUAAUAAUAAUGAUAAUUAAAAAAAAUACAAGAAAGUUAUUCAACAAUUUACCUAAUAAAUAGAGAUUGCAACAUUUAUGGUAACACACAUUGGUUUUAUUAAAGUUAUUCAACAAUUUACCACAACCUCUAAAAAUGCAAGUCUGUCAUUGUUUAAACCAAACUCAUACAAACUUAACAGAUAUCGGACUUCUAACCAAGUGUUUAGCAGAAACCCAUUUUAGAUAUCCUUCAGCAAACUCAGUCGAGGGACUGAUUGAACCAAUUCUCUUAAACGUCACUGAAUAUGUUGCUUUUUGGUUCAAUGCCGAGAAAAUUACCUUCCUUGGUCGGACUGUUACAGAAACCCCUUCCGGUGCUUCAAUGACGACGUUAUAAACUUCACGUCCACUGCCAACAUAAGUAACCGUUCUCGAGAAUGUUUGCACCUGUCCUAAUUUGACCAUAAAUGAUGGGUAGUUGAGUUCUCCUUCUGGGAUGCUUGUUGUUGUUAAACAAUCAAUUGGUUUAUGAGCAAUAAGUGAAACUUGGUUAUUGGUGUAUCCUAAUCCACAAAGAUAAGGAAUAUAAUCAUCAGGUUGAAUGUCAUAAACCAAUCCUGGGUCUACUGCUUUUGAUGGGUUUACAUGACCUGCUCCAAUAGCGAACAAAUCCGCAGGCUGCAAAGUUUGAUCAACAAUUGGGUUGCCUUCCAGAUUUGUUAUGUUAGCAGUUGUCAUUAUAGAGGAUUUAAUGGCAGCCGGUGACCAAUCAGGAUGAGCACUUUUGAUCAGAGCUGCAAUGCCACUGAGAUGAGGACAAGACAUGGAUGUUCCUGAAACUAUGUUGAAUGUUGAUUUUGUGUUUGUGUUGUUGUCUAAUGGGAAUGGCCAUGCUGCUAAAAUGCUGACACCGGGACCAGUUAUGUCUGGUUUCAAGAUGCCGGGGCUUGCGAGGCUGGGACCUCGAGAUGAGAAAGCAGCUAUGGCUGGAGAGAAGUCAUCACCAAUUGUGGUUCCUUUGAAUACGAUUGUGGCUGUUGGGUAUGUUGUUGAGUUUAUGUAGGCUUUGAUUUUCAGUGCCGCUGUAUGGCUGACAUGGCUUGCCGGAAGAACAUGAGCAUCUGCUUCAGUAGUGAAGCCAUCUGAUUCUGCGUUGAGAAGGAUCAUGGCGGCGCCACCAGCAUUUUUCACUUCAACCCCUUUUGCAAUUCUCGCAAUUCCUCCUCCUCUGUCGCAUACUACAACUUUUCCUUUUACAUCAAUGUUUUUCAAUGAUCCUUCAGCACAUAAUGCUACCGUUUCAUUCUUCUCACCAGGGAAAACAAGUGGUAAGAAUGUUUGAGGAAAAUCAUUUGGCUGGAACAGAGAUUCGCCAUCGAAUUCUUCUCCAUUUCCAAGCUUUGCAGUCGCUGUGAUUUUUCUAUCAAUUGUGCUAGCUGCAACUGUUAAAAUCCAUGGAGCUUCGUUGGACAAUGUGGCAUUAAAAGGACCUGAAUUAGCAGCUGAGCAACUUACAAAAAUCCCCUUUUGAAUCGCUGCAAAUGCACCUAUGGCCGUAAUGUCUGCGAAGAAUGGUACUGGUGGGCCCCCGAGUGAUAUAGAGAGCACAUCAACACCAUCUUCAACCGCCGCGUCAAGUCCUGCGAGAAUGUCAACAUUAGAGCAACUUUCUCCAAAGCAAACUUUGUAAAUGGCAAGGUGAGCUAACGGUGCCAUCCCAACAGCAGUACCGAAAGCAUUCCCUAGUGCCUCAGCACCGUCGACAAAAGUACCGGCUGCAGUGCUUGCCGUGUGAGUUCCGUGGCCAUCUUCAUCAAUUGGAGAGUCAUCCAAUGUUGUUAUCUUUCCCUUUAAGGCUUGUGAUGCGAGAUUCAAAGAUCUUGCACCUAUAAGCUUGUUGUUACAAGCAGAGAAAUUAAACUCACAUCUUCCUUUCCAUUUGGCUGGCGGUUGCGGCAUUCCCGCAUCAACAAAGGAAGGAUGGCUUGGUGUGAUUCCACCAUCUAACACUCCUAUGAUCACUCCCUUUCCAAAGUUCGAAUCUUUCCAAAACCCAAAUUGACGGUUCAAUCCUAGAAAAUUAGGGCUGUGAGUUGUGUGCAAAUGCACUAUCGUUUCACGUCUAGCUGACACAAAACCAUCCUUCUCUUCCAUCGCUUUCACGUGUUCUUCAGUAAGUCUUGCACUAAAACCACUCAUGACAUUUCGGUAUGAAUAUAGCAAAGUCGGUUGCUCCUCUGAGUUCUCCAAACUCGUUGGUAAAAAUGAUCUAUGCCAACUUUCAAGAUCAUCAACAACCUCCGGUUUCUUCACAUGGACAAUGUAAGUAUGAAGAUUACUGAAUGGAAGCUCGGUUACUUGAGCCUCAUAGACAUGGAAGUUGAGUAAGAGAAGGAGAAAAAGAGAAGGCAGAAGAACCAUGGUUAAGACAAAAAGGCUAGGGCUUGAUGGUGUUGGUGAACUCACACCAAAGAGGAAGUUUUAUAUUGUGACAAAGGGAGCAGUCAUGGCCGGCGGUUGUGUAAGAAACUUUCGAAGGCAUUAACAUAUUGCUAUUGGAGGCUUCUGAUUAGGCCUGCUAGGAGUUUUGGCAGGUUAAGUUAAAUGAUCCGUAUUGAUGACAAUAAUGUAUGAUAGGAUAUUUUAAUUUUACUAACUAUUUGUUUAUUAGGCUUUGAAAUGGUCGUUAUGUAACUGUAUGUUACAAUGAUUGGCAAAUUUGAGGUUCAUAUGUGUCAUUUUGUUAUGAACUAUGCUCUUGGUUUUUAGAAGGAAUUAAAAACUGAUAUUUGUGGACUAGAGUUAUUAAAUUGAAGAACUCAUAUCCAUACGUUUAUAUUAAAUAAGACUGAGGGUGAAGUUUGAAUUUUGAUAAUGCCUCAAAACAUCAAGACAGCAAAUUGAUGUGGUGAAAUCCGUCGUGGCUUGAAAUAUUAGUACAGCUAACUUUACACAGUUAAACUCUUUAACUUGGUUGAAAUAAGGAUGAUCUGUCUUUUAUGAAAAAGAAACAGGUCCUAGAAGUGUAGACUUGGUUUUUAACUCCUUCUGUUCGUAAUAAUCUUCUUCUAUGAUUUAUUCUUCUGCAUUAUUUGCUCUCACAGCAAACAUUCUUAACUCUCUUUCCCCUCUCGCUUUGCACUUAUGCCCUAAGUAAUAUUUAUCAUCACAUUUAAAGCAUAGUUUGACAUCUUCUCAGAAUCAGUGAGUUUAUGGAUUUGAAAAUAUCGAUCCGCUCGAAAAAUCCACGAAUCGAGAUCGUCUCCACUAAUUACCGGCAUCUCUACUUUUUUUAAUUUACUUCGAUCAGACGCCUUCUCCUCUUCUUCUUUCUUAUUUGCUUUUGCUUCGUCAAUCAAUUCGAGAACUGUUGCUUCACUUUCUUCCUUCUUAUUUUCAUAGAAAAUUUACUGGAAGAUCCUUCCGUAUCGGACGUUGUCGAUUUCUCGUUGAUCAAACUUUUAAUAUACUUCAUCAACAAUUGAUGUUGUUGUUUAUCUGCUUGAGUAUUCAAUCGAUCUAAGUUCUUCAUCAAUAACUGUUGAUGUUGUUGUUGUUUAUCACAGUACAAGAUAUCGGAGUCCUCUCAACGCAAAAAAAGGCGUCGACAAAAGCAACAUCAAAACAAAGACCAAUCCUCGACGCAUAAAAAUACAAGUCGGCCGAUACAAGUAUUUCUGACGUUGUAGUUCAAAACGUUAGGAGAGGUGAAAAGUUUAAUCAUUCCCGACGUCAUAAGUAAAACGUUGGGAGAGGUGAAAACUAUUUCCAACGUUUUACUUAUGACGUUGGGAAUAGGAGGUGUCUCCCGACGUUUUCGAUAUGCGUCGGGAAUUCUCUUAUAAAAACCCUUUUCAGUUAUGUAAUUCACAGAAUUGAAAAGGAGAAGACUGAGAGAGUUGAGAGAGAGAGGCAGAGAAGGAGAGUGAUCCACGCCGCCGCUCGUCGUUAUCCUUGUCUGACCGUUCGUCGUCAUCUCCGUCGUCACUCUUCAUUCUGGUAAGUGGUUUAGUUUAGUUAUUGUUUUAUUUUAGUAUUUAGAUUUCAAAUUAGUUUUAGGUUUUAGAUUUCAAAUUAGUUUUAGUAUUUAGAUUUUGAAUUAGUUGUAGAUUUUAAUAUUGUAUUUGAAUUUGAAGUGUUGUUAGGAUUUUGAACUAGUUGUAAGUUUUAGGAAUUUGAAUUUGAAGUAUUAAAGUUGAGAAUGAAGUGUUGAGUUUGGGGUGGGAGAGGGGAGGGGAGGGGGGGAGGGGGGGUUAUAUUGUGGAUUGUAGAUGGCAUUGCCCUAAAUAACUUAUAUGUGGAUGAAUGUUGUUGGUGAAUGUCACCGUUGUGUACAUUUUAGUUAAAGUUUGGUUGAAAAGUAUUGUUUUUUUUAAUUUAUAGUUAGUUUGUGGUUGAAUUGAUUUUAUAUUUGAUUUUGUAGGAGUGAUUGAAUUAGAGUUGGUUUAUGUAUGAAUGUUAUUGUUGUGAGAUGUUGUAUCAAUAUUUGUGGUUCAACUUGAUAAUAAGACUACUAGUUAGUUGAACUAGUACUUGAUAAGUUAUUGGUUUUGUUUAGUAAUAAACUUCUCCAAGUUAUAAGCUUAUUAGUUCUUUUUCGUUUAUGUAUAUCAUUUAUCUUUCGAGCUUCAUAUCUUCAUCAAUGCUAACUCAUUUCAUGUCUAACCACUUAAUUUGAUGCUUUUUUCACAAUCUUUAAAUCUAUUAUCAUAAAGUUAGCAUUUUAUUAACGUAUCUUGAGCAUAGUUGUUCGAAUUGAGAUUUUUUUUUAUUCCAUGUAAAUUUUCAAGAUCUAUGACCUUGGCAACAAUAUUUUCAUCUUAGGUUUAAAGAAUUAUAGAUGUGACGAGGGAGAAAAUCCAUACGACAUCAAGGAAUUACAAGAUCCUUGUAAGGUAAUUCUUUUGCCCUCAAUUGAUAUGAAUUUUAAUAAUGAAAGAUCUUUUAGUUGUAUUUGCUCUUUUAUUUCCUUAUCAUUUAAUUAAUUUAUUUAUUUUAAAAAUGUAAUGUUGAGGGCAGGAUGUAUAUACCUUCCAUUUAAUAAUGGAAGGUAUUUAAAAAAAAAAAAAAAAGAAUAGAGAAACUCCAGACGCACAACAUUCACUGUUGGGCGUUCUUGGACAUCUCCCGACGCUAUAUUGACAGCGUCUUCGACGUUCAUACAGCGUCGGGAGAUGUCUAGGAACUCCCGACACAUUUUUCCCGACUUGUAUCUCGAUGCAUAAAUAUACGUCGAGAAAGGCUUUUCCGACGCUUUUUAUAUAUCUUCUGACGCUUUUAUACGUCGGGAGAGCCCCCUAAUGUCGGAAGAAACCAUUGCUCCAUGUUCUUCACUAAUGUCGGAAGAAACCAUUGUAGGUAUCAUCUGCAUAUCGAUUUUUACCUCGGAAAUCUAUUGUUCUACCGCUUCGAAUCGUUCUUCAUGCUUUUUUGCCAUUUUCUUAUGCUUUCCCAGGAUGUUGCUCUGAUACCAAUAUGUUGGAACCCAAUCUCCAACAUAGACUCACAACGAAGAUGAAUUCAAAUCUUUAUUGAUGAUAGUAAUGUAGGAAUUAGGAUGAAAGGAAAAUCGAAUUGAAUGUUACUUUCAAUUCAAUGAACAAGAUUCUCCCCCAAAUCUGUUACCCUAUCUCUCAAGGAUACAACAGAAAUGACUUCACCAGAAAACUAACUUUCCCUCCUUUAUUUUUCUACUUAUAUCCCUUUACUCUACCCCGGGGUCCCCCCUUCAAUUGUGCUCUCCUUCACCAAAUUAUUUCCUUUAUUCUUUUCUCUUCUACUGUAUUGAUGAAUUAUUGGUGGUCUAAGUCGUUACAAAAUAUUAAAAGGCACACUAUAAUCCUAAAGUUUUAAAUGGUCAAUGCAAGGUAAUUUAUUAUUGAUCUUGUCUUGAGACAAGUGUGUUAAGGAACUUGUUACCCUUUUACAUAACCCAGCAAAAGUUGAACUGAAGAAAGAAAACGUUUGCCAAGGUUCAAGGUGAAAGAUCAUAUAUAGGGUGAAUAGAAAACACACUAUCAUGGUUUUAAAGAAGGCAAAAGCCCUUCCUUCUGAGCCAUUUCAUAGAGUGCAAUGGCCAUUAGAGCCUUUGCAUCUGCUGUAACUCGCCAUAAUUUUUCAUAAGGAACAACACGAACCUUAAUCAUCUCACCAUGAUCCCUGAGACCAGUUUCCUUUCCUUGCAGCUCUGCUAUUGUCUCUUUACUUGCAGAUCCUCGAUACAAGAAGAGACCGAUUCCCUCAUCACAUCCUCCCUAAUCAUGAACAUGUACAAUAACGUUAAUAUGCAAAAUAAAAGCGAUUGGGAAAUCCACAAAAAUAUGAUGCCUAAAGGCUAAACCUAAGAUGUUGUGUUGGAUGAGGCUUUUGUGUGAUGAUUUCCUUAGAAGUUAGAACUGUGAUACACCUCCAAGUGUUGAGACGUACACAAGAAGUUGCAAAAAGGGUAAGUCACAAUUGAGUGAGUUGGAAAAGAUGAAACUUGUAUGGUAAUACUCGGUAGGGAGAGUGAGGUUUGAGCAUCGUAGGCUGGCGAGGGAACUUGGAAGUUGUAAUCGGCAUUGCCUGAUUUUAUUUCCUUAGUAUAAUUCUCUUUGGCUGGAAACUUGACAAACUUAUAAGAUUAAGAUGGUUCUUCUUCAAUGAGUACCUUAUAUUACCGAAAGAAAGUAGCUCUUAAUAAACCUUUUGCAGAUUAACCGAUCACGGAUCUUUAAGAAUCAGAAAAAAAAGAAUUAGCCUACGCACAAGUCAUGACUACCAAGUCUUCAAACAUCGAGAUAUGUUAAAAUUAUGUGAACUUACGGGAGAAGGAAAGACUCUGCAUCCAGUUGAUUGGUCCAAGAAGCCGGUAAGAUCAACCAUGUCCUCAAGCUUUAACUGAAUGCCAAUUUCUUCUUCAACCUGCAUUGUUACCACAUCAAAUGGCACAUCAAAAAAUUACCAAAGAAAACCUUCAAUUUUCUUUUAAUGAAGACCAGCAUAACUUGGAUUCCUCAUUCAAAUGUUAAUACUUCUUUUGUGCAAUAAUUUUUUCUUCCACAGGUCUGUAAGUAUCAACCUCACCAAAAUUUCAUUCGACUUCAACAUAAAAUGGGAAACAUCUAUUGUAAAAUAAAACAAAGAUUUCAUAAAGAAAAAAAUAAUGAAAUCUCAAAUUACAGUACAUAUUAGCACAACAGCAUGAACUUUGGGAACUUUUUUUUCCAAAUUAAAAUAACAUAAAGUCGCAUCACAUCACGAGAUCAAGAUCAAGAGACGAAAUCAGACCUCACGAACUGCAGUGCCAACAAAAUCGCCCUUAUCAUCAUCCAACAUACCAGCAGGCAAUUCCAACAUGAGCUUCCCAACAGGAACUCUAACCUUAAGCAUAAAAUUUUAGUUCAGUGUGAUCAAGAGUGCAAAUUUCAAGAAGUGUUUCACAGCAUAACUAACCUAAAAGUUGCAACUUCUGGCAGUCAAUGCAUUCAAUAACACGGCAAACACUUUAAUCUCAGAAAAACCAAUGAACUUCAAAAAGUAAUAACAAAAUAAAUAAAAUAAAGAUCAACCUGCUCAGUCAGGACAGCAUAAGUUUCUCCUUCACAACUUAGAAGGAUAAGAACAGCAACAGCAGGUCCUCUUGCAAAAACAAUGCCUGGAACCUAUACAAGUUUUAGUUUGUAAAAAAAGAAAUUAAAGAAACCGCAGCAUUGAUCGAUUACCCAAAUUUACAUUAGUGUCUCAUUGAUUUCUUUAGCAUUAUACGAACUGACAUAAAGGGAAGAGAUACGACUAGAGCAUGUUCUUUAAAACUAAAUAUCACUUCCCAAGUAAUCGUUAUGUUCUUAACAGUUCAGUUAAGUUGAUCGUUAUCUCAAUUAAACAGACUUAAACAAAUUAAGCAACAGAACAAAUAAAUGGUAAUCGCACAAUUACCUUCUUCCCGGUUUGCUUAUCAUAGACAUCAGCUUUAAAUUUGAGAAAUCCAAUAUUGUUUCCGAACAUAUCAACUCCCUAAACCAAAAAUUCCUCAAUUACCUUACAACCAAAAAGUGAAAACAACAGUAAAACUCGACGAGGUAAUUUUCUAAAACCUGAAUAAGAACACGCUUCAGGGACAUGGCUCCCUUGGUCAAAAUCCCACUCUCACUUUGCAAGUUCAUCAGCCAUUGUUUGAACAACGGUGAAUAGAUAGCAUUACUGCAAUAUAAAGCAUUGAAAAAGGAACCCCAGAAGAUAAAAUCGAGGAAUUCAAAAGUAAUCAACAGAGCCAGCAUAAAAAUUGGUAUUAUAAGAAGAUUAGAAAGGAAAUCGAACUAACCGGAAGUCCGAAUCAGAGACACCAGGUGCGGCGAGAAUCUGCACGGGUUGGUCGUGUUGCCAGGGGAUGGUGAUGUAUUGAGUCCGAAUUGAAGAAUCGGCCGACAUUUGACACGAGAAGGACCGCAAUGCGAUGGAAUUAGAGUGAAGGGAAGAGGAAGAAGAGGGAUAUAGAAACCCUUUGCCCAACAAACGAAGAGAACUAGAGGGAUGAAGAAAGUGAGUCAUUUUUUAAUCAGAUUAAGCUGACUUAUUUCUUAAAGUGAUGCAAAAUGGCAGAGGAUGAAGAAAGAUGACGACUGCCAUUGAAGACUUGACUCAAAUUUAGGUGCAGGCUGGGCUGCAAUAGUCCACUUACGUGGUGCAAAUUAAUUGGGCCACAUUUUAUGUACUUUUUUUUAUAAAAAAAUCUACUGAUUUUGCGUCCGUUUUGUUGGAUUUCUUUUGAUUUCUUUUUUGAAUUUUUCACAGUCGUCUUCUUGCCGGCGUCAUCCCAUCAGUAUUUCUUUUCUUUUCUUCUUUUUUUUUUUCUCCUCAUGAUCAUACUAAAAAAAACCCAAUACGUCGUCAUCCUCUUUCUAUGGGUUAAAAAAUAGCAAUUUUUAUCGGUCUUUCUUAAGUUUUGUUUUGUGCUGCAUUCGAUCUGUUUGAAUCUUUGUUGUGUAAUCUUUUUCCUGUGCGAUACAAUUUUUUUUUUUUUGUAGUUUCAAGUUAUUGUUUAGUCGGACUUUGUUUGUUGUUUUAGUUUUUUUUGCUUGGUUAUAUUUUUCUUUUGGACUAUACUUUUGUUGGAUAUUUAAGCAUGGAUGCGGUUUUAUUAGAGAGACCUACCAAUAAACAUGUCAGAUAGAGCAACGUUUCAGGAGGAAGCAAGCGAAGUAGAAAAUCUUCCAAUCGAUUUGGUAUGAACAGCAAUGAACAUGAACGUCCAGGAAACUCAAAUGGAGAAGCUUGUAUCAUGACAGAAAUAGAAAUAUGAACGCAAAUUUGGUAGACAAAAGGUAGUCAUCGAACAAAUCUACCAGAGAUUGAUGAUUUGGAUGAUAAAAUGAUCAUCAAGUGACCCAUAUAGAUUUGAUCAGGAAAACUAUAGCAUGCACAAAAAUUAUAAUACUGGCCGAUAUUUGUUAUAUUUACAAAAUAUCUUAAAGUUGUGUUAUAAUUUCAAAUUAUAUUUUUCUGGUUCUACUAUUUGCUAUAGUUUUCGUAAUUAUUUUUGUGCAUUAUGCAAACAAACCCUAGUAUAUGGGCCCAUACAUAAGUUUAUCGUAUAGGCAUUUAAAUUGGCCAUAUCAAUUGGAGCAUCAUAUUUUACAUGCAUAUUUAUUUUUGAGAAUCAACAUUCAUAAAAGAAAACAUAAAACUAGUUUUUACUGAAAAAAAGAAGGUAAAACUAGACAAGAAGUGGGAAAGCUCUCAAAGGAGAAGCCAUUUCAAGAGUGAGUCCAUACUUUUCAUCCAUAUUCAAAUCAUCAGGUCGAAAACCAUCUUCAAGCUUCCAAUCAAAGAAAUGAAGAAGCGAACCCAGCAUCAAAGGCAACAUUCUCAUAGCCAAUGACAAUUCAGGGCAAAUCCUUCUUCCACCACCAAAUGGAACCAACUCAAAAUCUCUGCCUUUAAUAUCAAUUUCCAUCUCUAAGAACCUCUCUGGCUCGAAUAUUUCAGGAUUUUUCCAUACGUUCGAAUCUCGACCCAUCGCCCAUAAAUUUACCGGCACUUGAGCGUCUUUAGGGAUUGUGAAACCUGAUAUUUCGACGUCUUGUAAUGCUUUACGAGGUAGUAGAAAAGGAGGGGAAUGACAUCUCAAAGUUUCUUUGAUCACUGCUUGUAAAUAAGGUAGCCUUGAAAUGUCUGAUUCUCUAAUUGGGUUUCAUUUUCCUAUUACACUUCGGAUUUAUUGUUGAGCUUUUGAUAGCUUUUGUGGGUUUUUAAAUAGUUCUGCCAUUGCCCAUUGGAAUGUUGCAGAACUUGUGUCGGUUCCAGCAAUGAAUAGUACCUAUAGAACAACAAUCAAAUCUUUAAUAAUAAAAAAAAAAAAAACAGAAUGCGCAGUUAUUAAAAUUCUGAUUGAAGUAAUUCAGAAAUAAUCUACUAGAAACUUAGGAAAUAAAUGUGUGUGAAUUAAUACAGAACAAUUAUUGCUAGGAUUAUAGAAAAAUACAACAUGAAUGCGUACUUGGUUAUUCACAUGUCCCUUCAUGUCAAUGUUUAAGUCUUCAUAGUACAUUAUUUAUUUUCCUUUCUAUGAUUUGUUUUUCUGUCCAACCACAGAAAAGGAAGAGAAAAUCAAAGGGCCAAUAAUUGAGUGAUGCAACUCAGUUCAACUAUCCAACAAAAAUAAUAAUUUUGGAAAAAGUAGAAGAAAUAUUAUUUGUUACAUGAAAACUAUGUGGUCGAAGGCUGAAAACUAAGAUAAUAGAUGCGAUUCAACAUCAACAAUGUAUUUUCUUCCACCAGUUGUCUAAUAAAAAUCUGUCCUGCACUAAAAUAAAUUUUUAAAAGAAAAAUGUUAAAAAUAGAAAAUUAACAAAUAUUUAUAUUCUAUGAGAAAUUCAAAUAAAAUAAAUUUUGUUUUUAGUGGUUUUUGUUAAGUAUGGAUAAAUAGUUUUUUUUUCUAUAUAAAAAUAAGUUUUUAUUGUUAUUAUUAUCGUCAUCGUGAAAAAUAGCAAAAAAGAAAAUUACGAAAAUAAAGUUCAUGUUAUUUACAUUUUUAAAAUUAUAAAAAUAAUAAAUUUAAAAUAGAUUAUCAUAUAAUUAUAGUGUCAAAUUUGCUGUAUGAAAAAAAAAAAAUUGUGGAAGAAUGAUUUUAAAUUUUCAAAAUGAUUUUAAAUAAUUUAUUUGAUUAGAUUGGAAAGGAAUGUAUUUAAAAUUUAUGUUUAUGGAUAGUAAUGGAAGAGGAAGAGAAAGAGAAAGUUAAUAAUUCACCGCCAUACAUUUUUAUCAUGGAAUAUGUUAAUGAAAAAUUUUAACAAUGAUAGUCAAUUAAUUAGGUAAUUUACUUUGAAAACCUAUGAAAUUUGGCAAAAUGGACCAUUUUGACCUCAAAAAGUUUUUAAGUAAAAAUAGGAUUUAAAAUCAUUCUAGAUUUGAAAAUCAUACUCUUUGGAUGCACUGCUCUCCUUUUUCACAAGCUAAAAUAUUAAGAAAAAAAAAAUAACACAUGGCAAAUUGUGGCCAAAGAGACUUAAUUGGGGGCAAAACUAUUUUUUAAACCCAAUUAGUGAAGUAAAAAUUGUGACUCUCUUAUUUUUGUACCUAAAUCCAACAAUCAUAGUUUAUAACAUGAUAAAUUUUUCUUACAUUUUCUAUUUUAAAAUAUUUUAAUUCAUAGUAAUUUAUCAUACUUACAAAUGUAUUGUGAAAAUUUAGUAUAUUUUUAAAUAUUGAUAUUUUUAAAAUUUUUAGUUUAUGUUGUUAACCUAAAUUUAAUUCUUAAAAGAACUGUUUAUAGGUUGUAAAUUAACAAUUCCAAACUUUAAAACGAAGAAUAAAUGCUUGAAACUAUGUUUCCCCCCUAAAAUGAUGUUAAAAGUUUGACUCUUAACAACAAAUUAAAAAUAAUGACAAUAAUAAAAGAAAAAGGAGUUGAAGUAGAUACCGCUAAUAAGUGUUCGAACUCAAUUCUCCCCAACUUGAUUUCGCUAUUUUCAUCACCAGGAUUGAGAAGAUAAUGCAAUAAAUCAUGUUUAAUCUUAUUAGAACCACAACUUUUUUUCUGCUCAUCAAUCCGUUCAUCAAUCAUCUGCUCCAACACAUCAAAAAUCCUAUCAAAAUGAACACUCUGUUUCUUCUUAAUCCCCUGCACAUCAAAUCUCUUCAACAAUGCAAAAUAAUCUCCAAAAUUCGGUUUCGCAGCUUCUUCCAUAGCCCCUCUUACAGCCACUUUAAACUCUCUCCCUAUUUUCGAAUUCGGGUCCACAAAAUCCUCCGAAAAAAUGGUAUUCCAAAGCAAAUUCACCGAAGUCACAAACGCCACUUUUCCAAAAUCCACUGUUUCAUUACCUUUCAAAGCACAUCUAGAUAUCUCUGUCACCAGCUCUGCCACUUGGCCUCGUCUGAGGUUCUCGUUGGCGUCGAGAAUCCGGGCAGCGAACAACUGGGUGUUGCAAAUUCGUCUGAGGUUUCGCCAGAGAGGUGAAACGGGCAUCCAUGGGAGGCCGAAAAGAUCGUGGUUGUGAGUGGUCAUGGAGUCAGGGACGGUUCUGGAGGAGAGAAAUUGGUCGUGGGUUUGGAGGACUUGUUUGGCCAUGGCGGAGGAGGAAAUGACGACGGUGGUGAUUUGGCCGAGUUUCAAGGUCAUGAUCGGGCCAUAGGAUUUGGCGAGAUUGGCUAGGGAUUGGUGGGGUUUAUCGCCGAGAGCAAGAAGGUUGCCGAUGAGUGGCAAUGGCUUUGGGCCGGGAGGGAGGUUGGUAAUUGGUCUUGUUUUUGAGAUCAUUGAAAUUAGCCAUGCAAUGGAAAGUAGAACAAUGAAGAUCCCCAACAAAUCCAUCUCUUACUACUCUUAUGAAUGGAAAUGAAGCAAUGUAAGCUUCAACUUUUGAUUAUAUAUGUAGGGAAAUUCUUUUUAACUUUUUAACAGGUAGAAUAAGUUUUGGAUUAGACAAAAUCACUUUUAUUUUCUUGUCAAAAUUUUUUUUUUUUUUUAAAGGAUACAUGUUUGACUUGUAAACGAUGCAUAAUUGUUAUUCACAUGGCUCCCAAAAUGGUUAUAAGUGACAAGUAUGGAAGGGUAUUUUUUUAUUAAAUUUAGGAGAAUAAAUACGUAAUAUAAACCGUAGGCAGGUAGAAGUUGUAGGAUUGAGAUGAUUUGUGUAUAAUCCUCCUCAAGGUAAUCUCAAUAUAACUUAAGUGAAAAUAUGCAAUACCUGUCUACAAAGUAGGAGGAUAAAGAAAUGUAUAUGAAUAUUAGAAAGUAAAAUGAUUUUCUCUUCCAUUGAUAUCUGAAUAUGAUGGAAAUUUGCCACCAUAAUUGUAUCUACUUUUUGAAACUUACUUACUUUAGUCACACAUGGAAAUAAAAUAAUAUAUAAUCUAAAAAGAAAAAAAAAAAGUGGAACCAUAACAAAAUAGCUACUCCUAUUUCUAAAACAAUAAAUACAACUUAAAAUGCAUUUAAAAUUGUGUGGAACGGAGAAAGGUCGAGAAGAAAAUUGUGGUUCAACCAUAAAAUGAAAUUAAAUGAUCUGACAAAAAUAUUUAUUAUCUUCUCUUUUGUCAUUUCAUUUUAUAUUUGUUACACAUUGAAUUUUCAACAACCAUAAUUGAAGUUACAUUGUAGAUUUCGAUUCAAUAAAUUAGUGAGAUGUAUAAAUAAUUUCUUUACCGGGUAGAUUUUAACCGUUGGAGCAAGUACGAUUAAUCGAAGAAUCGUGGCGGUUGCCAAGCUUGGAAGUGGGAAAGAAUAUGAAGGCGCAUCUCUUUACCAACCAAAUUACUUUCCUAAUUAAAGUUGUGUUAUAUUUUCAAAUUAUUUUAAUUCCGGUUCUACUAUUUGCUAUAGUUUUCCUAAUUACUUUUGUGCAUGAUGUAAACAGACCCUAGAAUAUGGCCCCUAGAUAAGUUUAUCAUAUAGUCUUUUGAGUGAAGCAUAUAUAUUUAUUUUUGAGAAUCAACAUUCAUAAAAGAAAACAUAAAACUAGUUUUUACUCAUGAAAAGGAAGGUAAAACUAGACAAGAAGUGGGAAAGCUCUCAAAGGAGAAGCCAUUGCAAGAGUGAUUCCAUACUUUUCAUCCAUAUUCAAAUCAUCAGGUCGACAACCAUCUUCAAGCUUCCAAUCAAAGAAAUGAAGAAGCGAACCCAACAUCAAAGGCAACAUUCUCAUAGCCAAUGGCAAUCCAGGGCAAAUCCUUCUUCCACCACCAAAUGGAACCAACUCAAAAUCUCUGCCUUUAAUGUCAAUGUCCAUCUCUAAGAAUCUCUCUGGCUCGAAUAUUUCAGGAUUUUUCCAUACGUUCGAAUCUCGACUCAUCGCCCAUAAAUUUACCAGCACUUGAGCGUCUUUAGGGAUUGUGAAACUUGAUAUUUCGACGUCUUGUAAUGCUUUACGAGGUAGUAGAAAAGGAGGGGAAUGAUAUCUUAAAGUUUCUUUAAUCACUGCUUGUAAAUAAGGUAGCCUUGAAAUGUCUGAUUCUUUAAUUGGGUUUCCUUUCCCUAUUACACUUCGGAUUUCUUGUUGAGCUUUUGAUAGUUUUUGUGGGUUUCUUAAUAGUUCUGCCAUUGCCCAUUGGAAAACUGAAGAAACUGUGUCGGUUCCAGCAAUGAAUAAUACCUAUAGAACAACAAUCAAAUCUUUAAUAAAAAAAAUGCUCUUACUAAAAUUUUGAUUGGUGGAAUUCAGAAAUAAAUCUACUAGAAACUUAGGAAAUAAUACAAAUUAAUGUGUAUGAAAUACAUAACAUUAUUGCUAGGAUUAUAGAAAAAUACAAGAUGAAUCCGUGGUUAUUCAUAUUCCCCUUCUAGUAUCAUAAUAAACACGAAAAACUUGAAUAUUUUUAAAAGAGAAGAAUUUUUCACUUCAAACGUCUAUGAUUAGACAAAUUCUGUGGGAUGAGAGAAAUGAAGUUGUAAAUUGGGAUGUAUUAUGUAUACAAAAGUACAUUUAAAAAGAAAACAAAAAAGAACAAAAUCAUAGAAAGAAAAGGAAAUAAAAUCAGAUUUUUUGUUUUAUUUUUUCUUGGGAUAAGCCAAGUCCAACCACAUACAGAAAAGGAAAAGAAAAUGGAAAGGCCAAUAAUUGAUCAGUGGGGCACUCAUUUCAACUCAACUAUCCAAGAAAAGAAAAAAAAUAGAAGAAAUAUUAUUUGUCGCGUGAAAAGUAAAUAUGUUGUUGAAGGCUGAAAGCUAAGAUAAUAGAUGCCAUUCAAUAUCAACCAUAUAUCUUUCCUAAUUUGAAAAGUUGUCUAAUCAAAAAUUGUCACACUCAAAUAAAUUUUUAAAAAACAAAUUUUCGAAAAUAGAAAAAAUUAUGAAAAGUAAAUAAGUAUAAUAAGUUUUGUUUUCAUGGUUUUUCUUUACCUAAAGUGUAAAUAACUUGUUUUCUUUUUCUAUUUUGGAAAAAGCCAUUUUAUGGUUGGUAAUUGAAAAGAAAUGGAUGUAUUUAGAUUUCCAUGUUUAUGGUUGGUAAUUGAAAAGAAAAGAGAAAGUUAAAAGAAUUUAUUAAGAUAGAAUUUUUAUCAUCCAAUGUGUUAUUCAUAAUUUACUUUGAAAACCUACGAAAUUCUCCAAAAUCUGUCUAUUUUGGUCCAGAAAGUUAUUAACUAAAAAUAGUAUUUAUUUUUUCUUUUUAGAUUUUAAAAUGAUUAAUAUCAAUGAAAUGAAUUAUGUGUGAGAUUUGAGAUUUGGAUUGAAUGCGCUUUUUGUUUAAGACGAAAUAUUAAGAAAAAAGUUUAACACAUAGCAAACAAUUGUGCCUAAAGAGACUACAUUGGGGGCAAAACUAUUUUCUAAACCCAAUUAGUGGAGUAAAAAUUGGAGUCAUAGCGUAUAAGACCAUAAAUUAUUCUUACAUUUUCUAUUUUAAAAUAUUUUAAUUUAUAGUAAUUUAUCAGAAAAAAGUUUACUAUAUUGAUAAAUAUUCAAUAUAUUAGUUUAUUUUGAUAAGAGACGUUUGAUUCUUAAAAAAAAAAACUCCAUCUAGGUUAUAAAUCAACAAAUUCAAACCCUAAUAAAAUCAAGUUAAACAGAAGAAUAAGUGUUUGAACUCAAAUUCCCCUAAAGAUAAAAUGAUGUUAAAAUUUGGAUUCUUAACAACAAAUUGUAAGUAAUAAUAAUAAAAGAAAAAGGAGUUGAAGUAGAUACCGCUAAUAAGUGUUCGAACUCAAUUCUCCCCAACUUGAUAUCGCUGUUUUCAUCACCAGGGUUGAGAAGAUAAUGCAAGAAAUCAUGUUUAAUCUUAUUAGAACCCCAACUUUUUUUCUGUUCAUCAAUCCGUUCAUCAAUCAUCUGCUCCAACACAUCAAAGAUCCUAUCAAAAUGAACACUUUGUUUCUUCUUAAUCCCCUGCACAUCAAAUCUCUUCAACAAUGGAAAAUAAUCUCCAAAAUUCGGUUUCGCAGCUUCUUCCAUAGCCCCUCUUACAGCCACCUUAAACUCUCUCCCAAUUUUCGAAUUCGGGUCCACAAAAUCCUCCGAGAAAAUGGUAUUCCAAAGCAAAUUCAUCGAAGUCACAAACGCCACUUUUCCAAAAUCCACUGCCUCAUCACCUUUCAAAGCACAUCUAGAUAUCUCUGUCACCAGCUCUGCCACUUGGCCUCGUCUGAGGUUCUCGUUGGCGUCGAGAAUCCGGGCAGCGAACAACUGGGUGUUGCAAAUUCGUCUGAGGUUUCGCCAGAGAGGUGAAACGGGCAUCCAUGGGAGGCCGAAAAGAUCGUGGUUGUGAGUGGUCAUGGAGUCAGGGACGGUUCUGGAGGAAAGAAAUUGGUCGUGAGUUUGGAGGACUUGUUUGGCCAUGGCGGAGGAGGAGAUGACGACGGUGGUGAUUUGGCCGAGUUUUAAGGUCAUGAUCGGACCAUAGGAUUUGGCGAGAUUGGCUAGAGAUUGGUGGGGUUUAUCACCGAGAGCAAGAAGGUUGCCGAUGAGUGGCAAUGGCUUUGGGCCGGGAGGGAGGUUGGUAAUUGGUCUUGUUUUUGAGAUCAUUGAAAUUAGCCAUGCAAUGGAGAGUAGAACAAUGAAGAUCCACAGCAAAUCCAUCUCUUACUAAUUUGUAUUAGAUGGCUCCCCAAAUCUAUAAUAUAAUAUAUAAAAUGGAAAUGACAUUAAAUAAUAAAAAUAUUAAAAAAAAACAGCUCGAUGGAUAUUAGUGAAAUAGGUUGGUAAAGUAAAAGUUUAUGGAUAAUACUUUAUAUGUGUAAGUAUUAAGUUAGGGAGGAAGGAGAGUAAUACUAUUUUGGAAUAAAUAUAAUUAAGAAGGAAAAUGUUUCUUAUUUUUGGAAAAAAGAGAAAGAUGAUGAAAUGAGUUAUUAAAUGAGGAGAUAGAUGUUAUUUGUUAUGGUUGGAAAAGUAAAAAGAGAGAUAAUUAAUUAAUAGGUAUAAUAACAGUAAUAAUUAAUAUUGUUAUUAUUAAAUAGGAUUUUUCGGUAAGCGUUAACUCACUAUUCACCUUCUUCUACAUCCUCCCUCUCCCCCUUCACCGAGCCGCGUGAGCCACGAUCUCUUGGGCGAGCCGUCUCUGUUGUUCCGAGCCGCGUGUACCACGAUCUCCUCCGCGAGCCGCGCGCCCGAGCCGUUCCUUGUUUUGGAGUCACUUUUGAUGAGUUUUGUUAUUAUUGAUUGGGUUUGGUACCCCAUUAAUUACCUAUAUGGAUUUUAAUUAUAAAUGACUUUAAUUUAAUUUACCGCUAUAGAAUGAGUUUUAAAUGGAAUGAAAAAAACAGCUAAUAAUUAAUUGAGUCCAAACAACCUAAUGUACAAACACAAAAUUAGUUUGAUGUUUCUCACAUUAUAUGUGUUCUUACUUUCCCAAGAUUGGAGAUUAAAGAUGAAAGAUUGCUCAAGAUAUUGAUGAAGAUUGAAAUUAUUUACAAUUAUAUGAAUUUAUGUAGAUAACAAGUUAAUAUUUUUCUUCAACACUCUUCCCACUUACCGCAACAAAUGUACCUUCACAAUCCCAUAUCACCCAUCCUUUAAACUAUCAAUUAAUGCACUAUGUUGCGUCCUCACCAACAUCACACGACCAAGUAAAUUAUUUAUAAAAUUUUGAUCACAUCUCAAGGUUAUAAUCAAAUCUUUUUCAAAGUUUUAAAAUUAAAAAAGAAAUAUUUGUAAAUGUUUUAUAGUCUAAAAAUAUAUCAUGCUUCAAAUAUAAGUAAUACGUAGGAUUAUUUUAUAUCCUUGAAAUUCAAUGACUACAUCGUUGUACAACCUAUAAAAUAGAUCUUCUAUAUAAUUUUUGACAUUUUUUAAAAAUAGUUUAUUAGAAAAAAUUUUAAAUUUAUAUUUGAAGGAUGUGACACAUAUUGAGAUUGAGAUGCAACUUAAACCAAACUUUGGAGAUAAAAAAAGUUGUAACUUUUUCUAAUUAAAAAAUUGUAUUCAAGUACAACAUAUUAUCAAACUUUAGCUAAAAUUCUAUUAAUUAACGGAAAUCUACGAAUCAACUCGAUAUUUUUAAAGAAAUUAAACCAACCAAUAUGUGCAAGCACGUAAACCCAUAUCCAACCAAAGAUAAAAAUAAAAUUCUAUAAUAUACGCAAUAUAUCAAAUCAUGCCUAGCUAAAUCUAUUAUAACAAUUCUCAUUAAUUUAUAAUCUUUUAAAAAAACUCAACUUAUUGUUAUAUUGUCUUAAAAAUUCACUAUUAUGUUUUUUUUUAUAAAAAAAAUUGUCCCAAAAGCUCAUUUUUUUUCACCAUGGUAAAUAUAACACUUACAUUAAUUUUUUUUUUGUUUGUUGUAAUUUCGCAAGCCAUCUUAUUAAUAUUUAACUUGAUAAAUCUUUAAAAUAAAAGUCAUGUAUAACACAAUGUAUAUUUUUAUAAUAAGGGGAAUGCAUAUAUUGAAUCAUUAUGAUAUUUGGAAUCAAUGUGGGGAAAAUAUAACAUAUAUACAGCUAUUCAUGACAUGAUACUAAGGAUCAAGUUGGCUACAAUGUAAGUCAUGUUAUUAACUAAUAGUUAUUAUGAAAACUAAACAUGCGUAUUAGUGAUGUAUUUUUUUUAAUUGUAUUUUCUUUUAAUUUAUUAUUAAGAAGAAUUUUUGAGUGUGUAACACUAUAACUUCAACUAUAUUAAAUCAAAAUAUUUUAUAAAAUAAUUGAGAAUUAUUUUAUGCAUUUAUAUGGAUUUGGCUAUAAAGGCCGAACAUGGGGAGGUUCAAAUUUUCAUGUUAUAUCAUUUUAUUAUAAUACUCGAAAAUAUAAAUUGGACAAAAUUUUAGUAAUUUACAAUUAUUUUGAACAUUAUUUCUGGUUAGAAGGAAUGUGUUUUUUGUAAAACUAGAAAAAACAAUUAUGAUAAUAGAGUUCAUGUCACGACAUUUUCUAAAUUUUCAAAAGUUACAAGUUUAAAAGUGAUAGACUCUCUAUAGUCCUAUAAUUACUGUACGAUAUUAUUAAUUUUGCUACAUUCGUAAAUUGGUGUCAUGAGCUAUUUUUUUUCUAAAUAUUUUUGUCAUUUGAUGCAAUUUUUCCAUAAGAAAAUUACUAACAUUUGUAAUUUUUUAAAUACAAGGUGAAAAUCACUAGGUUUGUUUUAAUAUAUAUACGUAUCUUAACGGUUAAGCUGUGUACAUGUUUAAUGUUAUUAUGCUUUUUUUGAAAAUUAGUUAGUUCAUAUAUAUCAAAUUAUCUUUUACACAAAAUCAUAUUGUUUGGUUAAUUUAAAUCAAAGUAUAUCAUACAACUUUUUGUGGGAGGUGUUUAAUUAGAAAACAAAAGGUGGAGUAUAUGGAAAUGAGAAUCAUGAACCUCUAAAAUGUAACUCAUAGUAUAAAAAUUUAAUAAGUCAAUAAAGUAUGAAAUUGCUGUUUUUUUAGUCGUGGACGCAUGGAGUCUCAUUAGACUAAAUAAAAAAUGAGGUUUAAAACUUAAGAUAUAAACUCGACCAACGCCUUAAACAAAUAUAAACUCAACGAAAAGAAAGAAAUUUGAACUCUAUUAUUGCAUAUAUUCAUGUUGAAAAAGAAAAACACUUAGGCUUUAGUCUUAUUUGGGAACCACUGUGUUUGAUUCUUUAAAAUUAACUUCAUUUCUUGAUGAGAAUUGAAAUAGUUUGAAGUGAAUUAUUACUGAAUUCUAAAAAUAAAAAAGAAAAAAACUUCUUGUCAAACUGUACACGUUCUUUUUUUCCUUGGAAGAUGCAACAACCAAAGGGGAGAAACAGUUAGCACUAUGCUUUUGAGAAUGGAAAUAAUUCAUCAACAAGAUUGCAUUUUUGUUUAAAAAACUAUGAAUAAUUAGAAGCUUUAUUUGCAAGAAAAAAUGUGAACAUUAUCAUGUAGAUUUAUAAAAAUUUGUUCCAAGCUGUACUGUAUAUGGGUAAAGUCAAAGUUUUUGAUGAGAUGAAGAAUUGUCACAUGUACAUAUAAUAAAGUACAUAAAAUCUCAUAAUCAACCAUUAACAACAUAUUUUCCUUUCCCUAUAAAUAUGUUUGGGUCCUCAAACAGAAAGGCACCAAAAACAUAAGAAAACACAAAGUAGUUUCCAUUAAAACCAUGGUUUUUCUUCCUUUCAUUUGUAUCUUUUUCUUCCUCAAUUUUCAUGGCUAUGUUGCCAUGAAAACUGAGCUUUGGAGUGCUUCCAACACCAAUUUACAAACCUACAUUGUUCAUGUUAAGCAACCAGAGGUUGAGAUUUUGGGUGACACCAUUGAUCUACAAAAUUGGUACACAUCAUUCUUACCAGAAACGAUCGAAGCGUCAUCCAACGAACAAUCACGGUUACUUUAUUCAUAUCGACACGUGAUCAGUGGUUUCUCUGCAAGACUUACAAAAGAACAAGUUAAAACAAUGGAAGAGAAGGAUGGUUUCAUCUCAGCCAUGCCUGAAACCACAUUGAAUUUGCACACAACUCACACACCUGAAUAUUUGGGGUUGAACCAACAUUUUGGGUUAUGGAAAAAUUCAAACUUUGGUAAAGGAGUGAUCAUAGGAGUAUUGGAUACUGGAAUUCAUCCAAAUCAUCCUUCGUUUAACGAUGAAGGAAUGCCGUCACCACCGGCGAAAUGGAAAGGGAGAUGCGAAUUUGGUGCUUCUAUUUGUAACAACAAGUUGAUUGGUGCAAGAACUUUCAAUCUUGCUAAUAAUGUUUCGAUUGGGAAAUCACCAAAUGACGAAAAUGGACAUGGCACACACACAGCAAGCACAGCUGCAGGCACUUUUGUUAAAGGUGCUGAAGCUUUGGGAAAUGCAAGAGGCAAAGCAGUUGGAAUGGCACCUUUAGCUCAUAUUGCAGUGUACAAAGUUUGUUCUCCAAAAGGUUGUUCCAGUAGUGAUAUACUUGCUGCCUUAGAUGCUGCAAUCGACGACGGUGUUGACGUGCUCUCGCUCUCCCUCGGUGCCCCUUCGACUCCAUUUUUCAAAGACACAAUUGCCGUAGGGGCAUUUGCAGCCAUUAAAAAGGGAAUUUUUGUGAGUUGUUCAGCAGGGAAUUCAGGCCCUUCCAAAAAUACAUUAGCCAACGAAGCACCAUGGAUUUUAACUGUUGGAGCUAGCACCAUUGAUAGAAAAAUCGUGGCAUUGGCAAAGCUUGAAAGUGGCAAAGUCUUUACCGGUGAAUCUCUGUUCCAGCCAAGAGAUUUCUCAUCAAAAUUCUUACCACUUGUAUACGCUGGCAAAAGCGGAAUCGAAGGUUCUGAAUAUUGUGUUGAAGGUUCACUUGAAAAGCUGAAUGUGACAGGAAAAAUCGUGGUAUGUGAACGAGGAGGAGGAAUAGGCAGAAUAGCAAAAGGGUUGGUUGUGAAAAAUGGUGGCGGCGCUGCCAUGAUUCUUGUAAACCAAAAACCAGAUGGGUUUAGUACUUUAGCUGAAGCUCAUGUUCUUCCAACAACCCAUUUAAGCUAUGAAGAUGGACUUAAAAUCAAAGAAUAUAUAAAUUCAUCACAUAAUCCAAAAGCUUCAAUUUCAUUUGAAGGAACUCUGCUUGGAAACAGAGCCACCACUUUCUCCCCUGCUAUGGCUUCUUUUUCUUCACGAGGGCCAUGUCAAGCAAGCCCUGGGAUCUUGAAACCUGACAUAACAGGCCCUGGUGUCAACAUUCUCGCAGCUUGGCCAUUCCCAUUAAACAACAACACAAACACGAACACAAAAUCGACUUUUAAUGUUAUAUCAGGAACAUCAAUGUCUUGUCCUCAUUUAAGUGGAAUUGCAGCUUUGAUCAAGAGUAAUCAUCCUAAUUGGUCCCCUGCUGCCAUUAAAUCUGCUAUUAUGACCUCUGCAGAUGUAAGAAAUCCUCAAGGGAAACCAAUCGUGGAUCAAGAUUUGAAACCAGCGAACUUUUUCGCUAUGGGGUCCGGACAUGUUAAUCCAUCAAAAGCAGCUAACCCAGGAUUGGUUUAUGACAUUCAGCCCGAUGAUUAUGUUCCUUAUCUUUGCCAUUUGUACACAGAUGCUCAAGUGUCGAUUAUUGUUCGUAGACAAGUAACGUGUUCGACGGUAUCAAGAAUACGAGAAGGCGAUCUGAAUUAUCCUUCGUUUGCUGUGAGUUUGGGAGCUGAUUCACAGGCGUUUAAUAGAACAGUGACAAAUGUGGGUGAUGCUAAUUCAGUUUAUUACGCCAUUGUUAAGGCACCAGCUGGAGUUUCAGUGAGAGUUACACCAAGAAAUUUGAAGUUCUCAAAGUUGAAUGAAAAAUUGACAUAUUCUGUAACUUUCAGCCGGAUCGACUUUGUUAGAACAAGAAGUGAAUUCAGUGAAGGGUAUCUCAUAUGGGUUUCUAAUAAACACAUAGUGAGAAGUCCAAUCUCUGUAAAGCUCACCUAAGGAAGUUAUGAAACCUACUUCAUACAUUGUUGUAUUUCUUUUAAUCAUUUGAAAUAAAAUUUGUAAUAAGAAUUGGUGUAAUCGUUAAUCAAUUAAUUAACAACUAAUGGAUCUCAUCUCACUUAAUUUUUCAAAGGAAAUCAAAUUUAUCACUCUCAACUACGCAAUCGUAUUCCGUUUGUUGAUUACCAAUUGAGCACCAUAAUAUUAUUGUUUUCUAUUUCUUUUUCUAGAAGAUUGAAUCAACUUUUGAGAUGGUACCUUGAUUAGUACUUUAUCUACCUGACUGUUAUUUCAUAUAACUGAUUUAAAUUGCUAAAAUAUAAUACAAUGUCUGCUUAUUCAAGUUCUAGCUCUCUUGUCAAGACAAUUUGAAAAUUGGCGUCAAAUGACCAAAACCAACCAAAUUGAUGGUGAGCACCUGGUUGUACAAAUUUGAUCUGUUGACUUUGUGAACCAAUAAACCAAUCUGUCUAUCAAUCAAGGAAUUGUGAGAAAUGGGAUCGACUCAUCUUAAAAAAUAACACAUAAAAAUGUAUUACUGCUUUAGUGGAGACAGAAAAAAUAAAAGACUAAGAUCCAUUGUUCGACCUUACGGUUGGCCACGAAACCACCAACCUUCCAAAAAUCGACCAUCACUCUGUUUACAACACAUGCCUCAUUUUUAUUAUCAAAUUUGUUUGUCAAAAUUUAGGGUGAAGAUUUGAAUCCGUAACCUUUUGUCCACAUAUAUAUACAUGUGCUAAUCGAACUAAGCUUCGGGUUCAACAUUUUAGGUUUAAGUUGAGAGGAAUAGCUUUUUCAGGUCUCAUAUUAUCUUCCAAUCUUUUUGUUUCAAAUAGCUUUUAUCUUACCUUUUUUUUCUAUUCUUUUAUUCGACUUUUUAUAUUUAAUCUUGAUAUUUUUUAGCUUUAGUUUUUCUUAUAGGUUUUUUAAUCAGGAAUAAGUUGCUCUUUCCCACAGUAACUAUUUUAGAUUUAUGGACUUUCAAGUACUCAUACAAGCUCAGUAAUUAUAUAAAUGUCAAAUUUACACAAUGGUUCCAACUAUCCUAUUUUAAUUUACACAUGAGUAGCCUAAUAGGGCUAUUACUCUACCAUAACUCAAAUGUGUAAACUAUGAGCACUUGUGUCACUUCUAAGAUUGUAUACACACUCUAUUUAUAAAUCAACUUCCCAUGUAAAGGAUAUAUUACAGGCGUUCUCUCUUUUAACUACUAAGUCAAUCUCAAAAGGAAGGGUCUCUUGAUGUCGUUAUUAAAACAUAAUUUGCGGAAAAGGAAAAUUGAAAGUGUUUUUGGUGUAACAAAAGGGUAAGAGCACGACUCAUUUUAUUAAAAAAAAAAAAAAAAAACUAGCCUAGAAACAUUAAAGAAUUUGGGUAUGAAAAAGGUAAGCUAUGUUAAAAGCAUUUAUAUUCAGUUAGUUACUAAUUAAAUAGGAGCAAACAUAUAUAUGAUAUUGGACAAAGUCAAUUAUUCAUAAAUAUUUUCCUAUAAUUUAGAUACUAAAUACACACAAUACAUAGUUCUAUUAGCAACCAAACCCAAAACAUAAUUUUUCUUCAAUAAUAACAUAGGAAGUAGGAGAUUAUUUGUAGUCCACACAUUUGAAACAGGCUGAAAAAGAUCAAACAAUGAUAGGAAUAGCUUUAAGAGGAUGAGCCAUGACCAAAGUGAGACCAACUUUUUCAUCCAUGUUCAUGUUUUUUGGUGUGAUUCCAUCUUCAAGCUUCCAAUCAAAAGAAUGAAUUAAAGAAGCAAGAAUCCAAUGCCCCAUUCUAUUAGCCAAAGGCAAUCCAGGGCAAAUUCUUCUACCAGCACCAAAUGGAAUCAAUUCCAUGUUUCUACCUUUGUAAUCAAUCUCUGAGAGCUCCAAGAAUCUUUCUGGUUUAAACAAUUCACCAUCUUCCCAAAUGUUUUUGUCCCUUUGAAUGUACCAUGCAUUCACAAUAACUUGAGCAUCUUUUGGUAUUACAAAGCCUCCAAUUUCAGUGUCUUGUCUUGCCUUUCUUGGCAAUAGUAAAGGAACUGGCGGGUGCAAUCUAAGAGUUUCUUUUGCAAUUGCUUGAAGAAAAGGGAGCUUUAAGAUAUCCGAUUCUUCAAUUGGCCUGUUUUUUCCCACAACUUCCAUGAGUUCUAUUCUUGCUUUUGAUAGUGCUUCUGGGUUCUUUAAUAGCUCUGCCAUUGCCCAUUCUACCAUAGAUGUAGUCGUAUCGGUACCAGCGGGCAAUAGAACCUUUUUUUUUUUAUGUGGAGAAACAGUAUAAUUAAGUACCAAGUAGAUGUAUAAGUAUACACAUUUAUCUAAAAACGAUGCCAAAGUUAUUAUAAAAUUGUGUUCAAUAAUUGAUGUUGGUUUGGAACAUUGAUUAGUUUGGUGUGUGUUGCCCCAGUUGACUUAAAAGUAGUUUAAAAUAAAGCAAAAAAGAGGACGCUUAAAAAGCAAUGGUUAGACAAAAUAGGUGGAGCCGUGAAUAUAUAUGAUUGGACUAAAGGUGAGUGUAGUGACCUUAGUGUUUAUAUUUAAAAUAUAACACCAAUCUUUUUUUGUGGUAAAUAAAAAAUAAAUUAAAAUAUUUACCAGCAAAAUUUUAAAUUCUAUCAAUUUAUAUCACUCUCAAUCAAUAUCACUUGUAGAAGAAUAUUAGUGUGUAUGAAUAUCUUUUAUUAAUAAAAUCUAAAAAUUUUAUAAGUCGUAAAUAUUUUGUUAAAUUUGUUAUUAGGACACUUUAAUAAUUGUUUUAUUUAAUGAAUCUUUUUAAAUUAAACAAUAAAAAAACGUCAUUCUCAACUAGAGCAUGAACUAAAUCUUUUAUAUACUACAACCACGAUUUUCUUGUCCACCACUAAACUUUUUACAUAAUAUAUAUAUUUUUUCUUUCUGAAAAAUUAAAAUCAAUUUUCAAUAUCUUUAAAAAGGUUAGAAUAGUUAUAGAUAUAACAAUAAGAUUUAAAGUAUUCGUACGACACAAAGAAAUUAUUGCAUAUAUAACAAAAUUUACCCUUCAUUUUCAAAAUUUAUUAGUGUUCAUCUCUCUACACUCCCAAUAAAUCAUUGUCCCUUGCUAGCUUAUUGCUAUUUAGAAGAAAAAAAAACUUUUUGUUCUGUAUUAUAUUUUUACGAGAGAUUAAAAAUAUAAUAGAUUACAAAAUAUAUAUUCAUAUAAUAUUAUAUUUCCUUUCAUGAAAUUAAAAAAAAAACUAUUAAAAAUUAUUUAAAUUCAAAUACAUUUUAUAGCCAAAUUUAAUUACUGUAUUUUAAUAAAUUUUAAUUUUGGUCCAUUUCUUUCACUAUAUUUGAAAAUUAACCCAAAAAUUUUAAUUGAUAUAAUUUUUUUUUUUUGUAUUUAAACCAACAAACAUAUAAAAAACAGAAAACUAUUUUUACCAAAUCAACUUAUAUUAUUUACAGUUCUAGAGAGAGUAGAAGAACUUUUUUUUUUCCAAAGGUAGAGAGAGAGAUUUACCAAUAUUAAAUGCUUGAUUAAAUAGACGUCGAACAUAGAGUCAUCAUUUUCUUUCGCAAGAUUGAGAAGAUUAUAAAGCAUAUCAUGGUUUUCUUCCACUCCUUCCAACUCCAUUCGCUUCUCUAUCAUAUCCCCAAUCAUGUCCAAAAAUUUCUUAAUAUAAACCAUCAUACGCCUUCGACUACCUUUAAUAUCCAUCGUCUUAAACAAAGGAAAAUAAUCUCCAAUGUCCGGUUUCCCAGACUCCUCCAUAAUCCCCCACACGGUUUCCUUCAAAUCUUUCGCCCAUUCUGAAUUUGGGUCUGCUAAAUCUACCGAAAAAACCAUGUUCGAGAGCAUAUUGAGAAUGGUCACAAACGCAGCUUUUCCAAUAUCUACAGCCUCGCCUUUCAAAGCCCUUUCUCGUACGUUGUCUAGAAGUCGUUGGAUUUGCUUUUGGCGAAUGAUCUUGGUUGAGUCGAGAAUCUUGUGAGAAAACAUAUGAUUGUUGCAUACUUUUCGAAGGGUUCUCCAGACGUCACACACUGGAAGCCAGACGAAACCGAGCUUGUCGUGGUCGUAAACUGUGGAAGAGUAAGGGAUCGUACGGUCACAUAAUUGUUGGUCAUGGGUUUGGAGGACUUCCUUAGCCAUGGCUGCUGAGGAAAUCACUAUGGAGGUCAUUUGGCCUAGUUUGAGGCUCAUGAUGGGGCCAUGGGACUUGGCUAGAUUGGCUAGAGAUUGGUGGGGUUUGUCACCAAUAUCCAUUAAAUUUCCAAUGACUAAGUAACCUUUUGGCCCAGGAGGGAGCUUGGAAUGGGUUCUUUUGGUACUUGAAUUGAAGAGUAGAAGAAAGGAGAGGCAUGAGAUGAUGAAGGAAACAAAGAGCAUGCACAUAAUUAUAAACUCCAUAUUUUCUUUUCACUCUUUCUCUCACUCCAUACACAAUUUAGUUGCCUUUUUAUAAGAGUUAAGAACUGACCCAUGACUUUAAUUCUAAUUAAUUAAGUGUUUAUUGCUCUUGUUAAAUUAUACGUUUAUGUUUCUUACACUUACUUUUUCUUUUCUUUUCAAAUUGUCUAAUAUUUAAGAGAGAUGAAGAAAUUUUGAAAUGGCUAACUGAUCUUUAUACGUUUAGAAAUAUAAUUUGAAGGAGAAUUUUACUUCAAUUAAGUUCUUUUGUUAAUGAUAUUCAUGAUUGUCCUAUUCUAGCUUAAACGUCAAUAACAAUUUGACUGAUCCUAUAAUAUUUAAGGAAGUUUAAGAUAACUAGUAAUAAGGGCGGCCCACGACCUUUUAAUUUAGUCCUUUUCAAGGUCCUUUAUAUAAUUUGUUGGAAAAAAAUUUUAGGAGUUUUGAGGCAAACGUGGAAGAAAAAUAUCACUAAGAAGCUAUUUGUAGCCAACUGAAGUUUAGUUCAAAUGACACUUGUAUGUACAUAAGGACAAGAGUUCUCGGGUUCAAAUUCUCAUACCCCAAGUUGUACUUAAAAAAAAAAAGGAACACAUUAGUAUUCCAGUCCGAUGACACAACAUCUACAUCUAGGGGUUACAAACAAAGUGUUCAACACCACACAAACAUCUAUGGAUCACAAACACACCACCAGAGAGCUUAAUCAUUGAAUCAUGAAUGUGUGUUGACAAAAACUUAAUUGUCCAUACACUACAAGAAAAUAUGUAUUUUUCGAUGCACAACAUAGAUAUCGGGAUAAGUGACAAUGUUGUGAGAAAAAUCUUCUUCUAACAUCGUAAAAGCUCCAUCGAAAAAGGUUGGCAAUCUCGACGCGGCAUAAGGCGACCUCGGUAUAAGAUAAUUUAAUAAAAAAAUUACAAACUUCUCCUAACGCCAUUAUUUAUGACAUUGGGAGAAGUUUAUAAAUUUUUAAUAUAUUUAACUUCUCCCAAGGCCGUUAUGCAUGAUGUCGAAAAAAGUUCAUAAUUUUUUAAUAUAUUUAACUUCUUCUAACAUCGUUAUGCAUGGUGUCAAAAGAAGUUUAUAAUUUUCUUUAAUGUAUUUAACUUUUUUCAACGCUGUUUUGAAUGACGUUUGGAGAAGUUUAUAAUUUUUUUUAAUAUAUUUAACUUCUCUCAACGUGUUUAGUCAUGCGUUAGAAAUGUCGUCACUUCAAAUACCAUUUUUAUUUCUGUAAAACAAAUUUGUGUUAGCCGAAAAUGAAGGAAAGGGAGACCGAAAACAAAGGAGACGAAUGAAAGGUUUGAAGGCCGAAAGAGGAAGAAGAAGGUCUAUCGUCGUCCACCGUUCAUUGCUUGUCGUCACCCUCGACGCUUGUGAGCUGCCGUCUGCCCCUCGCCGGUAAGUGGUUGUUUUUUGUUUUUUAUUUUUGUUUUGGUUUAAGUUUGAGAAAAAAAAAAUAGUAAAUAGGUAUGUUAAUUUUGUGAUUGUCAAGGCCAUCUCUUUUGUGUUUUUCUCAUUGUCGUCGUCAUCCGCCACUACGCUUCUACUGUUGCCCUCAUCCGCUCCUUGCCAGUAAGUCUUUGUUUUUAUUUUUUUUAUUUAUUUUGGUUUGAGGUCGAAAAAAAAUAUUAAAUAUGUGUGUUAGUCUUUGUUGUUGUUGAUCUAGGAUCCGAUUAGAUCUCUUUCGGAUUUUUUCUAAUGCUAAUAUUUUUUCAUUCAUUUUCUUCUAAUUUUUCAUUCUGGAUUUCUUCUAGGUUGCAGUAUUUUUUUUAAAAAAAUAAAGGAUCUUCUGACACAACAUUUUGUGUGUCGAUUGAUUCUCUUCCGACUUAUUUUUUCUAACUUCAAUCCCAACGCAAAUUUAAGCGUCGGAAUAACAUUGUUAUGUGCCAAUUUCACUUAAGGACAUUCCUUCUCGGGGAAUUUUGCUCUUUGUUUUUAUUUGUUUUGUGUUGGAUUUUGUUUUUUUCCCUUGUAUUUAAAAAAAUGAGAGGGAGAGAAAGAAAAUAGUUUUUACUUUUUGAGGCCAUUCAUAUGAGUUAGUCGAUGGAUCAUGGUCAAAAGGAGGGAGAUUAUUAGCUUUAUUAGGGCUUCAAUCAAAACCAAAUAUUUUGAUGAUAACAAAUAAACUGGAACCAUAUUUUAGUGUGGUUGGUAUUACAUUUUCAAACUCUGCAUCUAUUACCAGUUUUUUUAGAAAGAGAGAUUUCAUUACAAUUAUAUCAUAUAUAUUCAUAAACUAUAUAGUAAAAACUAUUUCACUGUACUUCAUCAGCACGAUUCAUAAUUAAUAAAUAUAAAUGAAUUUUGAACAUUCACACUAAACCUUUAAACAUAAAUAAUAACAAUAAAUUAUAAAAUUCUUAGACACCUUUUAUCACACUGUCAAUUACUUUUAUUAGAAUUUGACAGGUGACAAAUUACAAUCUUACACUUUAUUAGAAUUCAUACAUAUGGAUAAAAGUUGUUUGAGAGAAACAAAUUAUUUUUCGUAAAUAAACAUAAAAGAUAAGAUGGAAUAACAUAGUUUGAAAUGUAAAUUAAUUAGAUAAGAAUAGGUAUAGCUCGUACUGGUUGAGCCUUGGCAAGAGUAAGACCAAACUUUGCAUCCAUAUUAAAAUAUCUCAGGCGUAACUCCAUCUUCAAGCUUCCAAUCAAAGCAAUGAAUCAAAGAACCAACCGUCAAAUUCAACAUCCUCAUCCCCAUUCCCUGACCAGGACAAGUCCUCCUCCCAUUACCAAAUGGAAUAAACUCAAAAUUUCUUCCUUUACUUUCCAAGAACCUUUCUGGCAUGAACACGUUUGGAUUUUCCCACAAGUUUAGGUCUCUACAUGAAGCCCAUAAAUUCAUUCACAAUAAUUUGAGCCGCUUUUGGAAUUGUGAAGCCUGAAAUUGUUACUUUUGAUUCUACUUUAGGUGGAAUUAGAAGUGAUGAUUGCAUUCUUAAGGUUUCUUUGAUGAUUGCUUGUAAAUAUGGUUUUUGUAAUUAGGGGAGAUGGGAAUCCAGGGAAUCCAAGGGCAAAAGAGAUUUGUAGAAUUUUUUAUUGUCAUUUUUAACAUAGCAUAUAUAAAUUCUUUUUGUAAAGAGAAAAAUAAAAUUUGAAAAUUUAGUUUAAGUAAAAGGAUUAAGGCUAUAGUUCGUACGUAGUUAAAGGAUGAGCCAUCUUAAUUCACACUAAUUAUAUAACUAAUUGGUGAGACUCCUAUUGUUAAAGCUUUCCAAUCAAACCAGUAUGAGAUGGUGACUUUGAAAUUGUGGAGAGCAAGGAAUAAAUAAAAAAGUUUGCCGUUAGGAGGGAGAAGACGAUGAAGGAAAAAUGGUGGACAAAGGUGGUUAGGGGAAGAGAACAACGAUCCUUUUUCUUCCGUAGUUAUUGUUUAAUUUUAGUUAAUUUAUUGUUUUCAAGAAAUUGUCACGUCAACUUUAAUGAAUUUGGAUGAUAGAGAUAUUAUUAUUCAACAUUUUCAAAAUAAUAUCCACAUGUUGAUUGUCCAGUCUAAACUAUGCUAAAUUAUAGAAUAUGCUAAUCAACUUUGUACUUUUCCUAGAAAACAUAAAAUGUUUCAAAAAUACCCUUCUAUCAAGUGAAACUGUUAAUAUACCCAUAAAUUUAUUUGAAGCUGUUAGCUUUUAUCAAAUUUGCAACGUUUUUUUAUAGUUUUGGAUAUCAAAAAGGUCAUAAUUACAUCGUUGUUUUGAAAAAUGGAUGGUCUACCAAAACGUUUGGUUCUACCAAAUAUUUUCUUUAUUGACGGUUUUCUUUUCUUUUUUUGUUUUUCCUGCUGACAUUUUCCUAUACACAACCUGGUCUCUAUGGAAGUUAGAGUUGCUCAAUUUUUUUAGUCCAUUGUGCAUAUUUUAACGAUACUUAGUCCUCCCGUUAAUUAGAGUUUUGGUCAUUCAUUUUGUCUUCCGAGCAACAUUUACAUUAUUUUGAUUGUUUCGAUUUGUCGGAAGAAUGAAACAUUACAUGUAAUGGAGACAUAUUUAAUUCUUCUUGCUAUUGUGCAUUGUGAUUUAUUAGCUUAAGGAGAACCUAAAUUUAUAGACAAAACAUUGUCAGUUUCAAAUAAAUUUAUCAUUAUCUUAACGAUAGAGAUAUUUUUAAUUAAUCAAAGUUAUCUAUGCAACUAGAUAUUAAAAAAUUUUGGAAUAAAUUUUUUAACUAUUUCUAUGUUCAAGUAUAUUUUUUAAACUUUUUAAUAUAAUUUAAGGAUAUUUUUUAAACAAAACUUUAAUGGUUUCUAUCUAAAAUUAACUAUAAGAAUAUGUUUGAAUCAUUUUUUAAAAUGUUAGAAUAUUUUUGAAACUUUAAAAAUUUACGAGUAUUUUUUUUUUUCAUGUAAUAUGCUAAUCGUGUGAGACAUAUUUAUAUAUAUAUAAUUUAGCCUUUGAACAAAACCCAAAAGUAAUCACCUAAAACAAUAUUACUCUAUAAUCUACCAAUUACAGCACAACUAUCUAUAUUAUAUUAUUUAAGAAGGACAGUAGGAAAAAUAUUUGUUUUCCAUAUUUUGUCUCUUUUGUAAAACCAUACCUUCAUCGUACAGCUUGAAGUUUAAGUUAAUGGUUGUAGACAAAUUUAAUUAUAUAUCACUAACAUCUUUUCAUGAUUAGCUUAAUUGUUGUCCUUUGCUAGUUUAUUGUUAUUCGUUUUUUAAAAAUUGCUUUCUAUUAAUAUUUUUACUAGAGAUUAUUAAUUUUCGGUUACAAAAUGGUUAGAAAUAUUUUUAAAUAGAGUAAAAUAAUAUUAUUUAUCACUUUCCUAUAUAUUAAAGAGAAGUAGCAUUAGAUGACAAAAAAAUUUAGAAAAAAACAAUUCAUAACACAUUAUUUUUGCAUAUUACAAAUUUGCCAAAUAUAACAUUAAUAAGAUGUAAUUUGAGGGUAAUCUACUUUUAAAUUUUCUAUUUUUACAACUUUAAAAAUAAGUGACAUGGACUCUAUUAUCAUAAAUUAUUUUGCUAUUUUUACAACUCCUCUAUAUUUAAUAUUAUACUUUCAUAUAUUAUGUUAUUAAUAUAUUAAUUUUGACACAAAUUAAGGGUGAGACUAAAUUUAAUAUUUAUAAAAAAUACAGUGAUUAAAAUUUGACAAAUGGAAUUAUCAUGAUUUAACAUUGCACAAAUUAUUUGAAAAUAUAUAGGGGACCAAAAUGAUAUUUUAUAUUUAAAAUGUCAUCUAAUCCGAGGUUAGCUCAUCGUAGCAUGUAUCAAAUAAUUGAGAUUCCAUCCUAUUUUCAAUUUAUAUACUUUCAAUGGCAAAAUUUAAUUAUUAUUGUAAUUUGAAUAAAUCUUAAUUUUAGUUAUUUAUUUGUUUUGCUAUAUUUAAUUUGAAAAUGGCCUUUAGAAAAACAAAUUAUAUGUAAUUCCAGAAUUUAGAAUUUGAAUACCAACUAGAGAUCUAUUUUUUAAAAAAUCACGUUGGAAAGCAUAUUGAGAGUGGUCACUUGUGCUAGAUUUUGCUACAUCUUAUGCUAGAAAAGCUUCUUGUUGGAGAAGUGUAAAUCCACACACAUAUUCAAUUCAUCCCCAUAUAUAUUACAAAAUUCUCAACAACUCAGCAUCAUGAGGAUCAUGUCAGAAUUUGAUAAAAAAAAAAAAAAAAACCAAAUAUAUAGUGUUCUAUAGUCAAUCAGUAAACUUGUUGGUUGUUUUCUCAAUAAUCUAAUUUAGGGUCCCAUUAUUUGUUGUGACAUCGGUUGCUUCCAAGUUCUAUCUUGUCAUCUUCAUCAUAAAUCUUAUCCUUCUCUGGACACAGAAGUGGAUCAAAGAUGGAACUUUCAAUUCUCAGUUGCAUAGUAUGUCUCAUCGUCACUUCCAUACUCAUCCAUUUCAUAUUAAAUAGGAAAAAACCCAAUCUUCCACCCGGACCCAGAUCCCUUCCCAUCAUCGGAAAUCUAUUAGAUAUUGGGGACAGACCCCACAAAUAUCUCGCCGACCUUGCCAAAAUCUACGGCCCGAUCGCGUCGUUAAAGCUCGGCCAAGUCAAUGCCAUCGUCGUAUCAUCACCGGAGACAAUACGACAAGUCCUUGAAACUCACGACCAGGUAUUAUCCACCAGAGCAAUCCCGGACGGCGCAAGAGUAUUCGACCACGACAAAUUAGGUACGUUAUGGGUCGCCCCUAUUUCGCCAAUUUGGAAAAACGUUAGAAAACUGUUCAAAACCCGACUUUUUUCCCAAAAAAGUCUGGAGGUCAGUGAAAGUAUCCGGCAAGCGAAGAUUAAAGAGCUUUUGAAUAGCGUCCGGGAAAGCGCCGUAAAGGGCGAGGUUGUAGAUGUUGGAGCGGCGGCGUUUAGGACGGCUCUUAAUAUAAUGUCCUGUUCGAUUUGGUCAAUGGAUUUGGCAGAUACUAAUUCGGAAAUGGUGAAACAAUUUCAGUCAAGGUUUAGGGGAGUGAUGGAAGCAUUUGGGAGAACGAAUGUUAGUGAUUUUUUCCCGGUGGUUAAGAAAUUUGAUAUUCAAGGAGUGAGGAGGCGUAACAGCGUUCAUUUGAGAAAGAUCUUUGAUUUGAUCGAUGAGAUGAUUGACGGACGGCUGAAAAUGCAGGAAUCUCUUGGUUUUACACCCAAAAUUGAUGCGUUGUAUCAUCUUCUAAAUUUGGAUGAGGAGAAGAACGGAGAGAUUCUUAUGGACAGAAACCAAAUUGGACAUUUGAUUUUGGUGAGACUGCCUUUCUUUCAUUUGCUUUUACACUUUCUUUAUUAUUUUUCUUUUCUAUUUUAGAAAAUUACCUUCUUAAAAUAGGUGGAUAGUUGCAAUGAUAAUAUGCAAAAACCAUUGCAAACAUGAUAACUAGAAUAUGAAUUAUUAUAUAAAUAACAAUAUUUUAACCAAUUAUAAAUAUAUCAUUCAUUGUUGGAGUCUAUCCUUUAAGAUGACGUAUUGAAAAGGACCAUUUUUAUUAUAAUCUUGACGUUGACGUGUCGUAUAUAGUAAGAUCUUUAUUUUAUUACUGUAUUAGAUAUAGGAUUUGUAUAAAUUAUUUUAAGAUAACUUUUGGGUUAGAAAUGAAUUGUAGAUGACACUAAGAAGGGCUCUUUUUGGAACAAGUCAAUGAGAACACAUAAAUAAGGUUUAUAAAUUAUGCAGCGACUUUGUUAACCUUUUGUUAACCUUUAACUCACUUUGAAUAAAUAAAUAAAAAGCUAAAAACCGUGCAAUUAAUUUGAAAUUAAUAUUCAUUUGAGAAGCUAAGAAAAGACAAAGGUUUGAAUUAUCGAUAGAGGAAAAUAUGUAGAUUUUAUUUUUAUGAAAGUUUCGAUUGAAUAUCAAUCAAAGUGUCGAUUUUGAUGGAUAUUUAUAUAAAAAUAAAAAAAUAAAAAAUAAUCAAUAAUUAACUUUAAAUUAUAAAUAAAUAUUUCAUUAUUUUUAAAUAAGAAAACAUAUCGAAAUUAUAUUUAUCACUCAAAUGCUUUUUUUUUUUUUUUUUCUCUCUUAGAGCUUUUCUACUCUAUAAGGGUAGGAUGUUAUCAUAAUUAUUGAAAAUCUAAUUUAUGCAUGUUAAAUCUAGGGUGUAACAAAAUAUAAGAUUGUGAAAUGUUUAAAUGGUGAAAAAUAUAGGGUUUAGUUAUAAAUUACAUGAAUGAAAUAAAUUUCAAAAUACUAAAUUCAAACUUGGAGUUUGGAUUAAGUUAUUAUAUUACCAGCUUACUUCAUCACAACUUCUAAGAUGUAUCUAAUCCUAAAAUAAUGAUAAUUAUUUUCGUUUGAUUAUGGGUUGUAGGAUCUAUUUGUAGCAGGCACCGAUACAACUGCAACAAUAAUUCAAUGGGCAAUGGCAUAUCUUUUACAAAACCCAAAAGUUAUGUCAAAAGCCAAAGAUGAGCUAAACCAAAUGAUAGGAAAAGGAAAUGCAAUUAUUGAAGAAUCACAAAUUGAGAAGCUUCCAUAUUUACAAGCAAUCAUCAAAGAAACAUUGCGAUUGCAAUCUUCACUUCUUCUUCCUCGUAAAGCCCAAUCGCAAGUCACCAUUUCUGGCUACACAGUCCCGAAAGGUACCCAAAUAAUUGUCAAUCUUUGGGCCUUAGGUAGAGACUCCAAUAUUUGGGAACAACCAAAUUGUUUCAUACCAGAAAGGUUUUUUGGUAAUUUCAAUACCAAAGGUAGAAAUUUUGAGUACAUUCCAUUCGGUAGUGGGAGGAGAAUUUGCCCUGGACAACCCUUAGGAAUGAGGAUAGUGCAUUUGAUUGUGGGUUCUUUGGUUCAUUGGUUUGAUUGGAAGCUUGAAGAUGGAGUUACACCACAGAGUUUGAAUAUGGAUGACAAAUUUGGAUUGACUUUGGAGAUGGCUCAACCUUUGAGAGCUAUUCCUCUCUCUUAAUUCAGUAUUGAAUACUAUAUGAGAUCGAAGAAUCAUAAUAAUGAAUAACCAAUAUAAACUUACUCACCUUGUAGUGUUGAUCCAAAAAAUCAAUUUGUAAUAUGAGUUAUGCUUCCUCAUCAUUAUGUGCACCUUAAGAGUGUAAUAUUGCAUGACCAUGUUGCCUAUGAAGAGACAUUAUAUUUUACUAUUGGAGUAUAUUGAGUUUGUUGAGGCCAUUGUCACGUUUGAAUGUCUCUUUAGAGCUCUUGAAGCUUAUAUCUUUCCUCUUUUCAGGUGUAGACAUUCCUUAGCUUCUUGGGGGAAUUCUACUCUUUGUUUUUCUUUGUUUUGUGUUUUGGUUUUGGUUGUUUUGUUUCCCUUGUAUUAAAAAAAUGAGAGAGAGGGAAAAAAAGACAUUCACAAAAAUUUCAAUUAAUAAAUAUAAAUUAAUUUUCAACAUUCGCGAGACAUAAAAAAGAAAAAAAAAAAACUAUAAAAUUCUUAAACACUAGAAUCACACACAUGAAUUACUAGUGGUAUUUCAAAAAGGAAAAUUUAAAAAAAAAAAAAACAAAUUCGCAACAUGACAAUUUACGAUAUAAAUCUUAGAAUUAAUUAUUAGAAUACACAUCACGAAAAAAGUUAUCCCAGAUACACUAAUAUUUAAAAGAGAAGAUGGAAUAACAUAAAUUGAAAUUUAAAAAUUUAAAUAAGAAGAGGUAUAGCUCGUACUGGUUGAGAUUUGACUAGAAUAAGUUCAUAUUUUGCAUCCAUAUUCAAAUUCUCAGGUGUAACUCCAUCUUCAAGCUUCCAAUCAAAGCAAUGAAUCAAAGAACCAACUGUCAAAUACAACAUUCUCAUUGCCAUUCCCUUACCAGGACAAGUCCUCCUCCCAUGACUAAAUGGAAUAAACUCAAAAUUUCUUGCUUUACUUUCCAAGAACCUUUCUGGCAUGAACACAUCUGGAUUUUCCCAUAAAUUUGGGUCUCUACAUGAAGCCCAUAAAUUCACAAUAAUUUGAGUCCCUUUUGGAACUGUAAAUCCUAAAAUUGUUACUUCUGAUUCUGAUUUCCGUGGAAUUAGAAAUGAUGAUUGCAUUCUUAAGACUUCUUUGAUGAUUGCUUGUAAAUAUGGAAGCUUCUCCAUGUGUGAUUCUUCAAUUGGAUUCCCUUUACCUAUCACUUCUAAUAGCUCUUCUUUGGCUUUACACAUCACCUUUGGAUAUUUUAAGAGAUAUGCCAUUGCCCAUUGUGCCACUGAUCCUGUUGUAUCAGAGCUUCCUGAAAAUAAAACCUAAAACACAAUUUCUAAUUUCAGUUUUCUGUUCAGCAUGUCGAUAUAAUUAAAUUUAUUGUCGUAAGCACUGUAAGUUUAAGCUUUUGGUUAUACCUUCAAAAAUUUUAGAAGUUUAAAACUUACAGGUAAGUCUUCCUUUGAUAACAGUUUUCCAUUUUAGAUGUUGUAAUUUGAUCAUUUGAUUUUUUUUUAAAUGAUAGACAAGUCCGAUCGUAAAAAGUUUGGUUGUUUUUUUUUUUUCUUUCUAAAUUUAAAAAAGACAAAAAAUAUGUUCGGUAAUUUUUUUUGGGUUUACUUAAUAAUUAAAAACUUAAAAACCCUAUUUGAUAAUGGUAUUUUAAAAAGAAAAAUCUACACGGUGUUGUUUUGCAAAAUGAAUCAAAUAUCUACCAUUAUCCCAAAAUUCAAGACUUAUAUUAGUGUUUACCCAUACCUGAAAUUUAUUAUAUUUAUAAAUAUUUUGAGUAUAGUUUGAAAUAAUUUUUCUAAUUAAAUUUUUGAAAAAAAAAAUAGUUUUAUUAAUUUUUUAAUGAAAAAUAAAUCGAAAAUUUGUUUGAAAGGGUAAAUACAUGAAAUAGUUUCAAAUAUAGCCCAAAGAAAAAAAAAAAACUAAAAGAACAUUUUAAGUUGGAAGUUUACAUAUUUAUAAAUAUCAAAUUGUCCCUUCUUCGUAUUUUAUGAUUGAAAGACAGUAAAAAAACCGUUUAUCGUUUAUCAAUAAUAGACCGUGAUAAAUUAUUAUUAUUGUCCAUCACUAAUAAAUAACGAUAGAAGUUUAUCUCUAACCUGACUUGUUUAUUAGUGACAGAUAACAAUUACCCAAUCUAUCACUAUAUCAUUCAAUUUAAACAACUUAUUCUUCUUUAAUUAGGAAUAACGCUUCCUUUUCUUGUUCCAUCUUUUAUUACAGUACUCUUCAGGAUCAAUUUUCAAAUAUUUUGGAAUAAACUAUUAAAAUCAUAUCGGUGGAAUUCAAUCCGUUAAUGAUUGACAGUUCUAUCACUGUAGAUAUAAUUACCAAAAGAAUAUAAGUUCUUCAAAGAUAGGAAAAAUAAAUAAAUAGUUACCAUAUGAGAUUUAUGAGAACAACAGUGUUAGAGAAUUAAAAUGAAAAGAUAAGGAGAAAAAGUGGCUUACGAAUAUUGAAUGUUUGAUUUGGUUUCUAUCAAGAGGUAUCUCAUUGUUGUCCUCCUUCAUGUUGAGAAGAUGAUGUAGCAUAUCAUUUUUGGGUGUGAAGUCAGGUGUUUCCUGCAUCUUCAACCGUUUGUCAAUCAUCUCAUCAAUCAAACCUAACAUCUUUCCAAAAUGAAUGGCGGUGCGUCUCCUUACACCUUGAACAUCCAUCUUCUUCAACACAGGAAAAAAGUCACUAAUAUUUGGUCUUCCCAUUUCUUCCAAGCUUCCUCUCAGGGUUGCCUUGAAUUCUUUAGUCAUUUCCGAAUCCGUGUCCACCAAAUCCAUGGACCAAAUUGAAUACGAUAUCAAAUUAAGCGCCAAUGAAAAUAAAGUUGUUCCAAUGUCCACCACCUCGCCAUUCACUGCGCAUCGUCGGAUGUUAUCAAGAUGUUUGUCUAUCCUCAUGCGGCGAAGAUUUCGACUGGCGUCGAGAGCCUUGGGAGAUAAAAGAUAGUUGUUGAAGAUUUUUCUAUGGUUUUUGUAAUUAGGGGAGAUGGGAAUCCAUGGGAGUCCUAGUUCGGCGUGGUCGUAAACCGUUGCCGCAUCGGGAAUGAAUCUGUAAGACAAGACAUUGUCAUGUGUUUGAAGAACUUGUUGGAUUGUCUCCGGGGACGAUACAACAACGGUGGUGACUUGGCCGAACUUUAACGACAGAAUUGGACCGUAAGACUUGGCGAGAUUGGUGAGAGAAAGGUGGGGUUUGUCUCCAAGAGCCAAAAGGUUUCCGAUGAUGGGAAGAGGGGUUGGUCCGGGGGGAAGCUUGGGGUUUCGUCUCGCCGGAAUCAAACGGCAGAGGUUUAUGCAAGUGAAGAUAAGAAAGAUGAAGAGAGGGAAGGUGAAGAAAUCCAUAUCGUCUUCUUCGCUCAUUAAUGGUCAAGAAAGAGGCAAAGGGAUUUGAAUGUUUUUCAUAUUGGCGUGGCAAUAAUUCAAAGUCUUUUCAAGUAUAGUACCACUCUCAGCUUUAUCAGCUUUGCGUGAUUGAUCCCACAGAUACUUUUUCUACUUUCGUUUUCCUCCAUCGGUUUUCUAAAUCUUGACAAAUUAGUUAUGUUUUGUAAAAGAAAUAGAACAUCUUCUUUUAACCAGAUAUUUAACUGGGUUGUAGUGAAGUGAUCUUCUUUAACUAGAUAUCCCUUGUAAAGAUUUAACAAGCUUUUGUUUUGACGGACGUGGGUGGUACUUGCGCGCGCGGCACAGACAUGGACGACACCUAUGCCUGCGUGCGCGGCACGAGCGUGAAUUUAGUUGUUGUUUCAAUUCGGUUGAAGAAUUCUAACAACGACAUAUAAUAUCAUUUAUUGGUGUGACUCUUUCUCCAAGUUUUCCAAUCAAACCAACAAGCCAAAGAACCCCACUAUCAAAUGGUGACUUUGAAAUUGUGUUGAGCCAGAAAUAAUGAAUUUUUUUUUAUUGGGCUCCAGUUACAUUAUAUGAGUGUCCACCAUAUAUGAUUCCAUUCAGGGAUCUUAUUGUCUUUUUCGUUAUUAAAAAAAAAACACGUGCACGUUGUUCUAAUUAGUAAAUAACAAAAUGACAGUAAGACGAUCUCACUAAAGUGUGAAUCGCCUUUCUUUUUGGAGUCCAUCUUAACUAUACAGAAAAAAAUGAAAACAAUAUAUCUUAAUAAUAAAAGAAUAUGAAAAAGAGGGAAGAGCAGUGAAACUUUAGAUAUAAUACCAAAUAUCUAAACUUAAUAGUACCAAAUGUCAAGAUAUAUAUUAUUUUUAAAUACUGUGUCCUACUCAUAGGUUUCUAUCUUCUGUUAUCUUUAAAAGAAAAUCAAACCAAGUCCUUCCAAACUAUGUUUUAAAAAUAUAGUUUUCAAAAAAGGUUUUGUUUGUAAGAAGUUCCAAGAAGAAAACCAGGUAAUUACAAAAUGCUUACAAGAUCAUCUUUUAUGUGCUGAUAUGGAAUCUAUUUGUGAAUCAGCUUUCGAUAGGAACCUUUCGUCCAUCAAAGUCCAUCAUGGUUCCAACCAAUCAUCAUCGCCGGUGGAGGUCGUCUGCCUUAAAUAAGUUAGGGAAAUAUCAUGUUGUCCUCUAAUGGAAAACUUAACAGUUUUUUAUUUUUGUUAUAACUCAUCAAAUCAAAUGGUGUCGUGGUGUAGUUGGUUAUCACGUCAGUCUAACACACUGAAGGUCUCCGGUUCGAGUCCGGGCGACGCCAAUACUUCACUUAAACUUUUUUAUGCCUGACGUGGCUCUUUGUAAGAGGGUAUUUAUUUCUCAUCUUAUGAGAGAGAAAAAAAGAUCAAUUUAUUCUUUCUUUUUCAUCAAUAUUUGUAGCAUUUAAUUUCAAAAUUGCUGAUAGGUGUAAUUUAUUGUUUCUGUAAAGAUAUCAAAUAAAAAAAUUAACUAGAUGGGAGGUGAAUAUAUAUAAAAACACCUCACAUUCAAAACAAUCAAUCUAAAAGUUAAAAUUUUGAUAAAAGAAAUUAACAAACACAUCUCUGCAAUUCAAUUUGUUUUUUCUUAUAUUAUUGAAAUAUUCAAACACUUCUAAAUUAUUGAACAACAAAUCAUAUGUAUAUGUAUAUGGCCUUACAUUCAACUUUUGUAUUUACAUUAUUACAUUAAUUCUACUUAACCUCUACAAACAAUAGUAUAAUCCAACUUUAGGCAUUAACAUUAUGCAUUCUAAUGGUGUUGAAUGGCAUUGUUUUUCAAAAUUUUGGCUUGGCUUUUUAAAACAUGGGUAGAAUGUAGAUAAGAAAGAAAGAAGGCUCUAAAAAAGAAAAGAGAAAAGAAAAGUUGAGGUAGAAAUAAUGUGUAUAAGCACACAAAUGAUUAGGAAAUGGAGAUUAUUUGUAUUGUUAUUUAGAUGGUAGGAGGGUUUAAUUUAUUUAAAAAUCUAUACAUUAUACAAAUCAAAAAAAUUAAUUUUUGUAAAACUUGUACUUUUGGGUUUAAAAAGGAUUCAAAUAUAUUUAUAUUGGUAUUAUAGAAAAAAAAACCAUGAGGAUAAGAGAAAUCGAGAGAAAAGAAGUAAAAUUAAUUUGUUUAAAGAUUGGAAAAAAGAAGAAGAAGAAGAAGAAGAAGAGUAUUGAGGGAUUAGAAAUAAUGUAAGAAGGGAAAUGAAAAGUAAAUAAGGAGUAGUUUAAUCAAAAGUAAUUAUACAAAAUUAUUAAGUUUAAUAGUACAAAAUACGUGUCCCACCGACACGCGGAAUCAUCCAUCCACGCUUCAAAAAACCUGCACCGUCCGAUCUCAUCCCUACCAUCUUCCUCCUUAUCCUCCUCUUCCCUCACUCCUUCCUUUCCCUCUCACUCUCUCUACUCUCAAACACUCCCAAAAAUCCUAACUCCAUUUCGUUAUGGGCGCCGAGGCACCCACAUGGGCCACCCGUCGUCUUAGCAACCAAACUCCCUCCACCGUCGAUCACGUCCUCGAUUUCCCAACCACCGCUCCCCCUCCCGCCAGAUCCCCCACCAUUUCAACCGCCUUCAUCGUUCUCUCCUGGUACCUUUCCAACAUCGGUGUCCUCCUUCUCAACAAGUACCUCCUCAGCUUCUAUGGCUUCCGGUUCCCCAUCUUCCUUACCAUGCUCCACAUGGUUUCCUGUACAUUCUACAGCUACCUCUCUAUUCUCUUCCUCAAAAUUGUACCCACCCAGCAAAUCCAAUCUCGUACCCAAUUUCUUAAAAUCCUCGCUCUCAGCGCCAUUUUCUGUUUCUCCGUCGUCUGCGGCAACACUUCUCUUCGUUACCUACCUGUUUCCUUCAAUCAAGCCAUCGGCGCAACUACCCCUUUCUUCACUGCCAUUUUUGCCUUUCUGAUUACUUGUAAGAGGGAGCCUGCCGGGGUUUAUUUUGCGCUUUUGCCUGUAGUGUUCGGGAUCGUUCUAGCUAGCAAUAGCGAACCUCUGUUUCACUUUCUUGGGUUUUUGAUCUGUGUUGGCUCCACCGCUGGGCGGGCUUUGAAAUCCGUGGUACAGGGGAUUCUGUUGACUGCUGAAGGGGAAAAGCUUCACUCAAUGAAUCUUUUGCGGUUUAUGGCGCCGAUGGCUGCGGGAAUUUUGCUUCCCGUUACGCUCUAUGUGGAAGGAAAUGUCGCGGCGAUCACGGCAGAGAAAGCGCGGGCAGAUCCUUAUAUUUUAUUUCUGUUGAUUGGGAAUGCAACGGUGGCGUAUUUGGUGAACUUGACGAAUUUCUUAGUGACGAAACACACGAGUGCUUUGACGUUGCAGGUGCUGGGAAAUGCAAAGGCGGCAGUAGCGGCCGUCGUGUCGAUUCUGAUAUUUAGGAAUCCGGUGACGGUGAUGGGAAUGGCGGGAUUCUCGGUGACGGUAAUGGGUGUGGUGAUUUACGGUGAGGCGAAGAAGAGAUCGAAGAAUACGACGGAUUAAGGGGCAAGAUUUGUGUUAUUUUGUUUUAAAUUAAAUUAAUUACUUUUCUUUAAUUGAUGAAAAAGAGAAAUCAAAAAUUAAUUUAUAUAUAGAAUUUAAAAAACGAAAUUGUAUAGUGGAAGAAUUGAAUAGUAUAUUGGUAUGAUUAUGGGUCAUGAGAAUUAAUUGAAUUUCUUUCGGGAGAGAAUUAUGCUUUGUGGGGGUUUCUUCUUUAUUUUUUCAACUUUAUAAACUUUAAUUGAUUGGAGAAUAGAAGUGAGAGUAAAGUUCUCUUAAGUCCACUUUUCCAGCUGUCAUUUAUGGAAUUUGUAGUCCUUAUUUGUAUAGGAAUAUGGAUAAGAUGACCCCAAUGCUGCCCCCAUCCCUUUUCAUUUUCAUUUUUCUUUUUUAGGAUGCUUUUAAAUUAAAUCUUGUUUGUUAUAAGUUAAUUUGUUUACGGUGAACUUUAUAUAGAUGAUCAAAUUCAUUCAUGUAAAUGCUAAGGCAGUGAUAGAUGUAGUACAAGAGGACACUAAGGAGGAGGCAAUUUGUAUCUACGAAAAUAUGUUACUUUCUUUCUCUUCUUUUGUUAAUGUCUCUUUAACUAUAAUUUUAUUUUCUAUGUUUUAUAUAAUCAAUGAAAUGAGUAAUUGACAAUUGGCAUUCUUAUGCAAAAUUGUCUAUAAACUAAUAAAUGUUUUAGUUUAUUAGUUUUUCCCACUGUUAUUUGGAUUAUAUGAUCACAAAUACAUCGUUGUAACCUUUGUAAGUUUGUGGAAAUACUUACUCUCACCUCGCUUUUAUUCUUUUUAUUUAUUUAGUUUAACAAAUCACAAAGGGGGCUUGAAAUUUGUAGAAGACGCAACAAAUAAAAAUCAUUAAUAGAAAUAGAAAUAGAAAUAACAUAGCAAGGAUUUAAAUUUAAAUGAAUAAUCUUAAUUAACAAUAUAUAAAACAUGAUGAAAUAUUAGGUAUGGGAAGAGAAUGAAUUAUUUUCCCAUUUGGGUGUUGAUCCAUUUUUGUUGGCUAGAAAGCCAUAUUGAAUUCAUUUUUGUUAGUUGAGGCAAAAGCUAAUAAAUUCCAACCAAAUUAGAAAGCUUUCCAAUCUAGCCUCAUUAAAGUUCAUAAAUAUAAUAGAAAACAUUCAGACCAUUAACCUCCUACAUAACUAUAUAAUAUUUCACAAUAUCUUAAAUUUUAGUAAUAUUUCAAUUAUGACUACACUUUAGUAAUAAGUUUUUAUCUUUUAAUUUCAUAUAUAUAAGACUAUAUAUAUAUGGUAUAAAUACUGUCUUGUCAUCAAAUUCAAAUAUACCCUCAUUUAUUUCUUUAAAAUUCAAAUAUAUUAUGUUGUAUAAUCACAUACAUCUUUUCCUUGUCAACUUUUAUUCUAUUUUUUAUUCGUGGAUUGUGCCUGCUUUAUACAUAUAGAAAGAGUAUAAAAUUUAAAAAGUUACAUAAAAUUCAAUGAAAAGAGGAAGAAAUUGGGUGAGAAAUGAAGUGAAAGAAAAAAAGAGAAAGAAAAAGGAGUUUAAUUGUGUUUGAUUAUGAAAAAAGGAUUUUGUUUAUAUGACGUGUCACAUCAAAUGAAUCGGACAAGCUGGCCCUGCUUCAUCUCCAGCUAUUACCCACACCUACCAAUUAAAACCUUUCUCCCCAUCUUCAUCUCCAUCUUCUUACAUUACAUUUUACAAAACUAAAAUAAAUCAAAUAGAAUUCUAAAAAUAUAAUAAAUUUGAUAAAAUAUUUAUAUUAAAGCUUGUUGAUUCUAUCGAUAAUAAAUAUUGAUAAACACUUUUAUGCUUGAAUGAUAGAAGCAUAUCAGUUUCUGCUAUUAUAUAUGUGAAAACAAUUAUAAACGUUCAAAAUCACUACAUGCAUAAAAAAAAUUAACCACCACUCCAUAUAUCAUUUGCAAGUUUGUUGGAGAGCUCUAAUAUCUAUACCAUCUUUACAACCCUCAAAUAACUUUUAAUGUACGAAAAAAGAAAUUUUCUCUCUCAAAUGUAAACAUGGUUUGGGGUGGUGAACAAUUAGGUAGCUAGGGGUGGGUCACUUUCACUACCAUUUUUAACAUCUUAGCAAUAUAUUUUUAUUUUCUUUUAAUUUUAUGAGUUUUUUAUUAUUUCAAUAAUAUAUUUUUUAAAAGUUACGAAAAGGAUUGAUGAUAUGAACAUAUUUAAGCUUGCUUUCUUUCUCAUUUACUCACACCAAUGGUUUACAUUUGUAUGUUUGAGUAUAAUAGCUUUUCUUAAGAAUAAGAUGUAAAAUCACAUCUCAAUUACUACUCAACUCAGCUUAAUUUAGUAGAUAUAAUAGUUGGAUUUAUUGAAAAAUAAUAAUUCUUUUUUUAACUUUUCAAAUUUUGACUAAAUUUUUAGGUGAAAACAAAAUUUUGUUGUUUUUCUUAGAUACAUAGGAGACAAGUAAUGAAAUAAUGAUGCAAAAGGAUGUUAGAUAAUUAUUAUUGAAGAGGAAGCAAAUUUAUUAGGGUAAGCAAAUUAAAAUUCAAAUAUAUGUCUCAAAUUGAAAUGGAAAAACUCAACAAAUUGCAAAAACAAACCAAACAUAAAUGGGAAUAAUGUUUAAAACAGCAAAGUCGUCUCUCUUGUCAAAUGUUGCAAAUUAAAAUAGUAAGAAACCCAUCAAUUAAAUUAAAUCACUCUAAAGCAUCAUCAUCCCAAGGACGGCAACCACCAGUGCAACGAACCCAAACUGGGCGGAAACAACAGCUUUGGUGGCGGCAGAUGGGGGAGGAGGGGCGGUUCCACCAGGAAGUGGGGAAUUGGCCGGACCCAUAUCCAUGACAUUAAUGACCAGCUUCUGGCCCUGUCCACAGUGGCCUUCUUUUCCACAAAUGUACCAUUUCUUUCCAGGCUUCGCUAGCACAAUGACGUCGCUUCCGGAGGUUAAUGCAUUUUGGCCGUCCUUUGGUAAUGUGCAAUUCUGGAAAUCACUUCCGUUCACCUUGAACACGUUGUGGUCUCCGGGUGGGUAAUUGAAAACUGAUCCCAAUAACAAAAGAUCAACAAAAUUAUGUUAUAUAUUAUGAAUUAUAUAAUAUUGCAAAACUCUAUAUUUCCCCUUAUCCAAAUAUUGCGAACUCUAUAUAUAUUUCCAAUAAAAAUGUGAAUUACGUUAUAUAAUAUUACAAUUGAAAAUUUAGUAAAAAAUGUUUAUGUGUUAAUUAAUAAUACUUUAUUAUAACUGCAAAUACUUUUAUGGUUGAUAAUUAAAUAGUGUAUUAAAUAUCACUGCAUAAAAAUUAGAAUCCAAUUAUAUUCUUAAAUAUGUGUAUACUAAACAAAUAUCUAAAAAUAUGAAAUAUAAUAAUUAUGUUUUAGUUUUUGCUAUCUAAUUUUUAUUUUAAGUCUAUAAAUAUAACAAUUUAAAACCUAUCUGUUUAUGAAAAAUCGAAUGUCAUCUUGAGUGCAUUGCACCAUCUUUUUGCAGCCUAUAUGUACCUAAAUAUACUUAUUAUCAAAUUUUCUACCUAUAUAUACUUAUUAUGGCGAAAAACUUAUUUUUCUUCUUGUUUUAUAGUGUGUUUUAGUGUUUUGACUGUUGUAUGAUAUAUAUUUCGUAUUUUAUUAUAAAACCAUGUUAGACCAUUAGACAAAAAUAAAUAAAUUAUAAAGGAGGUCAUCUUUAUAAUAUUUUAAUUAACACAUUUAAGAAAAACACGAAUGGCAUAAUGAGUUGAAUAAAACGACUUACUAAGCAUAUCGCCGACGUUGAACAUUUUUCCUUGAGCCCACAAGGUAUAGUUGACAUUGAUGCUCCAACCAGCAUCAUCUCCGACGGUGUAAUUGGUGGCCAGAGCCGAAGGCGCAUACAUGACAACCGCCAUUGAGAGAAGGACGAAGAGAUGAGAGGUGGAGAUGGCCAUUUUGGAAAAGGAAGGCUUUGAGAUGUGUAGUAGUAUUAAGUAGUUAAUUUGAUAUAUGAGGGGUGAGAUGGAAAAAUGAGGAUUGUGUUGGGUUGGUAUUUAUAGAUAUUAGAUAUAUAUGUGUUUGUUUGAAUGGGGUUGGUGUAGGGGGCCGGCCAUGGGCGGCCGGCUGUGGGGUGCCGAAUGGGGGCUGAAGGAUACAAGAGGAUGGGUAUGGUUGGGGACUUUGACAGCUUGUGGAGAAAAGCCAGCGCAAUAUGGCAAAUGCUUAGAAACUUUCAUGUGGAGAUGUUUACAAUGGCAAUAUAUAUUGUUUAGAGCUAGCUAAUUGUGUGUCUUUGUUGUUGUGUGAGAAUGCCUUGUUUCAAACACUUGGAUUUCUACGAGUUUAUUCCUUUCUUUUCCUUAAUAAAAAUAAUAAUAUAAAAUGUUUAUGACUAGAUUAUAAACUGCACUUGUUAUAUUGAUUUUAUUUUUUUUAAUUAAUUAGUGAAGGAAAUUUCUUGAAUACGUUAGCGGGUACGUUUUGAAUGAUUAUAUUAAUUAAACAAGCUAUUACUGUUUCGAGGGUGCACUGUAUAAACUAUUUAACCCCAAAUGUAUCCAUGACUUAUGAUUUUUUGGUAGUAUUCGGUUACCACUUUGCAUAUUAGUAAAUCACAAGUAGUUUUUACUUUUUAGCCUUUUUGUUUAUUUCUAUGAUAUAGUGGUUUUAAAAUUGGAAGAAGUAGUUUAAUUUAAAAAACACAAAAACAUAAAUAACUUUAGGGUUUAGGGUUAGGAUGAAUUUAUUGAAGUUUGUGUUUUCUAUUAUGAAAAUCCAAGGCUAGUUAACUAUUUUCUAUACAAAAAAAGAAAAGUAAAAAGUUAUAUAUGGCUAACUAUAUAUGAGAGUUUUUACUCAACCAAACUAUUUCUACAUGCAUUAGGUUUCUAGAGUCCUAUUGAAUGCUUUUUAGUUUGGGUUGGACACAUUUUAAUUAUACUGCCUAUUUCACAUUUGUAGACUAAGCUUUGGAUAUUUCAAAGACGAAAUUUUGGCAUUUUGUAGCUUCAUGUUUUACAUAUUUUUUUAAAAAACGAGAUGCCAAAUUCCACCUUUAAUUUAUAUAAUAAAGAUCAACCCAAAAUGUAGGUACAUGGAAAAAGAAAAGACUAGAGAAACGAGGAAAAUCUCAAUGUUGAAUGAUAGAAAGCUCAAUCAUAAUGGGUGAGCCAAAUAGUACUUUAAAUAUACAUCUAAUUUGCUAAGCUAUCUACAUAAAUUGAUGGUGUUAUUGUUAUGUUAUUAUUUUCCUUCUUUUUCGUCAUACUAUUCUUGUAUGCGUCUAUUGUAUAGUUGUGAAUUUGUGAUCUUGCUCCACUUCAAUCACAUUCCUUAUAUAUUUUACAUUAUCAACUAAACCUGUAAAAUUAAUAUAUAGAAUGACACACCUAUAUAAUGUUCAAGUUUAUACCAAUAACUUAUUUGAUGUAUCAAUUCAAAUAUAUAUAACUUAAACGAGUAUUUUUUUUAAAGAAUGAUUAUGUGCAGUCUAGGUUGCAUCUCACGGUCUCAACUUAAAAAUUAAAAAAAAAAAAGUAUAGAAUGGAUCUUUAUUAUUAAAUCAAUUACUGUUUUUUAUCAUUUUAUGUUCAUAUAAUCAUUGGAUUUUUAUUUUAUGUUUGAUAAGAGUUUCACCUAUUCAUAUUUUUUAAAAUCAUUACAUUGCAUUAUUGGAAUGCCAAAAUUUGUUAUUUACGUAUUCGUGGUCUUUAUUGUAAUUUGUGUAUAUGAUCCAAAGGUUUUGAGAAAACCACCAUAGAUAAGCUAGCUAUAAGACACUGUAUAUUUGUAUAAAUCUGUUUGUUUGAUUCUCUGCUAUUUUAUGUUUUUUCUUAUUCUAUAUUUUGUCAUUUUUCAUACCCAGAAUAAUAAAAAGAAAGUUAUGCACAUUUAUUUAUAAUUCUUAAAUUAUUUUUCAAAUGAUUGAAAAAGGUUCAAGUAAUAUAUAUAUAUAUAUAUAUAUAUAUAAAAACAAAUCAUACAUAAAAGUAAAAGCUUGGUAAAAGUGAAUAAUGAUGUUCAAAAUAUGAAUCCAUGAUGAUCAUAUCAUAAUCCCAGCAAGAACGCUAACCGCCAUCGCCAAAAAACCAAGAUGGCCCGAAACAGCGAAUUUCACGGCAGCUGAUGGCGGCGGAGCAACAGGAGUGGGGCUCGGAGUAGCUGGCGAUACCGAUGGUGGAAUGUUUUGGGUUGGCAUUGGAGCAAUUGGCAAAUGUGGGGCAGUUUGGUUCUGACCGGGCGAUUGUACCGAAGGAGGAGAGGCUGGAGGUAGCGAUGGCGGCUGAGCUGGGACAAUCACUGGAACAGACGAUGACGGUGGAGGAGGCGGUACAGCAACUGGUGGCACUGGAGGAGUUUGUAUGGCGGAGGGUGGCGCUGGAGGAGCCUCUCCGGGGGUGGCUGGCGCGGUGUCCACUGAAAGGACAAGCUUCUGGCCGGAGUUACAGUGGUGGGGAAUGGAGCAAAUGAACCAUUUGGUUCCAGGAGUAGUCAAUGUAAUGACGUCGUUUCCGCUAACCAACGGUGGUUGGUCUUUAGGCGCAGCGCAUUGUGAAAACGACGAGACGUCGACGUUUAAUACGUUGUGCUUCCCUUUCUCAUACUUGAAUACUACAACAAAAAUUAAAAAAUUUCACAUAAAAAUAUGCACACUCAAAAUAAAAUUUUAUUAUUAUUUGCACAUGAAUGAAUUAGAACCCUAAACUUUUACCAUUUUCAAAUGUAUGAAAGGACCUCUUGAAUACAGCUUUGAAAGUGAAUGAUCUAUUAGAUGCUUAAUUAUUAUUAUUAUUAUUAUUAUUACUUUUUGUUAGAAAAUCACUGUGGUUUUUCAAAUUUUAAAGUUUAUUUAAUUUUAGUUUAUAUUUUUUUAUGGUCUAAUUAUCUUCAAAAUGCUAGUUUAUAUAUACUUGAGCUUUUAAAAAAAAGUUAUUAUCUAAUUAGCAUUUUUACUUUAAAACUUAAAAAUAUACCAACGUAUUAUAUUUAUUUGCGUGAAACUUAUUGUUAUUCUUGAACCAAUUUUGAUAGAAUAAUUAACAUUAAGGACUACAUUCAAGACUUAGUAUAUGUUUUAUUUUUUAUUUUUUAAUUCAGGAUCAAAACAAUACAACUAAAACUUUAAUUUAACCCCUCUUUUAAGUUUCAACUUACAAUGUCAUUAUAUUGAUGUUAAGUAAUAUUUAGGCUCUGAUUGGUAGCACGUUGGUCUUGAAAAUUAUUCCUUAUUUUUUCUAACAAAUUUUUACAAUAAUUUUUAUAUAUUUCUUGAGACAAUCUUUGAGUUAUUCUUAACCAACCAAAACUUCAAAAAUCUGUAUAGUUUUUUAAUAAUUAAUCAUGUUAAGUUUCAAAAGUUAGCUUAAAAUUUGAGAACAAGUUGUAAAAACUGGACUACAUAACACAACAAAGAAAUUGUUGUUUUGGGCAAUAAUUAAGAAAAAUAUUUAGAUGCAUCCCACUUUUAUCUAUGAUAUCAAGUUGCUAUAUGAACAAUUUUUUUAGGAAAGCAAAAUUAAAUUCAUAACUUGCCAUACGUAUUCAUUCAACAAAAUUUUGAGGUUGGAGAUUUAGAUCUCUUAUUUCUCCACUUGUUUUUUUCUUUUUCCUUUAAAGAUGCGGAGCAUGAGUCGAUAAGUGCACUGGAUCAUCCUAAUCACAUGAGGUUUACGCCUCAAUUUCGAUUGUUGUAAAAAAAAAGUGAAAAACAACUUAGCAAAAGAGUUUACCAAGAUUAUCGCCAACAAAGAAGGUUUUGUCACUGGUCCAAGAGAAGUAAUCGACUCCAAGGUUCCAACCACUCUUAUCUCCGACUGUAUAGUUGGUUCCUGCCAAAACUCGAGGAACAAAAAAUGUCACGAAGAGAAGGAAGAGAUGAGAGUAGUUAGCCAUUUUGAGAAACCACUUGUGUAAGGCCAUUUUGGUGAAUUGGUACUUAUAAAGGCUAUUUGUUGAGCCCAAUCCGGCCAUGGACUGCGACAAUAAAUAAAAAUGAAUUUUGGUUUUGGACUGGUUACAUGAGAUAAUUAAGGCCAGCUUAUUAAAAAAGUGUUUUUAACUUUAUUGAAGCUUGUUUUGGUUGUAAUAAAUUAGGCUUAUAAUAUGGAAACAAGGUUUAUAUUAUAAGGUUUUUUUACGUGGCAUCAUAUGUGUGUUUAACUAAGAAUGUUAAUAUUUUGUUAUGUAUUAUGCCAACCAUGGUCCAGCUACUGUACCUCUUGAUCAUCGAUGGAAGAUUUGAGAUUUUGCUAUCUCAUACAAACUGAGGGGAAAAACAAAAUCAAAAUUUACCUGAACUCGACAAAAAAAAAAAAAGUGUAUGCAUUAAUUUUUACGUCUUUAACAAAAACAAAGUGUAAUUCAUUCAUUCCAAUAAGGAAAAAAAAGUUGUGCGAAUUAAAUUAAAGUUUAAAGUAAAAAUUAAACUUUUUUUUUUUUUUUUGCAUUAACAGUUUACAUAUAUUCUUCCCUUGCAUUUGCAAUGUCGUCACAUAGUCAAAAGAAAAAUGUUAAUUCAUUAAUUAAAUUUGAUGCCUUUUAGUUAGGCUAAUUGAGGAGACAUGCUUGUUCUCGUUGAGAUAUAGAGCUUAGUUAGAUUUGUCACUUUAACGUCGGAAAUUAGUUUGAGGUGUAAGAUUGGGAGAGUCGCUUGGAUUUAUUGUUAUAUAUUUUAUUUUGACGCAAACGUAAUCAAUUAUGUGGUCAUGGAGGCGGAGCUAGUUACUAUGCGAUGUUCCCAGGUGCUUAGUCAAGUUGUGUAGUUGAAGAUGUUUUUCUUUAUUAUUUUAAGUAGCGUAGAGCUUCUUUUUUUGGGACUGAUAUAUAUAUCUCUUCACCAUUAAUACUCUUUUCAGAAAAGUAGCGUAGGAUUCGGGACUUGAGAGGGCUCUUCUCCUCAGAAACUAUUUCUUUGAGUCGUCUGUUUUUUUUUCUCUUAACUUUCUUCAUUGUGUAAGUCAAUUUAUACUUCAUGCAAUUCAAUAUACCUUCAGAAAAAUCAACAGAGUACUAAUUACAUAAAUAUUAAUAUCAAAACAAAAUUGAUCAGUUACCACAAUUAUAAUAAUUUAUUGUUUUCCAACCUCUCCCCUAAACACACUGGAAAUAAAUAUAAAAGAGAAACAAGCAAUCUCAAACGCAAAUGAAAAUAAAACAAGAGAGUGAAGUUAAAAAAAUAUAUAUAUCAAGAGCUUUGAUCAUAAUAUCCCAGCGAGCAGAAUAGUAAACACCAUCAGGAAGACGGAAACAGCCGCUUUUGUGGCGGUUGAUGGUGCGGGUGGGGGUGCAUUGGUUGAGUUGGUCGGAAGGGAGGCUGGCGGUGUUGGAAGAAGCCGUGGUGAUGGAGACGGAGAAGGAACACCAGCUCCUUUGUCCAGCACUGUAAUGGCGAGCCUUUGUCCGGCAGUACAGUGGAAGCCGAUACCGCAGAUAUACCAUUUUUUUCCUGCUGAUUUCAACUGAAUUCGGUCACUUCCGGUCGUUAACGGUGGAACGUUGGCCGGCGGAGUGCACUCUUUGAAGGCUGUGCCGUUAACUUUGAAUACGUUGUGCCUCUCUUGCUGGUAGUUGAAUACUGCCGGUUGAAACCAUAAACUCUUAAAAAGGAAGGUAGUGUUUAUAAAAUCAUUUGGUUUUAAACUGCUGAAAAUUAAGCUUAUAAACACAGAGUAACUAAUUUCAUCUGUUUAUUGUUUCAAAAGAGUUGUUUUCAAAUACAAAGCUUAAAUUUAAAACCAGUAAAAAAGUAGUUUUUGAUUUUAGAAAUUGAUUAAGACUACACACGUUUAUUUAGAAAAUUUGAAACGUAUAGGUAAAAAAUUGUGAGGAAACAAACAUAAUUUGAAAGAAAAACAAAAACAAAAUAAUUACCAAAUAAUAUCUAUUAAGUUUAUGUUAUGGUCAACAUAAGUUUAAACAAAAAUGUAGUUAAGGUUUAUUUUAAAGAUAUAAUUAAAAGGUAUUAUAUUGUGAGACUAUCCUUUAUAUAACCGUUUUCAAUACAAUCCGAGUAUUUGGAUUUGAAGUACAAACCAUGUAGUUACCAACCCGUAAAUUAAUUGAAUGUUUAUGAGUGAUUUAAAAACAUGGAAGUUAUAGAAAAAGCUAUUUAAUUGUUUUAAGAUGAUCAUAUUAUUAAUUAUCUUACUGAGUGAGUCCCCAACAAAGAAGAGCUUCCCCUGAGCCCAAGCUUGGUAGUCAAAGUUGAUGCUCCACCCAUGUUCAUCUCCAACUACAUAUUCCUUUCCCAAAACACAAGGUAGUAAAAUGGCCACUAUCGCCAACACCUUACAACAACCACUGCGCCACCCCAUUCGCCCGUCGGCAAUAGGGUGGAUUUUGGUAACAUAUAUCUGCUAACAAUAUGGAGGGGGAAUAUGUUUUAUAUGGUUCUAUUUUGGUCUGCCAUGGCUGUGUACUGUGUUAGUUGCCGGCUGAGCUUAAUGAAAAAGAAGACAAUUCGAUGUACAUUGUUUUGUACGUCUUCAUCAUUCCAAGGCUAUAUAUAUAUUAGCUAUUACGUUUAAAUGACAAGUACUCUUUUGUUUAAUUUAACCAAAUUACGAAUUUGUAAUGAGUCUAUAUUCCAUUAGUCUAAGCAAAAAAUUUCUUAUUGAUUGAAGCGUGUAGCACAGAUUUACUAACUUGUUUUCCUUUUUCCCUAGUAUUUGUUUUUGUCGUUCUUAUAUGAAUCUUUUCAAGGUUGAACAGUAUAUUUGUGGGUUUUGUUUAUGCUUAGGGCAUCCCUUAAAAAAGAGGGUAUGUGUUUUAGGAUUUUUACAAUUGAUUAAAACUUAUAUUUAUGGUCUGUUCGUGGACUUUUAACUCUUGAAUUUGGUUGAUGGAGUUUUAUAAUUUAGUAAAAUAAAUUGGAAAAAAUGUUAAAAGUAAAGUUUAAAUCUGAGUGUAAAGCAAAUUGUAUGACAAUUGUACCAUUAAACAAGCUACUCUUAUCGACAUUAUUUCAAUUAGUUAUUUAUAUAUAUACGUAUGUAUAUAAAUAAAGAGCAUAAAAUUGAGAGGACUUUGACGAGGGGUGUAAAUAAUGUUAUAACAAAUUUUGCAUUCAAUAUGAGUAAUUAAUUGAUGCUUAAUAUAACAAAAAUGAUAAUAAGAAAAGAUGAACACUUAAUAUUGUUUUAUUUGAUUGAAUAGGUUAGGUAGCGGGUGAAAGUUCACUCACUCCCUUUCAAAUGAUGUAAAGGAUUUUUGAAUUUACACACUUCUUGAAAACAAUGUUAUCUUUAUCUUUUGUUUUUCCUAAUUUUUGCUUUUCUUUUAUUAUAUUUUUUUUUGUAAGGUUUUACUUUCAAAAUAUUUAAAUGAAAAAAUCCAAUAUAAAAUUAAAUCAAUAAAUUCUCUCACAAAAACUAAAACAAGGCAACAUAAAGAAAUGAAAAACCUCCCUACAUUUAAGUUCUUUUUUUUUUUUUUUUUAGAAAUUGGAUAUCAUGGCUAUAUUGGAUAAUUUUUCUUGGAUGUAGGAUAUAAUAUAUUCUUUUAUCCUUAAAAGUCAAAUAUAAGCUUGAGAGAGAUAAGGUUGAGAAGGUGAGAGAAGUUAGGAAAUAAAAAAGUUAGGCUAGAAAGAUACAUACAUAUAUACAUUAGUGGAAAAUAAAUUAAUUUAGUUUACAAUAUGUAAUUAGGCCGAGAGACAUGCAAGUCAUGUAGAGAAAAGUCAAAAGAGGGGAUAUCAAUUUGCCCAUGUUAGAGACAAGUUAGGGAGAGAUAUAUAUCACACAAACAUGUUUCCAGUUCUAAAAAUCAAACUCAUCCUUCUACCUUUGUAUAGUUGAGAUAGAUAGAUAUAUUCAAUAUUUAUUAUUUUAUAUUCAUAAUUUUUUAAUUAUUUGUUACCAUGUUUUAUUAUCUUUUUUAUUAAAACUAAAAUAAUUUAAAUAUUAAACACAUAUUAUUAAAAUAGUUAUAAUACUUCAAAAAAUAUUAUACCGUAUAAGACGAUAAUAAUUCACUUCUUUCUUCCAACGUCCUUCAAUAGUAGUAGUAUCAAACUGAGAUGAAAUGAUGUUAAGGAAGUAGGCCAAAAUGCAAUAAUAGAAGCAUCCCUUUCGAUGCCAUCGCAUAGGCAAAAAAUUGGGAGAGAAAUUUGGUAAUCUCUUUCUCUUGGCCUCAAACAUCAACGUCCAAAUCCUUUCUUUUUGGUUAACCUAAGCUUCACCAUCUCCACACUUUUCCCUUUCCCCUAACAUUGCGUAUACUUUGAGACCCACCACACACUUUCCCAACAUAUAUCUUUUUCUUCUUCUUAUUUUUCCUCUUUUUUGGGUUCUGAUUUUAAAUUUUGAUCACCAUGUAUUUCAAUUUUUUUUUUUUAAUGUUUUGUUUUCUUUCUUCCUAUUAUUGAUCAAUUAUUGCAUCCUAUACCAUUUUAAUCUCAUUUGUCCAACUAUAAAAACAUAUGGUUGAAGAAGGUUAUGUGUUCAAAUUUUUUAGUAUGUUUUUGUACGAAAAUAAAAAAAAAAUAUACAUUUUUAAAACUUCAAAAUCUAUUGCUGAUAUUAUUUCCUUUAAAAUUAGUUUUUCUUAAAAUUUAUUUCUAAGUAAGAUCAAUUGUCAUGAAUUGGAUUAAUUAGUUUUCUUUUAGUCCAUUUAACUUAGUCAAAACCCUAAAGAGUAUGGAGUGGCCCACCAAAUUUAGGGUUUGUGGUAUUUUAUUAUAACUACAAUAUGUUAAUCUUUAUGAUCAUUUGAUUAACUUUCAUAAGUAUUCAUUACAAUAUAUAGACUAUCUUUUAAAGAUUUGAUCAAAUAUAGUGACUAUCAAUGAAAUUUUAUCAGAUUAUAUAUAUAGGAACUAAGUGGAGGUAAGGAAAUGUGAAGAAAUAUCUUGUUGUAUGUCUUUCGACUUAUAUGAUUCUUCUUAAUUCCAUCAUAUAUCUGUUAUAUAUAAUUAAUUGUUGGGAAUACAAUGAAUUAUUUUUCCCUUAAAAUAGUAUUAGAAUUAAAUAAAUGUUAAAUUAAUAUGUGUGGCAAUUAGAUAACACAAUGCUGGUUUUUUUAAUUGUAUAUAUAUAAAAAUAAUAUUAUUAGUACACUUGUAUUCAAAUCAAAGCUAGGUUCAUUUUGUCUCAUAUAAUCAAACUCUUACUCCUUCACAAGCUUUAAUUUGCUUUGUAUAUUUUGAUGGUGGGCUUACUUUUUUAACAAGGUUUAAAAUGUUAACGUUAACAAAAAAAAAAAAAACUGUUAACGAAUAACUUUUUUAAAAAAUUAUAAAAAAUAUAUAUUUAAAAUUAGUAAAUUAACAUGUUUACCUUUCUUUUAGACGAGUUAAUAUUAUUAGUUAUAUUAUAGGAAGUCUAAUCCAUUUUUUUCUUUUUUAGAAAAAAAAAAUCUAUAAUUGAACAUUAAUUAAUAAAUAUUUCAAGAAUGUAGCCAGCAGAGUGUCAAGUACAAAUUAAGGACCCAAUUAAAUUAUCCAAAGUUUGUGGUUCAAUUUUUUUGUCCCUUACUUGCAUAGGAUCCAUCCCAAAUAAUCAUAUUUUUAUUAAUAAAUAAAUUAGUAUUUUAUUAUUAUUUAUUUUAGUUUUGUCAGAAAAAGAACGGUUCUAAUUCUUUCUUUCUUUUUCUUUUUUUCUUCUCUCUUUUUACUCAUAAAAUUAUAUAGUUAUGGUAAAAAAAUUGGCUUCAUCUCACAUGCCAAAAUUUAGUGAAUACCCAAAAAUUAAAGGCCAAUCAAUUGUGUUGAAAACAACUUGAUUCAAAUACAAACAAACCCAAUUGAUUAAACAAAAAUUAUGUUAAACUUAUUAGUAGGAAAAGGCAAUUAACUAAAGAAAGUUUUUUAAAUUGUUAGUCUUUUGAUUUUUGAGGUUUGUGUGGUAUAUUUAGUGAAUUUCAAUAUUGUAUGCCUUUGUUGUAUUCUUAGACCAUGUUUUUUAUGAGCAGUUUUAAAAUAAUAACAAUAGUAAAAUUGUAUUCGUAUUUGUUGAAAAAGAUUUAAAAUAAAAAUAGGAAUAUAUGGCUGGCUAUGCGUUGCCAUAAUUUGAUUGUUUAGACUCUUGUGGUUUGUGAUGGAAAAGGAAAGUGACAAAUUCUUCCAAUUUUUGUCUUCAACCCAAAUAUCUCAUUACAUCUCUAUUAAUUUAUACAUUCUAAUUAGUUUAAUGGCUUCUUUUAAGAAUAAUAAUAAUAAUAAAACAAACUAUUUACAAGAAAUCACAAAAAUUCAUUACUAAAUAUUACACCUUCUCUUUUGAAAAUAAUAAUUAUACAUGAGUAUUACUUUUAGUUUUAAAUUUUAAUUAUCAAAAUUUGUUAAAUAAUAAAAACAAUAACAAUUUAGUUUUGAAAUUAAAAGGGACGAAAACAAUAUUUUAACAAAAAAGAAAUCAAAUUUAUUAGAGUUUAAUGUGUAUGUGAGUAAUGCUGUAUUCUUUCUUAUUUUCUUAUAUGUAUAUGUUCUAAAGAAAUUUCAUAAAGGGUAUUAUCGUAAAACAAGAAACCCUUCAAGAAAAAAGAAAAAAAGAACGAAAGAAAGAAAAAAGGGGACAAAUUCAUCGCCGCCUUAAAGCCCAAAGAAUCGGCGCGGAAAGUACCAAUGUAAUAUAAAUUCUUUUAUUUUUUAAAUUUAUUUUCAAAUUAUUCAAUUUUGUCAUUUCUGCUCCUCCCCUGCCGCCCGCCGGAAUUUUCCAUGUCUAUCCGGUGAAAGAACCAACUUCAUAAUCUCGCCCUUGCCGGUGGCAGUUUCUGUUUGGUUUCCGGUGAAUUGAAAUGACUCUGCAAUGACCCAGACCCGAUUCUUCAGAACUCGCAAUUCCAAAUCGGACAAAGAAGCAGAACCCACCACAAGCAGUGGCGGAGGAGCCGCCAUGAGAGUCAUAGUGCCUCUGCAAGGCGUCGUUCAAGGAAGAGGUGGCGUCGUUUUGGGCUCUGUUAUACCUUGCGUUCUCUUCUACUUUCUUCAGCUAUACUUGAAACGGAACCGGUCCGACCCCACCCGGGACCCUCCUUCUUCACCGGAAGUGGAUUCUUCGGGGGACUCUUCGCCGUCGUCUAGUAAUCAGUUCGUGGAGCUCUCUGUACUGCCUCGAACAUUGUCUCGGAAUUUUCUCUCGCCGAGGUCGUCUGGGCCGGUUUGCGUUUCGGGUCGGGCUAAUUCGAUUUCUAGAGUUGGGGAUUCUUCGAUUUUCGUUGGAAUGAGAAGGUUCUUGGAGGACUCAUUUGAUGAAUUGGAUAAUCCGACGGGGAUUAUUCAGCUUUCUGUUGCUGAGAAUAAGGUGGGUGGCUUUAUGCUUUUUGUUGGUUUGAAUAUGAGUCAGCAAGAUUUUUGUGCUCUGAAUUUCUCGGUUUCUGUGUUGACGAUUGUGGAUGUUUAAUCAAACGAUGAAGUUAUCCUCGGACUUGGUGCAAAAUUGGCUAACGGAGAAUGGAAGAGAUGCUAUAUUAGGGGUGAAUCACAAUGAGCUGAGUGUAGCUGGGACUGUUUGUUAUCAGCCUUCAGAUGGAUUGAAGGAUUUGAAACUGGUAAUCAAUUUUAUUUGUCUUCUUUCUGUAAUUGAUGUUUUGAAUCAUUUGGGUUUGCACUUGUCUGUAUGAAUUCAUUUUUAAGAUGGAGAAAUUGAAUUGCUUGACCAGCUCUGUUUUUUGUAUGUUGCAUGUGCUUGGACUUGUGUUCUGUGCUAACAUAGAGUAUAAGGAUAUUAAAUUUCUAAGCUUUUUCAAAUGCUGAUGACUUUAUUUGAAUAUGUGCUUCACUCCUGUAAGGACCUUCUUCCUCUGUUUGUUUACGCUCUUGAUUAUUAUUUUAGUUUGAUAUGGAUAUCGCUUUUGCUUUUGGAGACUGGAGAAGAUUUCAACAUAUGAAUGAAUGCAUUGUAAAACAUAUAGUGAAUGAAGUGAGAUUUCAAUUUAUGAAGCGCAGAGUUGACUCCAAUUAAUAUACUGGUUAGCAUGGUCUAUUGUUGCAAUUAAGUGCCUCCUUUCAUUUUCUAUCGAGGAAAUUAAGAAUCAUUUUCAAACCCUCGAUGUUAAUGUUUGAUUCCAAUAUUUAUAUCUGCUCAAAGUAUUCCCUUUUUCAUAUUUCUAACUUUAUUGCUACCUUUUCUUUGUUAACAUGUUAGAGAAGACGUUUAAACUUUCUCCAUUAUUUAUAGGUAUUGGCUUUUUUAUUACUUAUGUCCUAGUUCCAGCUUGUGAGCUGUGUUGCCUUUAGUAUUACCUUUUUAUUUAUACUGCAUUUAAUUGGUAACUUUCAUAUGGAGUUUCUUAUAAUGGAUGUACUUUUGCCCAAAAGAUUUAUCUAGUCAAGCAUCUUCUCACAGGCUGUAGCAAGUUUCAUGUCUCAAGUUGUAGGGAACUCUGUUUCAUUCAACCCUUCCCAGUUAGUAUUUACGACCGGAGUGACCUCUGCAAUCGAAACUCUUUGCUUUUGCAUAGCAGACCCAGGGAAUGCAUUUCUUGUUCCUACGCCAUAUUACCCUGGGUACUUGUUCAUUCCUCUUUCAUGAAAUACUUCUUCAGUUUUAUCUGGAAAAACUAAGAGUCUAAAUCACAAAUGCAGCCUUGACAAUGAUGUAAAAUGGCGAACUGGGGUGGAGAUAGUACCCGUUCCCUGCCGCAGUGCCGAUAACUUCAGUUUAAGCAUAACUUCUCUUGAUCGAGCAUUCCACCAGGCAAGGAAUCGUGGCCUUAAAGUUCGUGGAAUUAUUAUCUCAAAUCCCUCAAUUCCCGUUGGAAAUCAACUAAAUAGAGAAACACUCUACGACCUUCUAGACUUUGCCAGGGAGAAAAACAUCCAUAUCAUAUCAAAUGAAAUAUUUGUAGGAUCAACCUAUGGAAGUGAAGAGUUUGUGAGCAUGGCUGAAAUGAUCAAUUUAGAAGACAAUGACCGAGACAGAGUUCAUAUUACAUAUGGCCUAUCUGAAGACAUGUCACUUCCUGGUUUUAGGGUUGCUGCAAUCUACUCUUUAAAUGAGAAUAUCCUGGCUGCUGCUCGAAAACUGGCAAGGUUCUCAUCUGUUUCUGCCAUAACCCAGAACCUGCUUUCCUCUAUGCUUUCAGAUACGCAAUUCAUUCAGAGGUUCAUUCGGACCAAUCGAGAGAGGCUUGGAGAAAUGAAUAGUAAAUUCACUGCAGGGCUGAAGGAACUCGACAUCAAAUGUGCAAAGAGCAAUGGUGGUUUCUACUGCUGGGCGGAUAUGAGCAAGUUAAUCCGUUCUUACAGCGAGAAAGGGGAACUUGAGCUCUGGGAAAAGUUGUUGGAUAUAGGUAAAGUUAGUGUUACCCCUGGCUCUUGUUGUAAUUGUAUUGAACCGGGAUGGUUUGGAUUCUGUUUUACAGCUUUGAUAGAUAAAGAAAUACCAAUUGUUAUGGACCGAAUUCGGAGAAUUUCCGAAGCUUGUAAAUCUUAUACUUGAAAUGCAAUUAUUGUUCUGUAGAUAUGUAUUGAUUCUAUCAAACUUUUUCUAGGCUUUCAUAGUUGUUUAUAGGCGGCAGACUUGCAAAGUAGUACUACAGGGUUAUGAUCGAUUGAUGCUACAUUACUAGCUUCUAUAACUUUUUGAGAGUAGACAAGGAUAUGUCUGAACCUUCUUCAGUUGGAACCAUUUUGUGAACUAAAGUUGAGUCUUUCUUCUCACAAACCAGAGAGAAGUGACCUCUACCCAUGUAUAACAAAGACUCGCAAUCCGCCUCAGGGAGAGAAUCCUCAUCCUCAUGCCAACUCCAUGUAACAAUUUUAUUGAAGCGUUAAAUCGUUGAAGUAUGUAUGACGUUUUAAUGUUUAAAAAAGUUCUAUAGAUUAAAGACGGUCUAUACUUGAUCAAUGAAGUUUAGUAUGAAGUUCUGUUGUUCUUUCUAAGGGACGGAAUUAAUGAAACAAGCAAAACUAGCCAUUACUUGUAUAUGUAAGGUCUAUGAGUCCUUUCAAUCUUUUCUUUUCUUCUUCUAUACAUGCAUAGUCUUGUUAUCUCUCAUUUUCGAUGUAGAUUCGGUUUAUUCAUAUACUUUUCACCUACAAAAGAAAUCAUUAGAAAUUUUCUUUUUUGUUUGUGCUUCUUCUUUUGCACUAGAAAUUGCUCCAGCUCCCAUUGGCUCUAGAUAAUAGAUCGUACAAGUUCAAAUUUCUACAGUGUUAUUCUUCCAUAUGAACAGUUCUAACCAUCGAGAAGGAUCUUUUCCACUAAUACUUAUUACGAACAAACUCAAUACCUACAAAAGAAAUUAUAUGAUUGAUCCUAUAUCAUAUUUGGUCCCAUAGUUUGUGUUCGUAUGAUCUGAUUGCUUCUUAAGCUUCACAAAGUUCAACAAUGACUGGUCCUGAAAAAGGAUUUUCAACUCUCAACCUCACUACUAUGUAAACUACACUCAAGUAUUCUUCAAGGUAUAUCAAGUACUCUAGAUAAAUGGCAUAUAUAUAUUGAAUAAAGAGUUCAAUACAUCUAGAAAUCACUCAGAACAGAAAUAAAACCAUGCACUCUUUUGAUGAUUCCCAUCACUUUCUCUGUUCCAAAUGUGGGAAUUUUUUCUGAAAUUCAGUCAAUAAAGCCAAAUUCUCUUGAUGAAGGAUAUUGGCUUUCUCUCUUAGUUUCUCAUUCUCUUCAAUUAUGGUUUGAUUCUCCAGAUAUAGCUGCAGAUUCUUCAGCUCAAUAUCCUUCCCCAGCUUCUCUUCACAUCUCCUCCUGCUAAAAUUUAAGAAAAGAAAACCCAUCAACAAAAGUCUUCUAAAAAACCAUCAAAAAGGUUAAAUGGGGUUGUGUGAAAAAGCAACCUUGUAAGCCUCAGAACUUGAAAAUUUGAUCUUUUUGAACUUCUUCUGUUCUUUGAACUCUGAAUUGUAUGAAACAGAACACUCUGUGUUGCACUGACGCACAUUAUUCUUCUAUGGCAGCUUCUUAACUUUUGCCUUUCUUUCUAGUAGAAUAUUGUAUGAAAGUUGAAGCUCAUACUUAUAUAUAGACUGUGUAGACUCACGAGGAGGAGAAAAAAAAAAAGGUAGAGAAAGCAAAUUGUACAAAUAAUAAUAAUGGCUGGUGGACUUCUGAUUAAGCACUCUUCUUUAUCCUGUGGCUAAGGCCUUAGACAAUUGUUAAUAAUUAGUGACUUGUGACACCACGGGCUCGUGUUAGUCGAUGCUUAAAAGAUCAAACCUGGCGCGAUGCUUUCUUAUCGACCUUUUAUAUGUUUCAUUAUUUUGGUUUUGAAUAGAUAUUUUGUAAAGAGUCAAAUGGAACAUUGAGAACAACCUUGAGGUGAGCCCAUAUUGUUUGGUUAAUGUGUAAUGAGCAAUUUAUUGACACUGUGAAAUGAAGGUAUGAUGCUAAUUUGUAUAUUUGUGUAUGACUGUAUUUGCAAUGAGCCCUUUUUUAUUUUCCUUCCACAUUAUCAAAUUUCAUAAUGAUGCCUUUCUCUCUAUUUCUUCUUCGAUAUCAAUCAUGCCAUCUUUUUCUCUUCACUUUUCCCAUUUCCUUCUCACCACUAAUAUGUAUAUAAUAUAUAUGCAUAGAGAUUAUUUGUAUAUAUACCCCAAAAGUAUAAUACAGCCCCACUCUCCAAGACUUGUCUCAACGUUAAGAUGGAGUAAGUAAGUGUAGAGCAUUUGUGCUUAAUUAUAAAGAUUUGUUCAACUUCAAUUUCUUUGGCACUCCAAUAAUUUCAUCACUUUUUAUUAAAAAAUUGUUAUUUUAAUUUUCUCAAAAGAUUUAGAUUAAGAGUUUUUACGAUGACAAGAUAUCCACUAUCAAUAUAUAUACACACACAUUAAAGAUAUUAAAAAAGGCGUAAAGUUUAGCGGUGUAAUACAACUCAAACAUAUAUAUGUGUUCAAACUAGCUUACGUGUACCUCAACUAAUUUUAUAGGACAAUUCAGUAUAACUCAAGUAUAAAGAAUUAUUUGUUCGUUGGUUGACUAGUGUAAAUUUAUUUUAUAAAUUUUCUCAAUCUUGUACACUUUUAUAUUAUUGUUAGAAUGAGCGAUAACGAAGAAUACACAUGCUAAUUAUCGAGUUAUUUACGUAUAGGUUAAAAAUUACAUUUAGUCCUCAUAUGUUACCAAACAAACAAUUUGAUCUCUAAAUUUUCAAAAAUAACGAUUGAGACAUUAUUAUUAAAUAUGAUAAAAUCUCACAUAAAUUUGAUAUAGCCACCAAUUCUAGAAUGCAUGCAACUUUUUAUAUAUAAUAGAUUAAAAAGAACAUAUUAUUUUAACGUCGUAAGGGCUAGGGUUUAUGAUAGACUCAUUUCAUACUCUAUUAAAUAUACGAGAGAAUAUACGAGCUAGAGAUGUCAUUUUACAAUAUAGAGCAAUAAUGUUAUGCAAAAAAAAAUUGUUGUCACAUCAUGGUUGGGGCUAGUUGAAUUAUGAAUUUGGAGAAGUAAUUAUAAAGGGCAGCACUGUAUCCAUGGGGAAGUAAUGGUGUGAAUUGCAGUAGUGAGUAUGAUUUCUUCAUUUACUACUACUACUAACAAGGUACUCAAUAAUUCAAAAAGUUGAAAUAAUGAAGUUUUUUUUGGUCCAAUACAAAUAGAGGGAGGAGAGAAUAUAUAUAGAGAGAUAGAUUGAUAUAUAUAUAGACCCACUACAAAGCCUGCACCCUUUGUUUCCUCUUUUACCAAUUCAUUAUUCCCUUUAAUUUGUACCCUAAGUUAUAUGUGUAUGUAUAUAUAUAUAUAUAUUAUAUAUAUAUAUAUAUAUAUAUAUAUAUAUAUAUAUAUAUAUAUAUAUAUAUAUAUAUAUAUAUAUAUAUAUAUAUUCAAGAGGGGAACUUAGAGGACUAUUGUAUCUUAGUCAACAAACAAAUGAAGAAGGGGAUGUCAACUUUUUUUUUCCAUUUUUUUUUCACUUUUUUGUGAUUAUAUUAAUUUGAUUUGCACUUCUUUUUUUUGCUCAUAGAAAUUAUUGUGUAUGAGUUGAGUUGAUGUACCAAUCACAUGCACACCAAUCAUGAAAUGCUAUGCAUCAUUAAGUCUUUUUCCCCUAGUGUGUGUAAUUGGUGUUAUUCCCUUUCUUCAUUAUAUACUAUCAAUCUUGUCAAAACCAUGCUAUAGUUAAUUUCAUGAUAUGCAUAAAGUUUCACGUUGGUUAUAAAAUGUGAGAGAUUCGUAGUAUUAUUAUGCAUAGGAUAUUUAUUUUUAUUUAUUCGAAGUUUUUUUUGAGUGAUUCCAAAAGUAAAAUCAUGAAGUGCUAUAUGUUAUGUUUAAAAUAAACAAUAUUUUGUAUCUUUGAAGAUGUAUAUAUUACCAAAUUUAUUCUAAUGAUAUAUAUGUAAAAUUUAAAUUUAUUUUGAGCUUCAAUGGAAUCAACUAUUUGACAAAGCAAUCAAACUCUUCAUAUUUGUGUAAAUUAAGUUUUUAAAUAGUGUAGUUAACCCAUUGUAAUUUGUAUAAUGCUCUCAAAGUUGUUACUAAAAAAGAAGGGAAAAAAAUGAAGUCCGGAUUGACAAGUAAUGUUAAAAUUUAAAUUACUUAUCAGAGAAUUAAAACAAAAGAAUUUGAGUCUCGAUGAGAACAUAUAUACAUGUAUAUAUAUGAAACAGAAGAUCUUGCUUCCAACUUUAAAGUUGAUAUAAUACAAGUUUAUGCUAAUUACUGAGUUCGUAUGUAUAAUUGGUUAAAAGAAUAAUAAAAUGGAUAUAAUUAAUUUAUCAUACCAAGUAAUUUAUUUUUCUUUUAUAACUAAUUUUAAUGUUGAGCAAAUAUCAAAUUAGUAUUACUAAGUUCUUUGUUCAACCACUUCAAAAACUUUAAGCUCUAAACUUUUAUAAAUCUAUUAAAAUACUUUUAUAAAUCUAUUAAAAUUAGACAUCCGUCCAUCAAUUCAAUUAAGAAUUCUUUAUUCUAAUAAAAAAUUUAAUAAUAAUAAUAAAGUAACUUUAGAUUAAGAUUUAUUGAAGGUAAAAAAAAAACUAAAACUAAGCUAUUCAAAAUAUUGAUACUAAAAUUUAACGAAGAACAAAAUAGCAUUUAACUUUUUUACCAUUUCACUUUAAAUGUUUACAAAAUUUGUGCAAAACUCAAGAAAGGUGAUAUGUUAUAUGCAUAGUGUGUUUUGUUAUUAUUAUAAUAUUACUAUCAAUAAUAUAUUUGAUUAAGUUAGAUUCAUAUGGUAUGAUAUAUGUUAAAGCUAGUCAAUUAAAAGUGUUAUUUAUAUACAUAAAGCUAGUCAAUAAUGCCAUAACCUCUCACAAUCACUAUAAUGGGUAAAGAUUUGUGAAACAACCACAAUAAUGCUAUCUUUUUUAUUACAAAAUUGGUAAGACGAGAGAAUAAAAAUUAUAGUCGAUGACUAAUUAUUAAAAAUUGGUUUUGUUUUGUUUUUUCACACAAGACUAAGCAAAACCUAUACAUCAAUUAGUUACAUUGGCUAAAGUAUUAUCACCAUUUGUUGUAAAUGGAAGAUUUUCAUACUCUAAUGACCUAAUUUCUAAUGCUAGAUUAAGAAAAAUCCUUAAAAUAUGAAGAAGAAAUCAAAAUUUGAAAGAGUAAAAAUUGGAUAAACUUUGAGGGUAGAGAGGAUUUUGAGGAAGAGUGGAGGGCAAAACAAUGCAAUCAUUUUCGUUUUCUUAUUGCUACUUAUCUUCAUCAUUUAAUAGCCACUAACCAUUUUUUUUUAUGAAUUAAAGGGAAAUAUUAUUUUUAAAAAUUGCUUUUUAUAUUUUCAAAUAUUAUCUCAUUGUAUAUAUGGAAUAUUUUUGUGGACAUAUUAUUUUUUUAAAAAUAUAAUGCUCAAUUUGAGUUGUUUUAAAAAAAAUUGAUAAAUAGGAUGUAUUUAUAAAACUAUUUGUUGUAAAAAUAGUUUUUUAAAAAAACUUUAAAUUAGAAUGUGUGUAUCUUAUUUAAUUUAAAUUAUAAAAACUAUUGCAUAUUCUAUUUGAACACAUUUUAGAUAAAUAUCUUGGUAACGUUGAAUUUUAGUAAUUUUAAAAGUGGGUCAAAAUUGAAAUACAAUAGAUCAACUUACAAAUGUCUUUGUCAUAAUUAAUGAAAUUUUAGUAAAUUUUCAAAAAAAAUCAAAAAAUUUCAAAACGUUUUCGAAAUUAAAAACUAAUUGAUGAACAUUAAUUAACAUUUUUUUAUUGUUUUUUUUUUGUUUAAAACCAAACCAUUAUAUAUGUAUUCAAUUAAUAAGUGUAAAACCCAAAAACCAAUAAAUAAAUAAGUGUAAAAACCAAAAAAAUUAGAGAUAAAUAAAUGAUUAAAAUAUUAGAUCUAGAUAUUGCAUAUACCAUAGAUACGCACACUUUACCACAGUAUUUAAUUAUUUUAGUGGAAAAGAAUUUAUAUAUUGUAAAAAUUCACUUUUUAUAGCUUGCUUUUCUUAGAAACGCUGGAAAUACAAGACAUAUCAAAACACAUUCAACAAAUACAACCGUUAAGAAAAAUUAUUAACGAAGACAAAAUAAUCAUAUACAAAAAAACAUACAAUUAUAGAACAUAAAAAUAUAUAUACGUGAUUCGGUAAUUCUCACCUACAUCUAUUCUCACAAAGGAACCACAAAUCUUCAUUUAUAAGAAAUCUUAAAGAACUUUUAUUAUCGAUAAAAGAACCAUAUAUUCAUGACUAUAGAUAGCAAUACAAAUAAUCACAUAUUUCGAUAAAAAAAAAAGAAGAAAAACUGAGACUUGUGAAUUUGUACCACAAAAACACAUACCAAUAUACCAUACUCCCUUGUUUGUAGACUUUACCUACAUCUGCUUUCUAUAACACAUACCACACAAACCAUUUCUCGAGACUUAUUUUCCCUUAAAAUCUUAUAUUCAAAAUUUAAAAAAAUAAAAAACCAAAUAGUUAUUAAAACUCGACCUCUCAACUAAAAUUUUAUUUAAUAUACUCAUAAAUUAUUGAUAAGAUUAAUUUAUAAGUUUGAAAAAAGUUAGAAUAUAAUUCGUAUAGUUUAAAAAGAUCGGUAGGUAUGAAAGUUCUUAUUACACAUUGAAACACUACAAGGAAACACUAUAUUUUAACUAAACAGAAGCAUAAAACCUUUUUACUACCUAAAAUUUAACAAUUAUAUUAAUUUGUUCCAUGCCAUAGUUGAUUUUAAAAUAGUAAAUAGUUGAUUAUCUUAUAUUAGAGAUUUAUUUUAAAACAAAAAAAAUAUUUUUAGUUUCGAGGUGUAAGUGUAACGUCUAUUUUUAAUAUAAACACUUUUAGUCUGUAUUUUUAAUUUUGAAUGAGUGUAGUAAUCUGUUUUUCAAGUUUUUAAUAAUUUAAUUAUCGCGAUCUGAUUUUGUUUUUAUUUGCUCAUAUGUGAUGACUAAGUUUACUAUGAUUACUGUGAAUCACCACUCUCUUCAAUUCUUCUCCACCUCCCUCCCCUUCUUUCUCACAUUUCUCAUUCAAACAACCAUUUUAGGAUUCUUAAUGGCAAUAAAAUUCUUUUAAAGAACAAAGACAAAACCCUACAAAAUUUGCAUUAUAUACAUAAUAUAUUUGGAUGGGCUUAGCUUAGGCUCUUAGCGCAGUUUGAGGUACCCUAUCAGCCCAACCACUAUACAAAUUGUCUCCCCUAUUAGGGAAAUUAUUAGAAAGUAUUAUUUUAUAUAUAUAUAUAUAUAUAUAUAUAUAUAUAUCCAAGUUUUAAUAUUUUUUUGUUUAUUUAAAAAUAAGAGAAUAGAGAACAAUUUAUUAGAAAUAAUGUAUAUGCUAUAUAUAAUAAAUGACUUUCUUAAGCCUAUAUAGUUUUAAGCUUAAAUAACUACAAAUAAUAAAAAAUGCCAAAUAUUGAAAUCAAUGUAUUAAUAUUUUUGUCAAUUAUUUAUUUGGAAGAGAAAUAAUGCAAUAAUUAUUUGACAAUGCUCGUGUAAGCCUAUUAAAUGCGAUAGCUAAGAGAUUAACAAAACUAAAAUCUUUUCACAAACAACAAAAAUAAAAUCCAACGCCUAAGAAUCAAGAUUCCGAUCAAGCGGUGAGAAAGAAGGAUUCACGAUAAGACCUCGUACACCCGUUCGUUCAAACUCAUUGCCCUUCAAACCAAAGCUUCGCCGUCGAACCUAAAAUCUGGGCCCCGCGGCCUUCAGCCGGCCCAAUAGUUUAUAAAAAAGGAGAAGUUGCUAGAAUACGCCAAUCUCAGAAUACUUCCUAAACUUCCCAAAUCGUAGCCCCUCAAUAUCAUAGACCCCACAAAUCUAAUGGUAAAUAUUAAAAGAUUAAUUAUGCAUGAUCGUGUGAGCGACCGCAGUCGAACAAAUUGGUAUUAAAAAAAUAAAAAUUAACACACAAAUACAAACUUCUGCCGCAAUUUUAGAGCCGUUUUAACUGCUAGGUUGGGUAAAGCAAAGACCUUUCACGCAAAACGUGGGACCCGGAACCAACCGGUUUGUUUAGUAAACCGAACCGGGUUUCGCCUCCUCGGGAAGAAGAGGGCGCGUGCAGGAAGUGAUCAUCGACGGACGGAGCUUAUUUGAAGGAUCAUCGAGGUUGUUAUAUUUCGACACGUGGCCAUUUUAAUAAUUGUGACAAACCUUUCUUAUUUUUUUUCCAAUUUAAUAUUUGCAAAAUAGAAUAAGUAUAUUUUAACGAGAUUGAAGGAGACAAUCAAAUCAAUUUAAGAAAAUAUUUCAUUAUGGUGGACCAUGACUACCAAAAAAAACUAGCACUUUUGGAAAUAUUAAAAAACAUAAUAAUACGAAUAUCAAUUGAAUUUUGAAAAUUAAUCAAGAUAAAUUAUUAUAUUGCCAAUAUAUAUUCAGCAAAAUAAAUGGCAUAUUUAUAUAUAUAAAAGCAAGAUAGAAAGAAAAAGAAAAGAAAAGAAAAGAAAAGGUAAAAGUAGGUUAAACAAUAUUUUAGUGUUGGAUAAUUUAAUUGUGUUACCAAAAAAGAAAAGAAAAAAAAAAAAGAAUUCCCUUUUUUAUGUGAAACAUUAAAUUACCAAAAGGCCCAUUCGUAUUCGUCAAGAAAUCAAUAAAUCAUCAGGAAAGAUUCCAAUAGAGAAAACAAUCAUCACGGACGAAAGCAUCCCAACCGUCAGAUUUAAAGUAAAGAACCCGUUAUUAAUAUGAUGAAUAUGAUCGAAGGGCUGAAAGUAGGAGUGCAAUGUAGAUGUGGCGUAUGUUAGUAUUACACCGACAUUGAAACAAGGGGGGCGCCGUGGAAAUAAUGAUAAACAAGGGGUAGCUUGAAGAAUUGGGUAAUUCAUCUUUAUCGUUCUAUCAGCCUCUAAACCUCAACAUAAUCUGAUUUUUCUUUUCUUUCUUUCUGUUUUCCUUAAUUCUCCUUGAGGCUUCCCUAAAUCUUUGAUUUUUGUUCUAAUUCCUCAUUUGAAUCUGUAUCCUUGAACGGAGGGUUUUGGUGUUUUGAGUUCCUUAGAUCUUUUACUGGCUUAAGAGGUAUGGAUUUUUUCAAACCAUGUUUGACUUCCAUUGAUUCAGAAUAAUCUUAGAUCGUUUUUAUUUGGAUGAGAAGAAAAUUUUGGGUUUUUACGUUUUCUGAGGUUUUGAUUUUUUUUCUCUUGUCUUUUCGUCUUCCUUGUUUACUCUGGUGGGUAGAUAGAUAGAUGUUCUUGUUUUGUUCUGUUUGAUGUUUCUGCGAAUCCUUGCGGGUUAUGAUACUGGAAAUACUUGGUCGAGUUCUGAUUUUUUUAAGGAAAUUUUCUUUCUACUUUUUGUUUGAUGAGUUUUGGAUUUUGUUACUGUAUUUGGAUUGGAUUUUUUUUUUUUGGUUUUCUGAGAAUUUUAGGGUUUCUAGCAAGAAGAUGAAAAAGGGAAUUGAUCAAAGAUAUGUUCAAUUUGAAUACUGAUAUCGAGUUUUGUUUCUUUUUUUUUUUGUGUUUUUUUUUUCUGAAACUACAGCGAAUUAGACCAAACGAGUUGGAAAAAUAUGGGUUCAGAGCAAAACGAUGGCACAAGCUACCAACCAUCGGAGCCGAAGCUUUGCGUGAACAACUGCGGCUUCUUUGGUUCAGCCGGUACCGAGAAUCUCUGCUCGAAGUGCUACAGAGACUCUCGAAUCAAAGAAGAGCAAGCGGCAUCCGCAAAAGCAGCGAUGGAGAAAUCCCUUCAGUCCAAAAUUUUAAAGCCGGCUGAAGGUAAUUCUCCAGUUGUCUUCUCCGAUUCAUCAGUGGAUUCAGCUUCGUCGUCGUCAUCCACUGGAAAUUCCCUCGGCAGUUCCCACAAAUCCCCAUCACCGGAUGUUCCAAACCGGUGCCGGAGCUGCAAUAAGAAGGUGGGAUUGAUGGGGUUCAAAUGCAAGUGCGAUCUAACCUUCUGUGGAAUUCACCGGUACCCAGAGAAACACAACUGUUGUUACGACUUCAAAAGUGCUGGACGGGAGGAGAUCGCCAUAGCCAAUCCUGUGGUGAGGGCCGAUAAAGUUGAAAGGUUCUGAGUUGUGAGAAGGAUUUGGGUAGGAACUUGGUAAAUUCUUAGUUGGUUUGUUGCUCUGAUUGAUUGUCCUUGUUCUUUUUUGUGUCUGUUUAUUUGGGUUGGGUUCAUUUUGAUUUGGGGAAAAGCUCUUUGUGCUUGGUUUGCUGGGGAAGUUAGCAACUAUGGGUGAAUAAUGCAAGUUUGAUUCCUUUUGAUUCUGGUUUUCCCUUCCUUUUACUUUAAUGUUUGUAAAGAUUAGGCAGUGGUUUUAUGAAUUUGAAAUUUGAAGAUCAACACAAGAAGAAGCAAUUCUUCAUUAUUCUUCUUUUGAUCAAAACUUGAAUUCCAUUUGAAGCCUUCUACUGUAGUCUGGAGUUCUAUUUGCGCUGUGAUUCCCACUUUCAAAAGUUUAAUUGAAAAGGAAUUGGUGUUGAAUUAAUUUUAAAAUUAGAGAAUAUCUAAACAAAAAGGUUCGAUUGUGGAGCGUUUCUUCUUAAAAAAAGUGCUUUGAAUCCUCAUCUCUGUUUCUAGUAAAAAUACAUUGAUCAAUUUUGUAUUUUCAUGUAACCAAAUGUUAGAAGUUCAUUUCACAUGGAGACUUCUUUUUAUUCAAAUUCUUGAGACUUUGUUUUCACUUUGUGAUCUAACUUUUAAACUGAUUUUUACUGGAUGUGAGAUUGUGAAACUUGGGUUUCAGAAGUCAAGUAUAGAACUUGCAGAUUUAUAAUAAUAAUAAACAUAAUAGAAUUUGCAAAAAGAAAUUAGGUUAAGUUAUGAACUUUAGAGUAGUUUUCAGCUACCCAUCCAACACCUAAAGAAAUAGAAGGAACACAAAUUCUAUUAUAUCAAUACUCUGCUAAGGGUGUACUGAAGUUGGAAGAUAUAAUUGUUUAAAAUGUUUGUAAAUAAGGAAUGGAUGAUACUCGAAUUGCGUUACCAUAGUUGUCAACAAAAUUGGUGGAAUGAAGUUAACUCCAGUCUUUGUCUGUUCGACUGUUUGCAAGCCCUCGGAAGUCACAACUUCACUUAAUAUCCUAAAUGGUCCAGAUUUUUACAAGUAUAAGCUAAAAAAGUCCAUAUGGGGUUUGAAUUAUUGGAUAUAGCUUGGUGCUCUGUGAAGGAGUCGAAGAGGAUGAACUAUGCCAAGCCAACCAAAGACGUUCAAUGCUUUGACUGAGAGCAGAGAAGAAAUAUACAAAUGAAAAGGUUAAAUAAAUGGAUAACAUUGUUUUAUUUAUUUAUUUCUUAGUUCAAAUAAUAUACAGAAGAAAAUUCCAACAAAACAUAAUGAAUAUUUAUUAUAGCUAUAUGCUUGUGUUUGACAAAGAAGCAUUUGUUAUAUUUAAUUAAAACACCACUCUAUAAAUAGAGGUUAAAAUAAUCAACUUUUGACUAAAGUAUUUCAAUAUAUGAAAGACUUUACUUCAACACACAAUUCAAACACAAAUGUAUUAAUAAUAAUAUUCAAGAGUAUCAAUCAAAAUUCAAGAGAAUUAUUUGUAAAAAGCCUUGAAAAUGGAAGGUCGAUUAUUGCAAAGAAAUGAAUUUGGAGUGGUUGGUGGUAUCUCUUUUUCAAAUGGGUGAUUGAUCAGGUACCACAUUAUUGUGGAAUAGUUUUAUAGGCCUAGUUUUAUUUUAACUUCUUCAACACUAUCAUCUAUUUACCUAAAAUCCAAUAUUUUCGUGAAGAUAAAUUAGUUUUUACGAGUAGUGAUCAAGAUGAUAUAAAAGUUGUGUUAUUCUAUUGACUUUUUUUUUUUUUUUUUGUUAUCUAGAAACCUUUUUUCUUUUUAAAGAUAAAGAAAAACGUCACUUUCUAACUUUUGGAAUUGGUUGAAAUGUGUGAGGAGUGUUCAACAAUAUUCCUCUCUAUAAAACUUAAAGAAGAAAGAAAGAAAGAAAAAGAACAAACCUUUAUCUUGAGGGGGGCACGAAGUGAAGAGAAUGUCCCAAUUUCAAAUAUGUUAUGGCUUAGAAGCAAAAGAAGAAAGAAAAGAGUUUUUUGCAUUGCAUGUGGACUCAAUGAACAAUACGUCUAAAAGGCUGGCCUUAUCCCACCAGCUGCUAUGGCAGCAAAUGCAGCUUCCCACAGUUUAUAAAAGUAAGCAACUCCACAAAACAAAUAAUUGACUAAUACAAAUAAUUGACUAAUACAUUGGUUCAUUUGAUAACGAUUUUGUUUUCUCUCUUAUUUUUAAGCUUAUUUUGAGAAACACACGCGUGUUUGGUUAGCUAUUCAUGUUUUUCUCUCUUUUGCUUUUUCAAGAUUAUGUAAAAUUUUGGAGCAUUAUUAAAUAUAAAAAAAAACAUUUUUUUUUAUAAAAUAUAUAGCAAAAUAUUUAGUGUCUAUGUUACUAAAAAUCUAAAAUUUUACUAUAUUUUAUUAAUAUUUUAAGUGAUUAUAGGACAGCCCUAUCAAAUUUUUGUAUUCUAUUUAAGUUUAAUUUUGAACCAUAGAUAUCAUAGAAUAAAAAGCAAGAUCAAAUGGCUGGUUUUAAUAGAAAAAAAAAAUAAUAAGAAAUGAGAAGAAUGAAAGGUCAUAAAUGAAAAUGAAAAUGGUAACCAAAGCAUGUUAUAUUAGAGAUACCUCUCCCCAAAAUUCAAACACCUAUCAACAAUAAAGGCAUGUCACCACAAAAUGUAUACACCAAUAAUAAACCCUUAACACCUUGCCUACGUUUUCACUUUCACUCCACUCAGGUUUAAUAUCUCAUAUUCAUAUCCUUAUGGAAAUAUUUGUCGAUUCGUCGAAAUAGUUGAAAAUUGAAAGAAUUAUUGAUUUUGAAAGACUAAUCGAUAUCUCUAGCAUCUUUUACAAGUAUAUAUAUUAUAUCAUAAUGUUUACACCAACUGGGUCUGAAUAACUCAACUUCAACGGUUGAACUUUGCACGUAUGUCACGUAACUUUAUCUCUUUACAUUUUUUUUAAUAUAGUUUUCACAUCUAUCGAGGAACUCAAUUUUUUUCUCUAUGAGUAUCUUUCAUAUUUAACCAAAUAACUUUGUCUUAUUUUCUUAAUCUACUAACUUUUAAUUAUCGAGUAACUCAAUCACACAAAUUAUUAAGCAAGCAAAACUUAUUAAUAUUCCACUAAGCAGACCAAACGCCUUUGAUUAUUGAUUGAAACAUUUUUUUAUCAAUUUUUAUUUACAAAAAUAUAUGUGAUAUCAAAUAUAUAUAUUCACAAAAUUAAAAUUUCAUAUUAAACAAAUUCUUUAUCAUUGAGAUAGACAGACUCUACUUGUUUGUAAUUUAGGAUUUACAUUACAUGCUUCAAUUAUUCAUAGUUUAACUUUUAAGAAAGGAAUUUUGGAAACUUUUGAUGGUUAUUUCUUUUGUGAUGUUGAUGAUGAAUGUGAAGAUAACUUCAGAGCUGGUUGAGGGUUCAUAUUAUUAAUAUAUAUCAAUUAAAAGAGGCAUGUUGUUCAAGUAUUAAGAAUUGUGUUAAAGGACCACAAGGACCUCAACAUACAAAACUUUCUUAAAGGGUUGAGAACUCGGGUCAACUAGAAAAGUGAAAGAAGAAAAGCAAAUAAAAAAUUAAAUAAUGAAAGGGCAUAGGGUAUAUACCCCAACAAUUAAACAAAAGCCUGCCCAUUUCUUUUAAGUGGAUAUCAGGAAGCUACAUACUCAAAGGUCACCAAAUUGGUGGAGCAUAACCUGUCUCUUUCCGUAUUGGAAAUACAAAUAUCAUGAUAUAUAUCUCUAUUUGGAUGAAGUCUUUUAGAUGAUAUAUAAGAAAAGCAUGACCACCAAGGUUGCUAUAUGUUUAGAGGUAUACAAAUAUUAGAUAGAGAAACCUAGGGAAAUGGAAAAACAGAAUACCAUAACACAGUGGAGUAAAAAGAAAAACAAAAGAACGAUAAUGAGAGGAUCAUGUUAUGAUCUUUCAAGUAGCAGCUGACUCGACCAACUCAAAUGUUUGAAUCGAUGUUGUCUCAAUUCAACUCGUGUGCAUUCUUCAUUGAAAGUCACCAUAAAUAUAAAAGGAAUCGUUAUCAAAUUAGCUUUAAUAUUUUUCCAUAAAGAAAGAAAGGGGUCUAGAGGUGAGGCUGCAGGUCAUGUGUACAUCUUUUUGAAAACCAAUUGUAGAUUCAAAGAAUCUAAUAUAUUGUGAAUAAAACUUUGACAGUCAUAUGGGUUGUGUACCAAAAGUUGUUGUCUAAUAAUAUCCUUUAAUAAAACCAAUGAUAUGCAUUUUGGUCUCAGCUAUUUUAGUUUGAUCAUGAGCUUGCGUACGCACACACAUAAGAUUUUGUAGGUACAUUUCCCUCUCGCUUUAUUUUACUUUGUUUUGUAUUGUCAGUAUCAAAUAAUGUGGCACUGCACAAUGCCCCUUUUUCACUGUUUGUAAUGCAAAGUUUUCCAAAAGACCAACUCUUGUUUUGGUUUUAUGAGUUUAAUUCAGAACGAAGAGGACUACUUGGGGCUUUACUGUUCAUACAUAUGUACAAGAUGAUGCUUUUGUCUUCUAACAUAAAUUCGUCGAAGAUUCAAAUCUCAUUUCUGUUUCCUAGUGAUGUUCUUUGUAAAGAACUAUGUCCGUUCAAUUAUUAGACAAUGUUAUUACUUAAAGGCAUUAAACUUGUAACUAUUCUUGAUUAAAAAUACAUGUCUUUAUAAGUAGUUGAGUAUGAUAGAAAUAAAUAUAUAUCCCGUUCUAUAAAUAAAUGGCAGUAAAUUAAGUUUAAACAACGUUAACAAAGUAAGAAAAAAAAAUAUCGAAAAUAUACGGAUUUUUCAUCCUAAACUCAAACCGUACAGAUUCCUACAAAGAUUAUAACAUCAUUACAUUUUACUUAUAAUCAAGCACCACAAAAAUAAUUGCAUGGGAUUCACUGCAAGAAGCAAUUCUGACGCUUUAUUACACAUAUCAAAGUUAACAAUUUUUCAUGGUUAAAUAAUAAUAUUGACUUAAAAAAGCUAAGAAAAUUUACUGGUACUGAAAUUGGUUGAAUAGUAAUAUUUUUCAUACCAGAAAAAUGUAAAUAUAUAUAUGAAUAUGAUUUAAAAUUUAUAACAAAAAUGUCAGAAAAAAAGUUUUCUUUUUCCUUUUAAAAAAUCAAAUAAUAAACUAACAAUUAACGUUAUAUACUAAAAUUGGAUAAAAUUGUAUAUGAAUUAAAAUUGAAAAGGCUGGGAUCAAAAUUUUAUUUUAAUCCAAAAUUUAUUUUAUAACUUUAUUGAGAAAAUGAACAAAAACUAAACCAUUUAAUUUUCUUUUUAUUUUAAAAGAAAUAUGGAAGAUAAUAUAUGGAUUAACUUUUGAUUUAGAGGUCCUCAAAGCUGUUGAUAUUAGUAAUGAAGUCAUUGUUACAUUAUAAGUAUGAAUGGAAGGUAUCCAACUAUUCCCGAUUUGUGUUAAAGUAAGGAGCAAAAAAGUCACUUUCGGAAUGGAAUAAUAUUUAAUUUCUCCGUUCAUUUUAUUUUUCUUCAAUAAUUAGUUAUUUUUUUUAAAAAAGGAAAUUUUUAUGAUUUGUAAUAAUUUAUAUAUAUUUGAGUACAUGGAGAAGAAAUUGAAUAAUUAAAAACAAAGACCUAACAUAUAGUUAAGUUAAUUUUACGUGUAAUGAGAAAUGAGUAUGAGUAAUUAUGUUUGAGGUUAAUUAAGUACAUGAAAAUAGCUCUAAACAAUUGUAAACAUACCAAAAUCUAUAUGGGUUAGAUUCCUAUUAAUUGAUAGAACUUCUAUUAAUGAUACAAUCUAUUAUUGAUAGAAUUUGAGAAUUAAAUCUAAAUUUUGUUAUAUUUGUAAAUUCUUUUGUAUUAUGUUAUGUCUACAAAUAUUCUAAGCUUGGUUGUUAUAUUUGAAAUGAUUCUCUUCGAGCAAACAUGAAGGGACAUUUGAGUCAAGAGUGAACUAUUAUACUUGAAUUAUAAUAGUUAUUUUGUGUAUUGAACUGCACACUAGUCUUGUUUGAGAAAGAAAAUAAUAAACAUUGUAACAAAAAUAAAAUAAAAAAUUGAAGCUAUUUACAAAAUAGAACAAGAUUUAUCAAAUUCUCCUGACACAUAUUUAUUUUUGGUGUAUUUUAUAAAUAGUUUUAAUUUCUUUUUUCUAUCCAUAAUUUUUUUUAGACUUUUAAAUAGUAUUUAUUGUAACAAGAAGUUGUUAUCAUAGUCUUAUACCGUGUUCACUCCAAAUAUCCUUUCCAAAAGGAGCCUAUUAUAAAUGAGAUUUCAAAAACUUCUUCACAAUUCAAGAUUUUGCUAAGAAAAGCUAUACACACAUAUAUAUUAAAAGAAUGAUCAAUAUAAUCACAUGGGUAAGAUGUUACAUUAUUAAAACAAAAAUCUGAAGACAAUGAGUUUGGCAACAUUCAAAACAUUCUUCUUCUAUUUCAAGAAACCACUUGAAAACACCCUAAGUUUUGCCUAAACACAUUUGGGAAAAUUUUAAACCUCCAUUUAACUAAGGUUUAGAUGGCAACAAACACUUCACCCUUUUUCCUCUAUUUUUUUCGAGCAAACAAUGAUCAAAUGUAGUCUUGACAACAUUUCUCUCUCUACAACCUCUUUAUUUAUCCGAGAACAAGAACAUAACAAUUUCAAAAAUAUUUUGCCCAAUCUCAGGUUUUAGUUAGACAAUUAAUUUGGCCAUUUCAUACUACACUCAAAUAUUUUUCUUUUUCUUCUUCUAUUAUUUUCAUUAAUUGUUUGGGUUCUUCUGUCAUUUCCAGAGAAAAAAAAAAAAAAGAUUCAAUCAUAAAAUAUUUUGCAGGCAUUCAGAGAAAAAAUAUAUUGCCCUUUCAUGUUUCCUUACUUUACCUAGCUAGGAUACUUUAUUUAUUGAUAUUGCAUAGUGAUCAUUUCAUCGAACGUGUAAACUAAAACAUUCUAUAUACAUUUUACAUUCCUCGAACAGUAGAGAAGUAUAUUGUUAAAGUGUUAUAUAUAACAUUAAAUUUACUUUCUUUAGAGUUGAUAGAUAGUUGUAUUUAAAUUUGACAUAAGAUCUGGAUUAACAAGACAUAUUAACCACCUUAUUUGGUGGCUGCCUAAAGGACCCUUUUUCUAAAAAGAAAAAUAGUUUUGUUUCCUUAUUUUGAAUUUUGAUUUCUCAUUCUAAUCACAGACAUGUAUUAAAAACUGGUAGGUAAAGAUUAGAUAGAACCUUUUCAACCAUUAAAAUAUUUGGAAGAUAAAAACUUGCCCACUUAAAUGAUUUUGGCUUCCCAACCCUUUGUUGCCUCCAAAUAUUAUUAUCAUUGUACCUUAAUUCAACAAAAGUUUUAGACCCACCAUGUGACUAACAGUGAAUGUAAUAUAUAUAUGUAUAUAUCAAACUCUUCAAAUAAUCUAUGCUUUCUUGUCAUUAACUUACUAUAAAGUUUACGAUGAGACACUUGAAUCAAAUGUAGAACCAUAUUAUAAAAAGUUAAUUAGUACCAAAUACUUGGCAUAUUAUAUGUCUUCUUGUUGAUUAUUGUAUUGUUUAUUUUCAAGCGAAAACUUUCUAUUGAUGUGUUUAAGGCUAGCUACAUAUUUUGAUAUGGAUGAAAUUUUUUUAAUAUAUAUUUUGUUGCAAUGUUUUGAAUUCAUUAUGAGGCGUGCGCUAUCAACAAUCUAGUACAAAGAUCUCGUUAACCAAAUUAGCGAGUUGAGAUCUAAGUGCACCACACUUUAGUGGGUAUUUGAGGGCAUACACAAUACCUUAAAAGUUCUCUUCAAUUCAACGAUUAAGCGCACAUAUAUGUAGUUAUUUAAGAAACGUAUGAUUUAGUGGAGUGUAAUAUAUAAAUUUUCGUUAAUCUAGUAGUGCCGUUUUUGUAUUCUAAACACAUUUUCUCUAAUACUAUUGUUCUCUUGUGGACAAUACAUUGUUAAAAAAUUAUGUAUAUUUGUGUGUCGAUCUCUUUUUUUUAUUUGCUUAAUUGUUGACUUUGUAACGUAUAUUUUUGUUGUUAGUUGUAGUUCUUGUUGUUUGUCGUCUUGUACAUGUGGGUUAUUAGAAUUAUUGGAGUGCAAUGAGAUAGCCAAGAAAAUCAAAAGUUGAGAAAUAAAAGUACUCCAAGAAUGAUUUUGAGGGGCCGUUAAACAGAUUGUGAAGGCCCCCUAUUGAGUAAAUAAUAUAUAUAUAUAUAUAGGUAUCAUUUCAUGGUGAACUAAAACUCAUUUUAAUGUAUUGUUUCUUGUUUUUAUAUGGAAUGUCUUAAAUAAUUAGUUUUUAAUCUGAAUAUUGAUUUCUCUUUCUUCAUGAUGUAAAAUAAAAUAUAUGGGGAAUUUCAUGUUUAAAAUGUGAGAUUAAAGGGUGCUUUUAUCAUUACUAGGGUUUCAGUUUUGAAAUUAAUUGUAUGCUUAAUUAAGUUCGUAACUUUGUUUUUGGGAAGACAUUUUAAUCUAAAUUUUUUUUCAUUGGAAUUUGAAGAUGUGGGAAAACUCAUCAUUGGAUUUUUUUUUUUUUUCAUAGAAUGAAGAUUUUCUCAUGUAAUUAUGUAUUAGUUAAUUAAUCUUUGGUCGAGUAAAGUUAACCCUUUAAUUUUGGCACCAAUUCAUUUCAAAAUUUUGUACAUAUCAUUGAAGAAAGAGACCACAAAAAAGAAGAAAAGGCAUUCCCAUCUUCAAUGUCUUUUGCAUUUACUUUUUCAUACAAUGCUCUCUCUCACCUCAUUUCUUUAGUUUAAGUUUACUCAACCUUUAAUUUUUGAAUUCAAAUUCAUCACAUAUGGUUGAAUAGUGACUAAUAGACAUACCAUUGUUUUAAAUAAGAAAUUAAAACUGUUAAAAAUAUUUUUAAAUAUAGCAAAAUAUCAAAGUCUAUCAAUGAUAGACAAUGAUAGCUAAACACUAAUUUAUUAGUGAUAACCAUGAUAGUAGUAUAUUUGUGAUACUAAUAAAUAUUGAAAUUUUGCUAUACAUUAAAAUAUUUUAGUUUAUUUUUUAUAUAUAUAUUUGAAAAGUUAUUCUUAUUUUCAUUACUUCAAUCCAUGUACUUACAAAAGAUUUAAAAUUAUUUAACAAUGUAUACAUAAUUUGUUAGAAGAUAAAAAGAAAGAGUUAAAUAUGUGCAUGAGGGGGAGGGAUUUUGUUUGAAUGAAAUGAAGAUAUAUAUGGUCCAACUAUCAUAUAGAAGAGUAUGAUGGCAUAAGGCAUUCACAUAUAGAUUCAAAUUUUGCUUUUGCUUUAAGUUGAAUUUGAGGGUAAAAUGAAAAGUAAGAUAUAUAUAUAUAUAUAUAUAGAAGAAUAUCAAUAAAGAAAAUAAAAAGGAAAAUAUUUUCCACACUUACCUUUAGCCCACCUUCACAUUUAAAAACUUAUUAUAUAUAUUGCCUAAUUAUUGUAAAAAAUAAAAACAUAUGUAGAAUUUAAACACAUUAAGAAAAUGGUGAAAGUCAAGUGUCAAAUUCGAACUAAUAUGCUAAGAUUAGUCCCUUACACCAAAAAUUAUUUAAAAUAUCGUACCAUAAUUUCUAAUAAAGAAACAAAACAAAAGAAAUCUAUUUGAUAACAUUUUUAAAAACAUUGUUUUGUUUUGUUUAUACACUCAUCUCAAUAUCCAAAUUUUUAGUCAAAAUAUAUGAAGUAUGAUAGUUACGUUGAAUCAACAUCUUUUACUCAAAGUUUAUAAUAAAAUUCUUAAAAGAAUCAAUUUAAAGUUUUGAAGUAUGAGGUUUACAGAUUAAAUUUAAAAAAAAAAAAAAAAAAAGUUUAAAAGGUUUGAAGAGAAUACUCCAAAAUAAAAUUGGAAUAUGAGGAAAGUGAAAUAGGGAUGUUAGAUGAAAUACGACAAAUUAUAAGAAUAAUCAAAUAGAAUCUUAUAUGAAAUACGACAAAUGAUAAUAUUAGAAAGCAACUUCGAUUUUCAUUUUCCAAUACAAUCCUUUAAUUUUACGUCAACAUUGGCUUUAUAGAUUAUAUAAUUCCUACUUAGUAAACAUUUAUUUUUAUUUAUGGAACUGCGAGAUUUUGAACAUUGUCACCCAUACUAAGCAACAUCUUAACUAAUUAAUUAAAUGCAUUCAACAUCUUUAAUUUAUCUUGUCUUUUAUUUUUUAAUUAAUUAGAAAAUGAAAUCUUUAUCAAAUUUGUAGAGAAAAAAACCACGUUUGAACGAUACAAGACUAUCCGAGUUGAUAUUACUUUGUUUUUUAAAAAAUUAUUCGUAUUCAUUUCGACCAUUGAAAAAUAAAAGUUAGUCAAUUCAACCUUUACAAAUAUUUCUUAGAACAUUUUUAAUUUGAUUUUUUCUAACCAACAUCGACCGGCCCUUCUUCUUCUCCAACCAUAACUUGAUUUUUAGAUCUAUCAAACUCAUCUUUAAUAGUAGGACUACAAUUACACUCACCCUUAGAAACCACUAUCCAAUAUAUCGUGGAAGUUAUUAAUUACACAGACUUUGAAAAAUUUAUAUUUAGGCGUUUAGUUUUCUUAUUUUCGAGAAUAAUAAUUGUGAGGCAAAGUCGGAGGUUGAACUAACCUCUAAAGCGUGUAAUACUACUAAGUUAACUCAGCCUCUCAUAAUUUAAUUUGUAUCAUUCAUAAGCUAUACAGUCAUUUUUUUAAGAUUUUCUAUUACAAUGGCUAUAAUUAAACUCUCUUUUUUUUUUUUUUUUUUGAAGUUCACAAACUUGCCAAAAGUUUUGGUUGGAUAAAAUUGGUGAAAAGUUAAAUGUAUUUAUAAAAGGAAAGUUUGGUUAAAGCAAAAUUAGAAGUGAUUUUCAUGUAUUUUACCAUAUUUAAGGAUUUAACAUUGAGUAAGGAUAUCAAAAUUGGACUAGAAAUAAUUUUGAGAAUAUAGAAGAAAGCGUCAAGGUGAAAAGAGUAAAUUGGGAAGCGCAUGAUGAUAAUGGUUUAGGCGACGUGAUUCGUUUUGUUAGUUAAUACUCUCACGAGACACAACCCCGUAAUUAGUUACGGUGUAAAUUCAGAUAAUAACGGCGUCGUUUUAGUUUGUACAUCAUCCAUUCCCCUCAACCUCUCUUCAGUCUCCUCUUCUUCUUCUUCUUCUUCUUCUUCUUCUUCUUCUUUCUUCUUCUUCUUCCUCUUCUUUUGCCCUUUUCUUUUCUUCUAACUCCGUCCGAGCCUCAAACCAAAACAAAGAAGAAGAAAGGUACCCAAUUUUCUUUUGUCUGAAUCACAUCCCCCACACCAUUUACGUCCACUUCCACUUGUACCUCUUCUUACUGCUCCUCCACGCUUCGUUUUCACCAUUUUCUCCCUCUUCUUCUGGGUCCCAUUUCCCUCUCUUUUUUUCCCCUUUCUCUCUCAAAGUUUCUCACUUCCUUCUCUUCCCUUUUCUCUGAAAACCGAAACCACUCCAUUCUUCAAUGACUUCUUUCUAAACCCAUUUCCCCCAAUUCUUCUGUCCUUCCAAUGGCUGCUUCUGGGGGUACUAGUUAUAGAAAUGGUGCCACUUCUAGAAACUCCCUUAAGCUCGAUAAGCCCUUUUCUGCUAAUUCCUCCAACUCCAAGUCUUCUCUUAAGUCAAAGUCUCUUCCCAAUUCUGCUCUUCGCCGCAGCAGCCCUGCUGCUCUUGGAGUUGCCAAGGAUGAUGGUGGAGGUUUGUCUCUUCGAUUUUCUACCUUUUUCUUUUAUGGGGUUUUAUUUUUUGUGUUCCUUUUUAAUUUUAUUCUGGAGAUCCUGGUUUCUUCUUUAUGAGUUGUUGCAUCCAAGUGAUUUGGAAUUGAGGGUAUUUGAAAAGGGAUGGUUUUGGUGAAUUAUUCUGGUGUUUUCUUAUUGGUUUCUUGUAUUUGAAAGGGAAAAACUAUAACUUUGUUCGAAUAAGAACGGGGUUAUUCAACCCUUUCAAUUGACAAACAGGAUGGAAGUUUGAAGUCUGCUUGGAGCAGAUAAGAACCGUUUUGACAUGUCAUUUUUUCCCCUCUAAACAACGUUAAUUUGCUUUCGACAAAGUUUCAUUAUUGAGUGCUUGGGGAAGUUGGUAAAUUGAUUGACGUUUCGCAAGCUUCUAUGUUCGAAUUUCAAAAUUCCAUUUCUUGUAUUUUUGCACCAAUGAUUUAAUUCUGUCCGGAUGGUAUUAACCUUUUGAUAAUUUAAUUUUUGUUUUAUUGCUUUAUUUGAUAAUCAUUUACUACUUUCAUUGUCAAGGAAGGUCACUUUAAUGAGAUGGUCUUCCUUUUUCACACAUUGUUCAUAAUGGUUGAGUGUAGUUCCUGGAAGAGUUCGAGUGGCUGUUAGAUUGCGACCGCGCAAUACAGAAGAAUCAAUAGCCGAUGCUGAUUUUGCUGAUUGUGUAGAAUUGCAGCCAGAGGUACAAUGGUCACAAUAUUACACUACUAAAUACCAUAUUUAUCAUCAUUAUUGUCUUCAUGGAGUCAGUCAGAAUAUCACAAUCUAUUUCAGCUUAAAAGGUUGAAACUUCGGAAGAACAACUGGGAUUCAGAUACUUAUGAGUUUGAUGAAGUGCUAACUGAAUUUGCAUCUCAAAAACGUGUUUAUGAAGUCGUGGCGAAACCUGUUGUGGAGGUAUGUUUGACUUAUAUUAUCAGUCUUCAUUGUAUUUCAUUUUUUUUCUUAAAUAGUAAUAAAAUAAAUUAUGCUUACAUGUUUGUUUCAUUCAUUCAUUUAAAAACAGAAAAAAGAAGACUAUUCAUUCAAAUAUUUAUUCGUAUAUACACCUCUUAGCAGGAAUAUGAUGAAGUGAAAAGUUUUCCAAAUAAUCUCCUUCUGAUCUUUAUUUAACUUCACUUGAUGUCUAUUCUUUUCAGUCCCCUUCCUAAUCUUUUUGCAAUUUCCUUUGAGUGACUGGUCUUUUUUCUUAUUCGGAAGAGUGUAUUGGAUGGGUACAACGGAACAAUUAUGGCAUAUGGUCAGACUGGUACUGGUAAAACAUAUACUCUUGGAAGACUAGGAGAGGAAGACACUGCUGAUCGUGGAAUCAUGGUGCGUGCUAUGGAGGACAUCUUGGCUGAAGUUUCUUUGGAGACUGAUUCCGUCUCAGUGUCCUACCUGCAGGUUGUUUCCUUUUGUAGACACUCUGCUACUAUUUUCUACUAGAAGUAGCUUGCAAACUCAAGUGCUGCUUGAUGAGCAAUUUUGAUUGUGUUUUCUCUAAGAAGUUCUUGUGUGCCGAAAUUUGAGUUCUUCGUAUUUGUAUGAGAAGUACCUUUAAUUGCUAACCUUCAUUUUCUACAAACAUAUGUCCAGCUUUAUAUGGAGAGCAUACAGGACCUUCUUGACCCUGCAAAUGAUAACAUUUCCAUUGUUGAAGAUCCUAAAACUGGAGAUGUUUCAGUACCUGGGGCUACCCUCGUAGAAAUUAGACACCAGGAGAGCUUUUUGGAACUACUAAGAUUGGGGGAAGCUCAUCGGUUUGCUGCGAAUACAAAACUGAACACUGAAUCUUCCCGCAGUCAUGCAAUUCUGAUGGUAUGCAAAUGCUGGUUACUUUGAAGUCUUUCAAUCUCUCAAAAACUGCUAGUUGCGUAUGGGAAUUAGAUGUUUACUGCUUGUUGAAGGUACACGUAAAACGGUCUCUAAAAGGAAGGGAUUCAACUCUGUCAAGUGAUAGUUCUCAUUUAGUUAAGACCCUGAAACCUCCAAUUGUUCGGAAGGGAAAAUUAGUGGUGGUAGAUCUUGCUGGUUCAGAGCGUAUUGACAAGUCAGGUAUGUUUAUUUAGCAAUUAGCAGUAAUCAAAUACAUUUAUCUUUGUAGGUUCCCCUUUGACAACUAAGCCAGCACAUUGGGUUCAAUAUACUGUGCCUACAUGCUUUUAGUAUUUCUGUAUGUCUUUAGCACUUACUGUCAAAUGCUAGUUGUCUACUCUACUGAAAUUAAGUUGUUACUCCCUCCACUGGACAUUGAUUAUAUCUUAUUAGUAGUAUUUUUUUGGAAAAAUAACCUACUAAUGAGUCUCUCUUGUUUUCGUGCUUAGUUCGUUUUAGAUGUAGCAUUGUCUUUCAACUUUUUCAUUAGAAAACUUCGCAACUUUUUCAUUAGAAAACGCAACUUUUUCAUUAGAAAACUUCGCUUUCUCAAUUAAUACCAACACACGUUAAAGGUUAUUUGCUUUUGUUGAGGCAGGAAGUGAAGGACAUACACUUGAAGAAGCCAAAUCCAUCAAUCUCUCCCUGAGUGCCUUAGGGAAGUGCAUAAAUGCACUUGCGGAGAAUAGUGCACACGUUCCAGUUAGGGAUUCAAAGCUGACAAGAUUACUAAGGGAUUCAUUUGGGGGUAAGAUCUGAUUUUAAUGUUAUUUUAGGUGCCGCCUUUAUGGAUUAAAUCUAUUAUCGUUUCAUAUAAUUCCAUAUUAUGUUUAUGCAUUUAAGAUAUCUACGAAAUGAAGUUAUGGAAGUUGGAUUGUUCAUUAUUAAAGGUAUUUAAGUUCAUAUUAUAAAACUUCUCCAACAUAUACUGAAGCAAUAACUUCCAUAUGGCAGAAGUAUGCUCAUGCUUCCAUUUUCCUCAUUGGGUUCGUAGACAGGAUCUUUUGCUAGACGGUAUUAAUUGAGAGUUUUCUUUGUCAUCUCCUCUACCCCCAUACAAAACUGUGAAUUAGACCAAAAUGAAAUACUAAAAAGGGACCCAGAAUGCCUUUCAAAUUGGUUUAGAAAGAAAGAGUGACUAGGACUGUAAAAAAGAAAUCUAGCUAGGUUCUAAGUUAAGCAUGUUAAAAUUCAUACAAAACUUUCCAGACAACUCUGCAAACAUCUUGAUUAAAUGUAGUUUCUUUGGUGGUAUUUAUUUUUAGUUCUCGUAGCCAUGUUUCCCUGUUUUAGAAUUCUAAUCGUGAAUAUUCCCAUGCAAAAUUUUAACAGGAACAGCAAGAACUUCAUUGGUUAUUACUAUUGGUCCUUCACCUCGGCAUCGUGGAGAGACCACGAGUACAAUAAUGUUUGGCCAACGGGUAGGUUAUGGGAGCUUAGUUUUGCGUGGUUGUGGGCAUGUUAAUUAUUAUCACUACUCUUGUUUGCCUUAUUUAUCAACUUUUGAAUGCAUUCUGUUCUGUUCUAUUUCCAAGAUUUUAAUUUCUAAAACUUCUUGCCCUCAGGCUAUGAAGGUGGAAAAUAUGCUGAAGAUAAAAGAAGAAUUUGAUUAUAAAAGUUUGUCAAGAAGGUUAGACAUUCAAUUAGACAAACUGAUUGCAGAACAUGAAAGGCAGCAAAAGGCAUUUGAGUUUGAAAUUGAGAGAAUUACCAAAGAAGCACAGGAUCGCAUAUCUGAGGCUGAAAGAAGUCAUUCAAAUGCCCUAGAGGUAAGGGUUCUUUUAGAUUAAAUUCUCUGGGUAUUGAGUAUCCCCUAUGCAGUUUUCAAGGUUUGAUCGCUUACAACUUUAAUGUCUGAGAAUGUUUGUUGUAUUUAUAGAAGGAAAGGCUGAAAUAUCAGAAGGAUUACAUGGAAUCAAUCAAGAAGCUUGAAGAUCAAUUGAUGGUGAAGCAGAGGAAGCUUGGUGGGGAGAAAGUAAUUAAUGAAGAAGUUGUUGCAUCUGCUUCUAGUGUAAUUGCUAAUGGGGAGGUAUCCUGUUACAUGCAUCAGCUGUUCUUUCUGUUUCAUAUGGAAUAUAAAAGUUCUAUAUGCUAUUUUCCUCUCACAUCAUUAGAUUCUAUUAAUUGUGCUAAAACAUAAAUUAUUUUAGCAUUAUUUGCCCCUUGGCUGGUACCUGCUACCAAAUUAAAUUGUUGUAGAUUUCUGUGAUCCUGAUAUCUCUCCCUUGUUACUUUCAUCCUUUGAAUCUCAUUCAAAAAUUAAAAUAUAAACUGUGAUUGUAAGUGAGUGUAUUUCAUUUCACAUCUCAAUCUUCUUCAGUCUCAAAACUGCGUGCUUUGAUCUUCUUCACAUUCUAUAGCGCCUAAAAGAUGGUUUUAGAUCAAGCAAGGAUCAAGUUUCCUGUUCAAUAUGAUAAGAUAGUACACUUUUGAAGCAUCAGUCUAUAGUACAAUACCUAUUGCUUGUCCCAACAUCCAUUUUUUAUUUCCGAUUGACUUGAGAAGUAAAAAAAAAUUAUCCAGUAUAACUAUUCAUCAAAUAGCAAGGUCAAAACUAUGCUCCUUGGAUUAUGGCAACAGUUUCAUGGAUUGUUGCAACAGUUCGAACCUUCUCUUAAAGCAUGUAUAUCUUCUCUUAAAUGAUAUAGGGUUUGGCAGUGUCUGCUGACAAGGAAGUGGCAGAGCUAAAGAAGCUGGUUAAAAAGGAAAUAGUUUUGAGGAAAGCAGCAGAAGAGGAAGUUAACAAUCUUAGAAAUCAAGUAGCCCAACUGAAGAGAUCAGAGGUAUGUUUGAUUCAACUCUAUGUAGCUAAUUUUAGCCUUGUUUUUUCAUCCCCUAGCUCUCCCACUCCAUACCCAAGGCUGUAGUUAUUUUAAUGGUGUCUUUCAUGUGCUAGAUCUCAUGCAAUUCAGAGAUCUCAAAGCUCCGCAAAACUCUGGAAGAUGAGCAACAUCAGAAAAAAAAACUAGAAGGAGAUAUAGCUAUGCUACAGAGCCAGUUGUUGCAAUUGAGCUUUGAAGCAGAUGAGGUAAGUUUUGGCUUAGCUUUUAUUGAUCUUGAUUGUGUAGCAUUAUGUUUUAACAAGAGAGCAUAUGCUUUAUGUGCAGACCAGUAGACGACUAGACAGAGGUGAGCCUGGUAAAGUCCUCGGUUCUCUCGAUUCUCUCGUGCAACAAGUUAAGCACUCACAGGCACAGGAUGCUGGAAACGGGGAGAAGGCUUCAGUGGCCAAACUAUUUGAGCAAGGUUUUAGUCGCUUCCUGAUUUAUCUUGUACUUUACUUCAAAUAGUCCAUUAAUUCUAUAAUAUUUUGACAGUGGGACUGCAAAAGAUCUUGUCGUUGCUGGAAGCUGAAGAUUAUGACGUCAGAAUUCAUGCUGUGAAAGUGGUUGCAAAUCUAGCAGCUGAAGGUACCAAAAAGCAUUACAAUGUUCACUGGCGAUCUGCCAUUAUUGCUUUUACUGUUCUUUCCUUGCUUUUUCAAGUUACUGUUAUAUAUCUGACAGUCACAAGGCUGGAUUAAAGUUGAUAAUUAAGUGAUUGUUAUAUUUUCACCGGCUGAUUUAAGGUUGAUGAAGUUGGCAGGACAUAACCGCCCAUUUCUGCUUAUCGGGUUCAUGCUCAAUGGUCUUUAUCUUGUAAUUUAGAUGCCACUAAUACUAUUUUAUUUUUGGGGGGAAGAGUAACUGAGAAGAUGGAACUGUGGCUGUGAGAUUCAUUUAGUCACUGAAUAUGAACGUACUCUAAAUCUACUUUUGAUUAUCUGCUGCUGUAAAUCUGAACCAUAGUUGUAGUUCUUGGUAUUAUUAUGCAGCAUUUGAACUAUCACUAAUGAACAAAUGUAUAAUAAUUAUUACUGUGGAAGGUGCACUUAUAUGCUUCCUUCAAAUAUGCAGAAACAAAUCAGCAAAAGAUUGUUGAGGCUGGAGGCCUUACAUCUUUGCUGAUGCUACUCAGAAGCACUGAGGAUGAGACAAUUCACAGAGUUGCUGCAGGGGCGAUUGCAAAUCUAGCAAUGAAUGGUUAGUUUCCAUUUCUUCUUUGUGGGAAUACAAUAUAUCUCCUGCCUCGACCCUUCAUACCCCACUUGCUUGUCUGUGUCUUUAAGCCGAGAUUUCGUUGCUCUUGACUUUUUGCCUUGUCUUUUCCAUCAGAGACCAACCAAGAGCUCAUUAUGUCCCAAGGAGGCAUUAGCUUACUGUCCAUGACCGCUGCCAACGCUGAUGAUCCCCAAACGCUUCGUAUGGUUGCUGGAGCAAUCGCCAAUUUAUGUGGCAAUGGUAAGUGUUGCAAUCUGUCUAAAAGGUUCAUUCAUUAAUCCAUGCAAAUUUAUGUUCAUUACUUGCCCCCGCUGUUUAAAUAUUCACAUCCUACUCACUUACAAGGUAUAAUAUUAUGUUCAGAUAAGUUGCAGAUGAAGCUAAGGGGCGAAGGCGGUAUUAGGGCAUUGCUGGGUAUGGUAAGAUGCAGACAUCCUGAUGUUCUUGCACAAGUUGCUAGAGGAAUUGCAAAUUUCGCAAAGUGCGAGUCGAGGGCCUCUACACAAGGUAAUCUUUCCAAAAUUGGGUCUCUCUAGCCUGCCUUUUUUUUUUUUUUCCUUCAGUUUGAUUCAACAUUUAGAUUAACAUGAAAUCUUGGUAGCAUUUUGGGAAAGAAUGCUUCAUGAUCUGAUCCGGGUUCGGCUUGUUGAAAGGAACAGGGACCAAGGCUGGAAAGUCUUUCUUAAUUGAAGAUGGAGCACUCCCAUGGAUUGUACAGAAUGCCAACAAUGAAGCAUCAACUAUCAAACGACAUAUUGAACUUGCACUCUGUCAUUUAGCACAGCAUGGUAGUCUCAGUCUCUCUCUUAUAUCUGAACUUUUAAGCUUGACAAGUACUUUAGGAAAUAUUAACUCAAAAAACCAUGAAAUUGCUGAUUCUGCAGAAGUGAACGCAAAAGACAUGAUCAUUGGAGGUGCCCUAUGGGAACUGGUUCGAAUAUCUCAAGACUGUUCACGGGAAGACAUAAGAACUCUUGCACAUCGAACAUUAAUAUCAAGUCCAACAUUUCAAGCUGAAAUGAGACGAUUACGGAUAGAUUAUUGAUUGAUCCCAAGUUGGUAGAUUUAACAGAAACAUUUUAUAUUUAUUAGCGCAAUCAUUUCUGAAAUGGCACCAAAGUCAGCCUUGCAUCCCUGCAUUGUUUCCCAUCAAAGCAAAAAAAAAAAAAAAAAAAAAAAAAAAAAAACAUAGAAGUCUGCUGAAUUUUUGUUAUGAAAAGUAGUGUGAGAUUUGGGUUGUAAUAGUUUAUCAAAUCGUAUUAAUUUCUUAGAGGCAGACUGAGGAGCUGGCCCGAUC